UCCCAUUCAUUAGAUUGAAUGACAAGUCAAGUCUCUUCAUGCGCAGCAAGUUUCCAAUCCAUGUUGGAAUUGGACCUGAGAUGGAGUUUUUACUCAGAUAAAGACUCUCUAAGUUGGUAAGGUGUUGAAUUGAAUUGGGGAAGGGACCAACAAAACUAUUAUAGCUCAAGUGUAGGGAUUUUAAAUUCUUAAAGAGCCCUAAUGAAUCUGGCAACUGACCACUGACUUGAUUAUCGCCCAAGUUUAACUCUUCCAAGGAACUAUUAGCGCAUGCUGAUAAACCAUUCACCAAUUCAAUUCCUUCACUUCCAAUAUGAUUGUACGAGAGAUCUAAGGUUACCAAGUUGUGAAGGCUUAGCAAGUUAACAUGGGGAAUCGGACCUUUAAUUGUAGCACCAUUUAAAUAAAGAUCCAUAAGGGUACUGAUGUUAAACAACCAGCCAGGCAAAGUAGUGUUGAAAUUGUUGUAGGAGAGAUCAAUGACCAAAAUAGAAGUCAAAUUAACAAACGGAUUGGAGUACUGAGGGAAAUGACUGAGUUCACAAUUGGACAAAUGUAAUUCUAACAAAAAUGGAAGCAUGUUUGCAGCUUGCAUCCAAUUUGUGGUUGCUUUACUAAGGUUCACAUGCCCCAUAUCAAGGUAUUUUAAAGAAGAAAGACCAGAAAGCCAAUUCAAAUUAUGAACCCUCAUUAAUGGAGCAGAAAAGUUGUAGUAGUAAUCUCCUCCACUAAGGUUAAGAUAACAUAACUGUGAUAAAUUUCCAAGAUGAGGAGGAAUCAUUCCACCAAAUGCUGCAUAGGAGAGAUCAAGGUAUCUCAAUCUUUCAAAUGAGCCCAAGAAAUUUGGAAUUGGAAUUCCUUGAAAAUCAUUAAAACUUAGGUCCAAGUAAUUUAAAUGUUUCAAGUCAAGUAAGGAAUCACUUAUCUCACCACCCAAACGUGAGAAGUCACCACCAGAUUUUAGGUCAACCUUGACAACAUGCCCUGUUUGGUUGUUGCAAUCCACACCUUUCCACUUGCAGCAAUCUGCACCAACCCAGGAAGAAAGCCUACCUGAAGGAUCUUUCAGUCCAUUUUUGAAUUCAAGAAGCGCUUUCCGCUCUACCUCAAUGCAGCCCUUGUUCAUACCACCAUCAAUGGAAUUGAUAAUAGUAGCUUCAGCUAGGAGACGCUCGAGAAACAGAGAAAGGAGAAAAAGAGUAAGAAGUAGAAGGGUGGUUUUCCAACUUGCCAUUUGAUGAAUGCAAAGUUGCAAAGUUAUUAGUGGGUGCUAUAUAAAUAAUUUAGUCAACUAUUUUAAGUCUUUUGGCCGCCAUAAAUAUAGAAGAAAUUAUCAAGUUCAAUCACAAUCGGAUCACAUAUCUCUUCUAUCCCUGAGUAAAUUAAUUCAAGACAUUAAUUACCAAGUGUUUGGUCCAAAGAAAAAAAGAAUUUUUUUUAUUCCUAAUUUACACUCAUCUAAUUAUUAACUAGAAUAAAAAAUUUCAAUUAAUUAAAAAAUUAAAAUUUAGAUUUUAAUAUUUUUCCCAAAUUCAAAAUUCAAAAAUUAAUAAAUUAAUCUCAACUAUGUUAUUCAUAAAUCCCAAGAUAGGUUACAUAAAAAUAAGUUUUAACUAAGAAAAUUUCUAACAUUUUAUUAACUACCAAGUAUAAUUAGAAAUCCUAAUUAUUAUCUAAUUAUCAAUUUUCUACUAAUUAUAUAAUUAAUUAUUAUGCAAUUUUAUUAUGCUAAUAAAUUAUGAUAUUUUGGUAUAUUUUAAAAUAUAUUAAAUUACCAUUUUUAAAUUAUUAAUUUUAAAAUCAAAAUAAAAAAUAUAAUAACUAUUUUUUAGAUAUUUUUAACAUGUAAACAUAAAUAAAUAUAACAUUCCAAACAUUAAUAAAAACAAGCAGUUUAACACUUGACAAUAUUUAUAUAAUAAUAAGAAAUAAGCAACUUAAACACUUAAUCAGUCUACUAUAUUUAAGUCAAAGUUAUGCCUAUUCAAAUUUCAAACAAAAAAUAAUUAAAUACCACCUUACACUUAUUAUGCAUUACUCAAGCCAUUUAUAUAUGUAAUAAAGAAUUUCAAUAUAUAUAAAUUUUCAUGAUAUUUUAUUUUCGUUUGGAGGAGAAAGUUUCAAAUAGCUUUCUUCAAUUAUUUAAAGUUAGUGACCGUCAAUACAAGAAAAUUUUGACACAAAUCUAAAAAGAAAAACAAUUUCCACACAAGUCUAAAAAUGUCUUUUAGGGAAAGUAUUAAAACAUUUUUUGAAUUUCUCCACCUCUUGAUUGUUUUCUUAGACAGUGACUCCAAGGACUUUUGUGACAUGUUGACUGUUGACUGAAACAAAGUCCUUGUCUAUUUGGUGUGAGUUAGGAAAAAAAAAAAAGGGAAGUUGCAUUUUUUUUUAAUGAAAAAAUUUAUUUUUUCUAAAUAAAAAAAUUCUUUUUUUUUUUAAAAUAAAAAAUUUCCUUAUCUAACCAAACCAAUUUUAACCAAUUCAUUGUAGCCUAAUUAGUUCAGUUUUUCAUUUAAAGACGUUUGGUUUAGCUUGCAAAAAAAAAAAAAAAAAAACAAAAACAAAAAACAAAACAAAAAACAAAAACAUGGUUAAAUAAGUGGUAUUUAGUUUUUCUCUAAAAUCUGAAUGGAAUAUUAUUAAGUAUUUAGGUCAUUUUUUUUUAUUAAUGCUAAAUAUUUUUAAGUGUUAAAUUGCUUGUUUUUAGUAAUGUAUAAAGGCUUAAAUUUAUUUAUUUUUACACAUUAAAAAUAACUAUAAAAUUAGUUAUUAUUAUUAUUAUUUUAAAAUUAAUAAUUUAAGAAAUAGUAAUUUAAUAUAUUUACAACUAUCUCAAAAUAUUAUAAUUCAUUACCAUAAAAAUAUAUAUAUAUAAUAAUUAAUUAUGUUAUUUAUAGAAAUUUAAUAAUUAGAUAAUUAUUAGGAUUUUUAGUUAUGCUUGGUUGUUAAGAAAAUGUUAAAAAAUUUCUAAGUUAAAAUUUAUUUUUAUAUAAUAUAUUUUCAGAUUUAUGAAUAUUGUCGAGAUUAAUUAUUAAUUUUUUUCUUUUAAAUUUGGGAAAAAUAAGAAAGACUAAAAUUUUAGUUUUCAAAAUUAAUUGGAUUUUUUUUUAUUUUAAUGAAUAAUUAGAUAAGUGUAAAUUCAAGGACAUGAACGACCCCAAUUUUUUUAUAAUGACUAAUUAUGCAAAGUGUAGAAAAAUAAUAAUUAGAUAAUUAUUAGGAUUUCUAAUUAUGCUUGGUUGUUAAAAAAUUUAUAUGCUAAAACUUAUUUUUAUAUAACUAUCUUCAAAUUUGUGAAUAUUGUUGAAAUUAAUUUAUUAAUUUUUAUUUUUAAUUUGGGAAAAAUGUAAAAAUCUAAAUUUUAUUUUUAAAAUUAAUUGGAUUUUUUUAUUCUAGUUAAUUAUUAAAUGAGGGUAAAUUAGAAAUCUAAGUUCAAGGACAUUAGUGAACCAAACUGACUUCAAACCUAACCAAUCCAAUCUUAUUACUUUUUAUUUCCAUUUAAAGAUGUUUGUUUCUAUUUUUAAAAAAAAAAAUGAUUACAUUGGUUUAGUGUUCAUGAACCAAUCAAAGCUAAACCAACCGAAUUUAUCUAUUAUUUAUCAAAAAAAUAAAAAUAAAAAUAAAAACAAUUACAUUGGUUCAGUAUUCAUUUCAAAACAACGAAUCAAUAGAAACCGAUCUAAUCAAAUCUAUCUAUUAUAUAUUCGACUUAAAAGGUGCAAAAUUUGAAGUUAUUUUUCGACUUCAUAUUUUGCUUCUCAUAAUUUACUAUAAAUUUAUGAAGUUAUUUUUUAGUUGUCAUAUUUUUUAAAAAUAUUUUAUUUUUUCAAAAUAAAUUCACUAAAUAUUAUCUCACAUGCAUUUGUGGUUCACUAAAUUUUUAAUAAUCAAAUUAAUAAAUUUGUAAAAGGAAAAUAUUAUAUUUUCUCCAUUUUGUUCACUUGAUAAACAUAUCUACAAAAAUGUCAAGCGGAUGUUUGAAAUUUACCUCUUUUUUUUAUUGUGUAAUAUUUGGUUGAUUGUAUUUAUAAAGCAUUAUAAAUCUCAAGAAAGUACACAGAGUCCUAAAUUAUUAUGAAUAAAAUAAAAUUAUUAAUUUAAAUUUAGUCUUUAUAUUGAAAAGUUAAAAUAAGUGAAAUGAGUUUGAAGUAGUUUAUAAAAAUAAUUUAUUAACUUUAAAUCUAUGUUAUAUUUUUUUUCUUUUUUUUUUCAUCCAAUUUUUUUUUUUUUUUUUUUUGAUAUUUUUUCCCUUGUAUUUCCCCCAAAUUUUGUCCAAACCAAACAUAAACUUGGAAAAUAUGUCAAACCAAUACUAGUAUUUGAGACUUAGAAAUUUUUUUUAAAGGAUUGGAUCAAGAUUCAAUCACGAUUAGACCACACAUGGCCCUUUUGCCCAUAAUUAAAUUAAUUUAAGAUAUUUUAUUUAUUAAGAUAAUUAUCAAGCUUUUGAAAUAUGAAGUUGUUGUCCAUCCAAAGAAAAAGAAAAAAUAUUUUAUUUAUUUAUUUUGCCUAACACACAUAUAGACUAAGAACUUUUCUUCGAUUAAAAGUCAAGAUGCCACAAAAGUCCUUGAAGUCAUUAUGAACAAUUACCUAGAAAAGAAAUUCAAAUAAUGCUUUAAUGAAUGGUGUAUAUAUUUUCUUUAAAAUGCAUUUUUAGACUCCUACUACAAGUUUUUCUCAUGGGCAAAAACAAAAAAUAAAAAAUAAAGCUUCAUUUUUUUGCCUAACUCACACGCAAUAGAGUAAGGACUUUGUUUCAGUCAAGAGUCAACAUGUCACAAAAGUCGGUGAAGUCAUUGUCUAAAGAAAAUAAUUAUAAAAUAAUAAAUAAUACUUUAAUGUGUGAUGUACAUAUUUUCUCCAAAAGGCAUUUAUAGACUCAUACAAUUUUCUCCUAUGGACCAUUUACCAACUUCAAUUAAUUGAAGAAAGUUACGGGAAUUUAAGUGAUAUGGCCUAUAAAGGAAAAUAAAAUGUCAUGAAAAUUAUUUAAAAUUUUAUAGAUAUUCAAUUUUUUAUUAUUAUUAUAAAGGGUUGGAAAACUGCAUAACAAGUCUAUGCCUUUUGGAAAAAUGUUUAUUAUUAUUACAAAAUAAACAUUUUGUGACGAUUGAUUAUGUAAUAGGUUAACAUUUAUUUUUAUGUAAUGUAUCUUUUGAUUUAUUAAUUUUUAAUUGAAAUUUAUUUUUGUAACGUAUCUUUUGAUUUAUGAAUUUGUAAUUGAAAUUUAAUUUUUAUAUCUGGUGGCAAUGCCAGUCACAAAACAAAAAGGUGAUGAAGACCUUUCGGCUCUUCAUGGGCCAUGUAUCACAAGCGUAUGAGCCAAUCAUGGACCCCAUCGUGUCCUCAACUUUAACCGUGGCUAUAAAUCUAAAUACUGAUGUAGAACCCUAUCUCAAAAUGGUCCAUUCGAUAGGCAUUAGGCACCUACCACAAGAAAAUUAAUGAAAACAAAAAAUGAAGUUUCAUUUUUUUUGCUUAACUCACACGCAAUAGACUAGUGACCUUGUUUUAGUCAAGAGUCAACGUGUCGGAAAAGUCUUUAAAGUCAUUGUCUAAGGAAAAUAAUCACAAAAUAAUAAAUAAUAUUUUAAUAUAAGAUGUAUAUAUUUUCUUCAAAAGGCAUUUCUACACUUCUACAAUUUUCUCGGACCACUUAACAACUUCAAUUAAUUGAAGAAAGUAUUAUUAUUAUUAUUAUUAUUAUUAUUAUUAUAAAGGGUUGAAAAAAUGCAUAACAAGUCUAUGUGGUAUUUAUUUAUUUUUGUCUAAAAUCUAAAUAAACCUAAAUUAUUAUUUUUUUUAUUUUAAUUCUAAAAUUAAUAAUUUAAGAAAUAGUAAUUUAAUAUAUUUACAAAUAUAUCAAAAUUCUUAAUUUAUUACCGUAAUAAAAAAUUUCUAACAAUUAAUUAUGUAAUUAGUAGAAAAUUUAUAAUUAGAUAAUGAUUAGGAUUUUUAUUUAUAUUUGUGUGGACCCCGUAUUUUGGCUCAUAAGCUUCCACUCGAUGGCGAGCUCGGUUUUUACUUGAAAAUGAUUUUAUUUAUUAAGAAAAAUGACUUGGAGUUGCCACUUAUUUUUGUUUUAUUUUUAUAGGGUAAACAAAAUAAAAAAGAAAACUCUAAGUGUAACUUUUUAUUUUCAGAAAAUGUGGUCUGUGAAAAACCGGAUCGGGAGUCAAGUUACUUAUCGGGAAGGUACGGAAAAGACCGUAGCACCCCUCUAAGUUCCUAAAGAUGGAUCUCUAUUAAUGAAAUGAAGCUGACAUGACAAUUGAUAAGAAAAUUGAUGGAUACCUAAAAUGAUCAUGCACAUGCGUAGAGAAUGACCAGAGUGAACGUGGGUGCGUACCUGAGCAACGAUCCACAAUGUGCUAUCAAGAAAGGGGGUUAGUGUACAAUAAUGAUCAUAAAAUAUGGUUCACAUGUCACUAAACAAAAUAUGAAAUCAUCAUAUAUCACAAUUCAAUCAAGUUGAUUUUCAAAAGGAAACAUCCAAUAAUGUUGGGCUCCCACCAAAGCCCGCUUUAUUCUUGCAUGAAUUUAUUCCGUAAAUUCCAUUAUUCGGAAUCACGGGAUUUAAUUCCUACUUAUUUUAAAACAUUUUGAGAAUCAAAGAAAAUUCGAAGAUGGCUUGCCGGAAGGAAAAAUGGCGGCCAAAUUUUAUUGAAAAUGAGAUCUUGGUAACUAAAAAAAAAAAACUAAGAAUAAAAGAAAAAGUGGAGGAGUUGGGAUUAUUUGAAAAACUGAAUUUGAAAAAAUAUUUACAUAAACGAGAUAUGGGGCAAUGAUUUUAAAAUCAAAGAUGAUGAAAAAUAAUAAUAAAAAAGAGGGCACGUGGUCUAAGGCCCAUGUCUAAGGUAACCAUGCAAAAAUACAUAAAUAGGAGAGUUGAUAAGGAAUAACCAUGCGGGAAUGGGUCUUUAGAGUGCUGCUGCAACUGCUACACCAGUAGCUCAUCACCUUCUCGAAAACUCCACCAAUGAUAACAAGAAGUAUAGUCCUAGGAAUCUUUUGAUAAUUGAAGAAAGAACGUGAAUGGCACAGGCUCUGAUUGCUUGCUCAAAACCUAGAAUAAUUGCAACUAUGUGUCAAUUCUUAGCUGCUUCGUUCCCGAACUAACGGAACCUUGCUAUCUCCAAAUGAUGUGAGAGAACAAUCAAAGCCUUAAACUCUUCCUCCAUUUGCACUCAUUUUGGAAUUACAAAGAGACAAAGGCUGAAAUCUGGAGCUGGCAUUGCCAUGAAGGGUCUUUGCCAAAAUCUGAAUAGCGAUUUGGGUACUCAUGCGCUCUGACUCAAGUUGGUAGAGGCGGCGAGGGCAGAGAUUUACAUCCAAGGCAUACAUUUGUGGAGACGCCACUAUUGAGAUAUUAGGAAUGCUUUCCUUAUAUCAUUCUUUCCUUAUAUCAUUUAGUGUUGAGAUAUUAGGAAUGUUUAGAUAUUAGGAAAGUUGAGAUAUUAUGAAUAUUGAGAUAUUAGGAAUAUUGAGAUAUUAGGAAAGUUGAGAUAUUAGGAUAUUAGUUGUUAUUUCCUUAUAUCAUUCUUUCCUUGUAUCAUUCUUUCCCAUUCUUAGAAUGGUGAUUACCCUCUAUAUAUACUCUGUACAUGAACGAAUGAAAGAAUGAAUGAAAAAACUAUCAUUUAUCAAUUUGAAGAUGGUAUUAGAGCCAUGGAACUGAAAUCCUGGAUAUUUUGUCGCUAUGGUAGUCCGACAGCGAUCAACCAUCCUAAGACAAGCCCUAAUAUUGAUAAGUCAACCUUCAAAUGCACUCACUGCAAUAAGACUGGUCCCACUAGUCUGGAUAUCCCACAAUUUCAAAGCAACGACUCUUGGUAUGACCAGGAAAACAAUGAGGAACCGAGGGUUUGAACCAUGGACCUUUAGAUCAUGUUUAGGCUAUCAACACUUUGUUAUUAGUGAUAAUAAUCGUGAUCAACGGAAGAAGGAUUCCAAGAAAACCUCGACUGCAACUAUUGCCGAAAUAAAAACAUAGGCUAAUGUUGCUGAGAAAGCUUCUGCAUUGGUAGCCGCUACUGAUCAUAGUGGUAAGUUUUUAAAUACUUUUACACCUGUUAUUAAUAGUGCAUGGAUAAUUGAUUCUGGUGCUACAGAUCAUAUGACUUUUGAUUUUAGACAAGUUUCACCCCUUAGACCUUCCUCACAAAAAAUUGUUUCCACAACUAAUGGUAACACAACCCCAGUCAUUGGGGAAGGAUCCUUAACUCUUACUGAUACUUUGAAUUUGGAUUCUGUUUUAGUUGUUCCAUAUUUAGAUUACAAUCUUUUGUCAGUUUCUCAAAUCACUGCAGUCUUAUCUUGUAUUGUCAUUUUUUGGUUUGAAUUUUGUGUGAUUAAGGACAUCCAAACAAGACAGACGAUUGGUUGUGGUAUUAAGCGGGGAAAACUCUAUUACUUGGACUUGCAGUCAAAGGAUUCAAAUAAGUUGCAACAAGCUUUAAUGGCAGAUGGAUUUGAGGGGGAGAAGAAAAAGUCUGAAAUUUGGUUGUGGCAUCAACGUCUGGGACAUGCUUCCUUUGGUUAUUUAAAAAAAUUGUUUCCUAAUUUGUUUGCAAAGAGUGAUAUUUCUGGUUUCCGUUGUGAUAUUUGUGAAUUGGCUAAAAGCCAUCGUGCUUCAUUUCCGUUAAUUUUGAAUAAAAGUCCGUUUCAUUUUAUGGUUAUACAUUAUGAUGUUUGGGGCCCAUCCAAAGUCCUAACUUUGAGUGGCUCAUGUUGGUUUGUUACUUUUAUUGAUGAUUGUACCAGAAUGACAUGGUUAUGUGAUUACUACUCAAAAAAUGCUCUUUGAUAGCUUGUAAUAAACUCUUUUAAACACUUUUGAGUAGUAGUUAUUGCAUUUUAAUCCAAUUAACAUGUUAAGGACCCUUGCAAUCAAUUCUAAUCAAAUUAUGUUAAGUUUUGGUGUUUUGAUAGCCUUUUGAUCACCAAAGCAAUCCGAGAUUGAGGAGAGUUAUAUGGAAUCUUGGGAAAAGCAAUUGGAAGCUCAGAAACAUGAAGAACCGAAGCUUUGAAGUCCUUUGCCAUAAGUAAAUCCGGAAUGCAAGGAGAAGAAGUAAAGAGAAUCUGCCAUGAAGCAUAUUCUUGAUGACAGUCGUGUCAGCCACUUUUGGAGCACUUUCUAAAGUCCAAUUGAUGCAUGCUAUAUGUCAUUUCAAAGCUCAGGAAGUCAACAAUCCAAUGCUUCAAAUGAUACACAAUUUGGAGUUGAAACGAAGAAGUUACAGCCACUGCAAGUCAAUCACUCUAAGCUGAAGAAAGCAUUUUGCAAAAGUGUUGCGAAAUCACCCUUUUGUUGCGAAGUGAUUUCGCAGCCUUUUUGUACAGUGUGGUGGAUUUCCUCCUGAAGUUGCCCGAUAUGUGCGACAAGUUGGAAGCUGAGAACCUCAAGAUGAAAGCCAACUUCGCAGCCCUGCGAGAAUAACCUUUUGCUGCGAAGUGAUUUCGCAGCCCUUUUUGUAUUUCUGCGAAAUCUCGCAGACAUCAUUUUCUCUUGCGAAAUGGUCCUUAGUGCGUCCCGAUAUUUGCUACCGACAUUGGGAGAUAUUUUCCAUCAGAUUUUUGUUGUCUAAAUCCCAAAAUUCUCCUUGUAAGCCACCAAUUACAAGAUUCCUUAGCUUUUAAGUUAGUAAAAAGAGUAAAUAUCCAUGUAAUAAUUAGUUUUGUAUUAUGUUCAUAUAUAAAUACCCCUCGAGAGCCUGUUCUCAGGGAGGAGACCUUUUGUAAAGUUUUGGAAAAGCAAGUAAAGUUCAGGUCCUUUGUUUUGCCUUAACUUCUCACUUUGUAUUUUUUUUAUUUCUUACUAAGUUAUGCACUCUCUAAGGAAUUUUUCCCAGAGAAUGAGUAACUAAACCUUUAGUUUCUUAGAGCUAAGGUUGCCGGUGAAGGUUCCAAGUGCAAGAAUGCAAAGCUCUGUGGUUUCAGCCAUGAAUGAAGAGGAAGUGAAAUCCUUUAGUGAUUUCUAUGUUUUUAGUUAACUUAAAACACCUUAGCGUCACCUAGGCCAACACUUGGUAAGGCAAGUGAUCUCCAACCAUGGAGAUGCACUAGUUUACCCCUUGCGAGCCUCUGGGAGGUGACUUUAAGGUAGGAUUUUCUGGAAUUGCCAACACUUGGUAAGCUUUUGGACUCCAAGGAGACAUCCAUUAGUUAUCUCUUGCGAGCCUGAGAAGGGAAGUCCAAGGUUAAAGAUCACCUUGAAUGGUUAAGGCUUAGUGAGAGGUUUGAACCAUUGCAAGUUGCAUCAGUGAGAUAAUUAAAGUUGAAAUCUAAUUAAAGGAUGUAUCUGUACAACACCGAUUAGAGAAUUGACUAUAUGUUGAAUCUCUAACGCGAGGAAAUGAACCAUCUGACCGGAGCUAUGUCUUUUGCAUGAGGAACCACCCCAAUGAACCUGACCCUCUAAGGAAUGUUUUUCUUCCUAAGUUAUUCCCAUUACUUGUUUUGUGAGUUAGUUUGAAUCUAAAUCUUUUCCAAUCAAGGUUUGAGUUUUCUUUCUUAAGCUAACCUUGAAAUGAAACACUACCAAUUCACUUUGAAUUAAUAUCAUUUGUAAUUUGGAAACCCUUCCCAGUGAACGAUCCUAGAGCCGUUAUACUAUAAUAGCUUUUUCUUUGCUACCCUAGUAUAUGGUGUAAUAGGUUAUAAAUUUUGUUGAUUACUCCCUCAAUCAAGGAGCACCAGCUGGACAUGAAUCAGCUGAGACACCAAUUGGGCACGAAUCAUUAUGCUUGAUGAAGACCAAAGAUGAAGUGAACUUGUUGUUUUAAAAUUUUCAUAAAAUGAUUGAAACUCAGUACAAUGCAAAGGUUCGGGUUCUGCGUAGUGAUAAUGGUGGAGAAUAUCAAAGUUCUGAUCUUCAAAAGUAUUUGGAAGGACAUGGCAUCAUUCAUCAGACUACUUGUUCCAAUACACCCCAGCAAAAUGGAGUCACUGAACGAAAAAAUCGGCACUUGUUAAAGGCUGUUCGUGCUUCCUUGAUAGCAGCAAAAACACCGAUAUCUUAUUGGGGAGAAGCAAUCACAUCUGCCGCAUACUUGAUCAAUCGGGUACCUUCUAGCUCAAUUAACUUUCAAACACCUCUCCAAGCUCUUACUAAUGUCGUAGUUGCCCUAACCAUCCCAAAUCUACCUCCUCGUGUUUUUGGUUGCGUGGCAUUUGUGCAUCUACACAAGCACCAACGCACCAAGUUAACUUCCCAUGCAUUGCAAUGUGUGUUUGUUGGAUAUGCAUUGCACAAAAAGGGAUAUCGAUGUUACCAUCCUCCAACUCGACAAAUGUAUAUUACAAUGGAUGUAGUGUUUCAUGAAGAUUCAAUGUAUUUUUCAUCUGAGUCUGAACUUCAGGGGGAGUACCAUAAGGAAAUUCAGACUCUCGAUUAUGAUUAUCAUAUCUCUGAGGAAGAUGAAUCUAGACAAUCUGAACUAGUGAACUAGGAAGCGGGUAAGUUGGAUAUGAGUGGUCAAGUAUUUGGGUCCGAAGAUGUCUUCACUGAAAUACCAAACCAAACGUCGUCUGUUGAGGGUGUUCUUAAUUUGGAACCUGAUCCAUUCAUGAAAUGGUUACUACACCGUCAUAAUAGAGGUAUUCUUAAACCCACAUAUGAACCUGAAUUGUCUACCAAAGUCAAAUAUCCCAUGAGCAACUAUGUGUCUAACCAUCGUUUGUCUGAAUCAAAUAAGUCAUUUGUAAAUCAAUUAUCUACUGUAGCUAUUCCUAACAGUGUGCAUGAAGCCUUAGCUGAUCCAAGGUGGAAAGCAACCAUGAAUGAAGAGAUGAAAUCAUUGCAGAAGAAUGAAACAUGGGAACUCGUAGAAUGUCCACCAGGAAAAAAGCCAGUUGGGUGUCGUUGGAUCUAUACUGUGAAGUACAAGGCAGAUGGUAGUAUUGAACUAUUUAAAGCAAGACUGGUAGUAAAAGGGUACACUCAAACUUAUGGAAUUGACUACACAGAGACAUUUGCACCUGUAACUAAGAUCAACACAGUUCGAGUAUUACUGUCUUUAGCUGCAAACCUAGAUUGGCCAUUACAACAAUUUGAUGUGAAAAAUGCCUUUCUACAUGGUGAGUUAUCUGAAGAAGUAUAUAUGGAUCUUCCACCAGGAUGCAUGGUGUCAGAAAAGCAAUGUCAGAAGGUGUGCAAAUUGAAGAAGUCAUUGUAUGGGUUGAAGCAAUCCCUGAGAGCAUGGUUUGGAAGGUUCACAAAGUCAAUGAGAGCUUUUGGCUAUCGUCAAAGUAAUUCAGAUCACACUUUGUUCCUGAAAAAGCAACAUGGUAAGAUUACGACACUCAUCAUAUAUGUGGAUGACAUGGUAGUUACAGGAAAUGAUCCUGAAGAAAUAAAAGCUCUACAAAAUUAUCUAUCUAUAGAAUUCGAAAUGAAAGAUCUAGGUCAUCUGAAAUACUUUCUUAGGAUUGAAGUUUCUUGAUCAAGUGAAGGAAUUUUUCUGUCUCAAAGAAAGUAUGCUUUAGAUCUUUUACAGGAGACUGGAAUGUCGGGAUGUCAACCUGUUAAUACACCAAUAGAAGAAGGUCUGAAAUUGUGUGUUGAGCCUAAUCAAGUAUCAACCGAUAAGGGAAGAUACUAGAGACUUGUGGGGAGAUUAAUGUACUUAGCUCAUACAAGACCAGAUCUUGCUUAUACAUUGAGUGUAGUGAGUCAAUACAUGCAUAAUCCUGGAGAGCAACAUAUGAAUGCAGUCAUGCGUAUUUUGAGGUAUUUGAAGAAUGCUCCUAGGAAGGGAAUUUUGUUCGCUAAAAAUGUUGAUCAUCAGAGUAUAGAAGUAUAUACUGAUGCUGAUUGGCCGGUGCAGUGGAUGAUAGACGAUCUACAUCUGGUUACUUUACCUUUGUAGGUGAUAAUCUUGUGACAUGGAAAAGUAAGAAGCAGAAUGUCGUCGCUCGUUCAAGUGCAGAAGCGGAAUUUAAAGGUAUGGCUCUAGGACUUUGUGAGGCAUUAUGGCUAAGACUCCUCUUACAGGAUUUAGGUUACCUAUCUAGCCAACCAAUUCGAUUGUUUUGUGACAAUAAAGCCGCAUGUGACAUUGCUCAUAAUCCAGUACAACAUGAUCGUACAAAGCAUGUCGAGGUGGAUAGAUUCUUCAUUAAGGAAAAGUUGGAUGAUAAGAUUAUGGAAUUGCUUAAGAUUUGAUCAGAAGAUCAAUUGGUCGAUAUCCUUACCAAAGCUGUCUCAAGUCAAGUGUUCUCAAAAUUUUUAGACAAGUUGAGCAUGUGUGACAUCUAUGCACCAACUUGAGGGGGAGUGUUGAGAUAUUAGGAAUGCUUUCCUUAUAUCAUUUAGUGUUGAAAUAUUAGGAAUGUUUAGAUAUUUGGAAAGUUGAGAUAUUAUGAAUAUUGAGAUAUUAGGAAUAUUGAGAUAUUAGGAAAGUUGAGAUAUUAGGAUAUUAAUUGUUAUUUCCUUAUAUCAUUCUUUCCUUGUAUCAUUCUUUCCCAUUCUUAGAAUGGUGAUUACCCUCUAUAUAUAUUCUGUACAUGAACGAAUGAAAGAAUGAAUGAAAAAACUACCAUUUAUCAAUUUGAAGAGCCACUUCCUGAAUUGCAUUUACAGCGGACAUAUUGGAUGAAUUGUCUUUAAAAAGAAAAGUAUUUAGGACUGCCACUCUCUUUCAUACAAAAAAUCAUGCGUCCCACAAUAUCAGUGUUUGACACUCCUUCUGUGCACUUGAUCUGCUUGUAGUGACCAGCCCACAUCCUAAAAAAAUCUAGGUAAUCUCUCCAACGAGCUCCGGUGUCAACGAUUUGACAUGUCUCUUCAUGUAAAUGGCUAACUGAUUCUUGUCCAAUACUGAUUGCACUUGAAGCUUAAAUGUAUCAACGAUAUCAGCCACUUCGAUGACUUGAUGCAACCUAGAAGUCCUUCAAGUCAUAACUCACAAACUUGGACAGUUUCUCAUGAAAACAGUCACCUUGUAGCCAACACGAAACUCAAAACACAGUCUCACAAGAACAACUUCAACCAUCGCAUCCAUUCUCUCAUACGGAGAUCCCAAGAGGAAUUUAAAAACGUGCAUCUGUUGGAAUACAUUUGAAGGAAGUAUAUUUCUCGGGGCAUCAAGAGUUGUUACAAAUCUCAUCAUUAAAAUGACUGGAACCUUGACCACCCAUUCACUCAACAUGAGAAUGAAAUCUGAUAACACGGACCCACAACAUCGCUUCAUAUCAUCUAUUAUCACAACCACCGGCUUGUUGUAGCUGCCCGAAUCACUACACCAUGAUGCUAAAAUGGAUACAUCAGCUGCGUCCAAAGCAACCAUUAGAAACUGUCUCAACAAACCUCUGAGACAGCCGCCAAUGCCAUUAUUAGCCAAAAAAUUAAUGUAUGAUAAGUUAGCCACAUGACAUCCAUGAGAUUUUAGAUGCAGACCGAACUCUUCCCAACGUCAUCAAAUCAUCAAUGUAACCCCAUAUUCUAGGUGAAAACCAAACCAGUGAAUAGUUGCCUUAAGAUGGAUGUUCCUCAAAACAUCCUUAAUAGUGGACUCAAUAUUUGGCCAAACAAAAUUGAAGGCUUCCAUUCGUAAGUGCUCAUGGUGAUGAUCAUCCCGUUCUUUAUCCGUGCCAAUUUCCAUUUUCUCGGCAUUUUUGACUGAGAUUGGAGAUGAGUCAAUCUUCUUCCUGAAAUCUAGCUUUGAUCCAACAAGUCUCGAAGUUCAAAGCAAACGCAAAUGCUCAAUUUUUCUCAUUAAAUGCACUCGACGGUGUUCUUAUAACCCAAGUCCCGUAUGCAUGAAUAAUAAGAGCGGAUAGAUAUGAAAGAUAGGGGAUGUAGCCAACGGGAUGGGUGAUGAAGAAAAGUGGGAUAGAUGGGUUAGGUCAAUAAGAGAGAUAAAAAGUUAGGUGUGAUCACGGGUAUGAGAGAAAUGGUAAGCUCAUAUGGGAUGAACUGUGGGUGUCAAUUAUGAUGGGUAUGAACGACAUGUAAUGGCAUGUAAGCGGUUGGAGAAAUGUGUGAUGGACGUUAAUGAGGCCACGUAUGGCCAUGCAACAAUGGAGGGAAUAGGUUUGAGGUGCACUUGGAAAAUGGGUAUGUAAUGUGGUAAAGAGAGAGAAAGUGAAUUCGGUGGUAGUGGGCAUGAGAGGUUCGGUGGAUGUGAGUGAAAGUGUCCAUAGGGGGUGGCCAUGCAUGCAUGAUUCCAAUGCAUGUAGGUAGGUGACUUUGGGAUUCCAAUGGAGAUGAGCACGACACGGGUAUGGUGGUUAUGACGGAGGAUGGUGAGUAAGGGAAUGAGCAUGGAGAUGGAUGUGGUGUAUGAAGGUUAGUGAGAAGUGGGUUAGCGACGGAAACAUGAUUCUAGUGCGUGCAUGAGAGGGAAAUGGGUAUGGUGGAGGAUGCUUGAUUCCUGCAAGCGUGAGUGAAUGAUGGGUAUGGCUAGCACGAAGGACAGAAAGAUGGUGAAACGGAGCGGGUUUGAUGGGUCUCGGGAUGGAUAUGAUAGAUGGUGGAGAAAAUGGGUUAGUGGGGGUGUGAAUUGAUUCGUGCCCAAUUGGUGUCUCAGCUGAUUCGUGUUCAGCUGGUGCUCCUUGAUUGAGAGAGUAAUCAACAAAAUUUAUAACCUAUUACACCAUUUACUAGGGUAGCAAAGACAAAGCUACUAUAGCAUAGUGGCUCUAGGAUCGUUCACUGGGAUGGGUUUUCACUUUGCAAAUGAUAUUAAUUCAAAGCUGAAUUGGUGUCUUUUCAUUUCAAGGUUAGCUUUAAAAGAAAACAUAAAGAUGUUUGAAUGAAAAAGGUUUGGUUUUAAACUAACCAAAAAUAGUAACUGAUUUUACUUACAAAGAAAAAUGUUUCUUGGAGUUUCAGAUCACUAGGCUCAGAUUCCUCAUACAAAAAGGGAGUUUCGGUCACUUGUUUCUUUUCCUCGCAUUAGAUAAUUAACAUAUAGUUCCUUCUCCAACCGGUGUUGUACAGAAACUUCCCAUUAAUGGGUUCAAACACUAAAUCUCUCUCACUGAUGCACCUUGCAAUGACUUGUGCCUCUCACCUAGCAUUUGCCAUUCAAGGUGAUCUUUAACCUUGGACUUUCCUUCAAAAGCUCGCAAUAGAUAACUAAUGGAUGUCUCCUUAGAGUCCAAAAGCUUACCAAGUGUUGGCUAUUCUAGAAAAUCCUACCUUCAAACCACCUACCAAAGGCUCGCAAGGGGUAAACUAGUGAAUCUCCAUGGACGGAGAUCACUUGCCUUACCAAGUGUUGGCCCAGGUGAUUUAAAAGCGUUUUAAGUUAACUAAAAAGAUAGAAAUCAUUAACGAGUCACACUUUCUCUUCAUUAAUAACUAAAACAACAAAACUUCCAAAUUAUGCAUGUGGAAACUUACCCGGAUUUCCUCACUCCAAGAGACGAAGAGCCUAGCCUCUCAUCCUCUGAGGAAAAAUCCUCAGAGUUUGUUUGGCUAGCAAGAAAAUGAAAAUGAAAGAGAAGGAAAAACAGAGCAAGGCUCUGUAUAUUCUAUAUAUUUAUAUAUCUAUCUAUAUGAUGGAUCUCCUGGAACAAGCUCCUCCGAGAGUCCUCCAAGAGUCCCAUUUUUUAGUGUUUACAAGAGAGUUUAUAUAGGAAGGUAAUUUACCCUUCCUUGGAUACUUCUUAGCUAAGGAAUUACAUAAGUGGUUGAAUACAAGGAGAAAAUGGAAAUUUAGACACAAAAAUCUGAAGAAAAAUAUCUCAAAGUUUCGGUCGCAAAUAUCGGGAAGCACUAAGGACCAUUUCGCAGGUGAAAACGAGGUCUGCGAAAUUUCGCAGACGCACAAAAAGGGCUGCGAAAUCACUUCGCAACAAAAGGCUGAUUUCGCAGCGCUACGAAGUUGGCUUUCAACUUGCGGUGUUCGGCUUCCAAUGUGUUGCAACUAUCGGGAAACUUUAGGGGGAAUUCCACAGCACUGUACAAAAAGGCUGCGAAAUCAUCUUGCAACAAAAGGGUGAUUUCGCAACGCUGUGCAAAAUUCUUCCUUCAGCUUAGAGUGAUCGGCUUGCAAUGGCUGUAACUCCUUCAUUUCAACUCUGAAUUGUGUACCGUUUGAAGCAUUGGAUUCUUGACUUCCUGAGCUUUGAAAUGGUAUAUAGAAUGUAGAAAAUGGACUUCAGGAAGUGCUCCAAAAGUGCGAAAGAAGGCUGCAGCUGCUGUCCUCUGUUUUCUUCACUCUAUUUUCCUCUCUCCAGUGCUCUUUCCUUGCAUACUUUGAACGACUAAGGCAAAGGACUAUGAGGCUCCAAAGCUUGGUUCUUCAUGAAUUUGAGCUUCCAAAAGCUUUGCCAUGAACUAUAUACAACUCUCCCUCAUUCUUAAAUUGCUUUGGUGAGCAAAAAGCUAUCAAAAACACCAAAACUUAACACAAUUUGAUUAGAAACGAUUGCAAGGGUCCUUAACAUGUUAAUUGGGUUAAAAAGCAAUAACUACUACUCAAAAGUGUUUAAAAGAGUUAAUUACAAGGUAUGAAAUAGCACUUUUUGAGUAGUAAUCAUGAAUGAAAGGCGCAUGAGGAUACAGUGAGUGCAUAGGAUCAAUGAUAUUAAGCGAUGUGGGUUAGCGAGAAAUGGGUAUGGAGAAGGUAGUGGCUCUCAUGCACGUGGGUGGAUGGAUUUGGGAUGCUAGCAGAUUAGAGGAAGCUUGGGGGGGGGGGGGGGGGGGGGGGNNNNNNNNNNNNNNNNNNNNNNNNNNNNNNNNNNNNNNNNNNNNNNNNNNNNNNNNNNNNNNNNNNNNNNNNNNNNNNNNNNNNNNNNNNNNNNNNNNNNGGGGGGGGGGGGGGCGCAUAUAUGGCGUACUAAAGAUGAGACAAAGGGUCGGCGGAUCUUAUGUGAACCGGAGCAAAGGGGUGCACCCAUGAUUCUGUGGAACCUGGUAGCGGCUAAAACACCGACAGGCUCACCAGCAGGGAAGGGAUGCUCGGAGUUAGUUCUAGUCUUCACUCCAUACUCAAAUUGGAUAGUUGAAUUGCUACAAACAUUCCUCACUGUACCAUCAUAACAGAUAACAACAUCUCGAAGAGUGGCCAUUAAGUUUUUAAACAAAGUUCCUAGUCCAGACAAGCCCCUUGAUGAUCGUACAAUUAUUUCUCGUGGAAAUUGAAUGAACCAUUUCCUCAUAAGGAUCUAAGCCAUGGGAGAAACAGUUUCAUGAAAAGGAUACUUGCUUUUGAAUUAGAUAAGCCAUGCCCUCAACCCAGAUCCUGGAAUAGAACUUACCCUUUUCUGAAGGUUGUAGUCCUAGGAACCCCAUUUGUUGAACUACCUUGUUAAUAGCCGAAUCACUCUUAGAAUCAUUUAAAUUACCCAGUGCAGAUGAAUUCAAAAUUAAAUUAGCAACAAGAACCUUGGUAUGUCUCAAGUGAUUCUCUGCCUGCAACUCUAGCAAUUCAUUAUACUUCGACCUUAAGUUAUACAACAACGAUGAAAUGUCCUCAACCUUUUUUUGGAUAUUCUGUAUGACCUCCCUGGGAUCGGAAGAAUCCUCCAAGCUGACACUGAAACCCUCUGAAAAUAAAUUUUCCAUGAACAAAGGCGGUAAUGAAUCAAAGAACUUCAAGACCUCAUUGGGACCUUCCUCAGAGAAAAUGGAUGUGACAAUUUCAUUUACCAAAGAUUGCAACACAUCUCUAUUAUAAUCAACUUUCAAUAUAACACUUUUGCUAAUCGAGUGCCUCUUUCCAAUACAAUCAAAAUGAGGAGGUAAGGCAGUUUGCAUCUAUGGAAUGGACUUGAGUUUUUCCGUAAGCACCUCGACCCAGAUGACCAGUAUGAAGUGCGACACUCAACAUUUCAAAAAAAAAACUUAAAAGAAAAAAACAUGAGAAGAAAACAGAGCAUGUACACAUAUAUAUAUAAAAAGAAGGCUGCUAAGUCUCGCCCCAUUCCACAGAUGUCAAUGGGAGGGGUUUAGGUGGAACCAAAAGGAAACGUGGUCAUGAUCUCCAAAAAUCAAAUGCAGUGAUGAAUCUACACCCAGAACACUCCAAAACAAAAAAAUAAAAAUAAAAAUGCACAAGUAGUCUUCAAGUGUCAAAGGAAUCCACAAAUGAAAAGAAACAUAGGAGCAUGUACGAAGUGCGACACUCAACAUUUCAAAAAAAAAACUUAAAAGAAAAAAACAUGAGAAGAAAACAGAGCAUGUACACAUAUAUAUAUAAAAAGAAGGCUGCUAAGUCUUGCCCCAUUCCACAGAUGUCAAUGGGAGGGGUUUAGGUGGAACCAAAAGGAAACGUGGGCAUGAUCUCCAAAAAUCAAAUGCAGUGAUGAAUCUACACUCAGAACACUCCAAAACAAAAAAAUAAAAAUAAAAAUGCACAAGUAGUCUUCAAGUGUCAAAGGAAUCCACAAAUGAAAAGAAACAUAGGAGAACUGUUCAAAACGGGAGAAAUAAAACAGACUGAAUCCUCUUUGGCUUGCUCUCCUCUCCUCUCCGUCUCCUUCCCUCCCAGCUAUCCAACUCCACCCCCCCCCCCNNNNNNNNNNNNNNNNNNNNNNNNNNNNNNNNNNNNNNNNNNNNNNNNNNNNNNNNNNNNNNNNNNNNNNNNNNNNNNNNNNNNNNNNNNNNNNNNNNNNUUUAAAGGGGGGGGGUUUGGGGGGAACCAAAAGAAAAGGGGGGGCGGUCCCCCAAAAAAAAAAGGGGGGGGGAAAUCCCCCCCCGGACCCCCCCAAAAAAAAAAAAAAAAAAAAAAAAACCCCAAGGUUUUUUAAAGGGUCAAAGGAACCCCCAAAAAAAAAAAAAAAAAGGGGAAACUUUUAAAAAGGGGAAAAAAAAAAAAGGAGAAAUCCUUUUGGGGUUGUUUUCCUUCCCUUCCCGUUCCCUUCCCCCCCAAUUUUCAAACCCCCCCCCCCCCCCCCCCCCCCCCCCCAAAUAUCUCUCAAAACCCCUGUUUUUGUCUUCCCCAGCAAGCCAUACUACCCACUCCACUAUGCAUUGCUUAGGGAGGAUGUCAUCCUCAACCACCACCAUGGUCGCCUUUGCCACACGUCCAUACAGCUAGUUUCUUCUCCAGAAAGAGGUCCCUUCCACUUCAAAAAAAGAAAAAAGGAAAAAAUUUCUCUCCCGAGUGGUCCCAAAACGAAUGAAAAACCCCUGGUCUUUGAAGAGGUCUACAGUUUGAUUGUUAAGAAACUAUUAGAAGUUUUCUAAGCUAAAACUUAUUUUUAUGUAAUGUAUUUUAUGAUUUAUGAACAUUGUUGAGAUUAAUUUGUUAACUUUUUAUUUUUAAUUUGGGAAAAAAAUAAAUAUUAAUUUUGGAAAUUAAACAAUGGAUAAUAUAAUGAUAGAAUAAUAUUUUUUCCAUUAUGUUUGUUUAAUAGGUAGAUUCACAAAAUAUUUCAGACUUGUAUUUGAGAUUUACCAAUUUUUUCAAAUGAUUGGAUUAAGGUUCAGUCAUGAUUGGAUCAUAUAUAUUAUAUACUAUUCUAUUCAUGAGUAAAUCAAAUGAAUGAUGUAAAUUACCAAGUUCUGCAAACUUCAAGCAUUGCCAAAAGAAAAAAAAAACCAUUUUUUUUAUACGACAUAGACUAAGGACUUUGUAUAAGUCAAUAAUUAAGAUGUCAUCAAAGUCCUUCAAGAAAUGUCCAAGGAAAUUUUAAAAAUCAUGAAAAAAAAAAAGUUAUAAAUGGUGUUUUAAUGUAUUAUAUACAUAUUCUCUUCAAAAGGUAUUUUUAAACUCCUCUUAGAAUUUGCUAUUCCGACAUUCUUUUUUCUUUUUCUUAUCUCAAUUUAAAUAGACUUUAAUUUAACUUAAAUUUAAAUAGUAUGAAAUAUUAAGUGAUUUGUUUUCAAUUUUUUUUUCUUUGACUUAAUUCUUAAAAAAUAUUGUUUUAAUAUUUAAGUCAUUUUAAAGAUCGUUUAUUUGUUUAAUUUAUUAUUUUUUAAGACAAUUUUAUCUUAAUAGAAAAACUAAUUCAUUGUUUUUCUUUUAUCUUAAAUUUUAAAUUAACUUGUUUUAAGACUUAAGUUAGAAUUAAAAUUUUAAAUUUUAAAAAAACAAUAAACCCUUAAACUAUAUUUGUUUAUGAAAUUAAACUAAGAAAAAUAAUUUUUUAAUUAAUGGUUUCAUUGUGGAAAUACAAAUAUAUAUAUAAUAAAAAUAAAUUAAAAUUUUAUACAUUUUAAAAUUAUUUAAUUUAUAUUUAAUAAAAUAAAUAAAUAAAAUAAAUUAAAAAAACAUAUUAACUUCAAUUUUUUUUCCUUCACUUUUUUCUUCCCAUCUAUUUUUGUUCAUUUCUUUCCCUCACUUCUCCCCUCAAAAUUUUAAAUUUAUUUAACCAUUUUAAGUCUUCGUGCCAAUGCUAGUCAUAAACAAACAAUUGAUGAAGACCUUUCAGCCCUUUGUGGAGCAAGUAUCACAAGAAUAUUGAGCCAAUCAUGAACACCAUCCUGUCCUCAACUUCAUCUGUUGCUAUAAAUCUAAAUACUGAUGUAGACCUGUGGACCCCGCAUUUCGGCUCAUGCGUUUCCCACUCGAUGGCGAGCUCGAUUUUGAUUUCGAAAAAUUGAUUUUAUAUUGAUUAAGAAAAAUGACUUGGAGUCGCCACUUAUUUUUGUUUUAUUUUUAAAGGGUAAACAAAAUAAGAAAGAAAAACCCUAAGUGCGACUCCUUGUUUUGGAAAAGGUGGUCUGUGAAAAAUCGGAUUGGGUUCGGGGGUCAGGUUACUCAUCGGGAAGGUACGGUAAAGACCGUAGCACCCCUCUAAGCCCCUAAAGUCGGGUCUCGACUAUUAAAAUGAAACUGACGUGGCAACUGAUGAGUAAAUCAAUGAAUAUCCUGAAUGAGCAUGCACACAUAAGAAUCGAGACAUGCAUAGACAACGGUUAGAGGGAAAAUGGGUACAUACCUGGGCCACGAGCCACCAUGCGCUAUCAUUAGAGAGGGUUAGUACACCAUAUAGAGCACAAAACAUAUCACAUGCAUCACUGAACAGGGAUUAAAAUUGUUCGAAAGAACACUUGAUUUUUGAAAUUCAUUUGAGAAUCGGAAUCUUAGAGAUCAUUUGAAAAUUGGAUUCUUAGGAAUUAGAUGUAAUGAAAUUUUUAAGAGAAGUAAAUGGGUAAGUAUGGAAUAAUGUUACUAAUUAAUCAAAACGAUAUUUGGACGGAUGAAUAGUGAAUAGUGGGAUUUUGAAAAUUAAGUUUGAAAGUCGGAUCUCUGAAUAAUUGGACUCUAAUUAUUGGAAUUUUUAGAAGGAAGAAAUAAGUAAACGUGGAAUUUAUAACAAUGAUAACAAAGGCGACAUUUGGAUGAAUAAAAGAGAAUGGUGGAAUUUUUUAGUCUCAAGGUUAAAUUUGGAGGUCCGGCUUUGAAGAAUUGAAUGUUAAUGAUCGAAAUAAAUAAGUAAAUAAGUAUGGAGUAAUGAUACUGAUGAACCAAAAUAAUGUUUAAACGAAUAAAAAAAAGAGGAUAGUGGAAUUUUUCUAAUUGAGAAUUUGAAUUAGGGCGUUGGAUUUUUUAAGGGACAUGACUUUGACUAAAUAGGUAGGUAUGUGAUUAUAAUACUAAUUAACGAGAAUAACAUUUCGGUGAAUAAAGAUGGAUAGUAGAAUUUUUGGGAUUAAAGUUUUGAUUAAGGCAUGGGGUUUUCGGAAGAUUAGACUUUGAAUGGAUAUGGGAAUAAUGUUUCUAAUUGAUGAAGAUAAAAUUUAGAUGAACUGUAGAAUUUAUAAGAUUGAAAAAUAAGAUUGAAAAAUUGAAUUAAGACAAGAGAUUUUUGAAGAACUAGGUUUUAAAUAAAUAGACGAAUACGUUAUAAUAAUCCUAAUUGAUGGAAAUAAGAUUUAAACGAAUUACUGAGAAACUAAAUUAAGACAGGGGAUUUUGAAGGAUUAGAUUUUAAAUAACUAAAUAAAUGCGGGAUAAUAAUUCGAUUUAUGAAAAUAUGAUUUAAACAAGAAUUAAAUUAAAACUUAGGAUUUUUGAAAGAUUGACAUAGAUAGAUAGGAGAAUAUAGGAUAGUAGUUCUAAUUGAUAAAUAUGAGAUUUAAAAGAGUUUUUGGGGAAUUAAAUUAAAACAUGUGACCUUUUUUAUAGAUUGGGCUUUGAAUAAAUAAUAAAUAAGGGAUAAUGAUUUGAUUUAUGAAAACAUGAUUCAGACAAGAAUUAAAUUAAGACUUAGGAUUUUUGAAGGAUUGACAUAAAUAGAUAGGAGAAUAUAGGAUAGUAGUUCUAAUUGAUGAAUAUGAGAUUUAAAAGAGUAUUUGAGGAAUUAAAUUAAAACAUGGGAUUUUCUUAAUGGAUUAGACUUUAAAUUAAUAAAUGAAUAUAGGAUAUUAAUUCAAAUUAAAGAAAAUAACGUUUAGACAAAUAGUGGGAUUUUAGGAUCGAGAAUUGAAUUAUGACAUUGGAUCCUUUUUUUUUUAAGGGUUGAAUUUUGAAUAAAUAAACUAAUAUAGGAUGAUAAUACUAAUUAACGAAAAUAAUCAGUUAAAACGGGAUAACAAGGACAGUGGAAUUUUUAGGAGUUUGAAAAUUAAGCUAGGACAUUGGAUUUACGAAGGGUUGGAUUUUAAAUUAGUAUAUAAAUAUGGGAUACUAACUCUAAUGGGUGAUAAUGAGAUUUGAACUAAUUAUUGAAGAAUUAAAUUAAGACACAUGAUUUAUUUGGAAGCCUUAGACUUUAAAUAGCUAGACAUAUAUGGUGAUAAUUCUUAAUUGAUGAAAAUGGGAUUUAAAUAGAUUAUUGAAAGAUUAGAUUAGGAUAUGGGGUUUUUCAAGGAUUAGAAUUUAACUUUGAUGACUGAGAUUUUCAAAAGAUGAUAAAUAGAUGCGUACGAAGUAAUAAUAAUAAUUAACAAUCAUAAUGUUUAAACUAGUUAAAUUAGAUGAAAUAAGCUCCAAGAUAAAAAUAUAAUUAACAAUAGUAAUUUGUUCUUUAAUUGCCUUUAAGAUGAGUUAACUAAAUGGGUAAAAAUAAGGUAACAAAUAAAAGGAAAUGAUUUGAUUAAUUAAUUAUGGAAAUUAGAGGCUUUGUUUUAUUUUUAAAAAAAUGAUUAUUUAGGAAUUGGGCAGCCUGGAGGGCUUACUUGUUCACAAACUUGGGCUUGGUGCUCCAACCCAAAUCCAAAGCUACCAUGGGCGGGCUCAAAAACCCAUCCCAAACCCAAGCCCGAAACUCCAUCUUCUUCCUAGCUUACCCCCCUCUAAACGCACACCAUCCUCAGAGGAAGCCUUCAUGGCCAGCAGCAAGGUGGAGAGAGGAGCCGUGGCAGCGGUUCGACGGUAUCCAGAAAGUGUCGUCGUCAUGGUGGCUGAUGCGAGUGCUCACCUAGCCGGAGCGGGUGAUGGCGGUUGGUGAGGCGAGCCAGCGCCUCGCCGACGUGGUGCGCACAGCAAGAAGACGCAGGGAGGGAAGGCCGGCGUGCAUGGAAAGUUGCGAAGCUCUCCGGGCCUCUGGCAGACGUGCCGCCGAUGGAGACGGCGAGGGCGAUGGCGAAUAAUGAGGAGGGAGAUGGCGGAGGCAGCUUGCCUGCUUGGAUCCCACGCGUGCAGAAGAGUGGCUUUGGGAGCCCUUGCGGAAAUGGGUAUGGCGACUAGAGGAAGAAAAGGUGAUGGGGAAGAAAGGUGAGGGUAACGGCCAUGCCGGGAACAUGGGUGCACGGCUAUGGGGCUGCUGAACAAAAGGGACUGUUGGGGAUAUGCAUGGCAGCAGCCUUUCGAGUGCCAGUGACGUCCGCUUGAAGGGCAGGGUUCAAGUAUGGAUCCUUCAAGGCACUCUCGACUUCGGGGUUGGUAUUCUCUCCGACAACGAAAUGUCUGGGCAACUGAUUCCUCAAGUUUGAUGGGUCCAGAACCCUUUUAUCGAUUUAAAUCCAUUGCCUGGCUCCCCUUAGAUGGACAUCAGAAACAGGGGAAGGAGAGGAAACUACAAGAAAAUAAAAAGGAGGGCACCAGCUGACCAAACAACUAAGGCAAACAAACCUAUGUUUCGCGCUUGGAUCCAUGGGCUUCGCUGUAGGUGGGUGGAUCCGGAUGCAUUCCACGGGAGCGAGGACAAAAACAAAACUCUCCCAUGAAGUAUAGUGCAACAGAAACAGAGCCGAGUUGCUCUCAAAUCAUCCCGAGGAAAAUAAACGAGCUAGCCACAAUGAAUUCAUAGACCAAAUGGCGACCAUAAAACUGAACGUAUAACCAAAAAAUCCGUAAACACUAUCCAGAAAAAAGAGGAAUAGGAAUAUGUACCGAUAAAAUGAGUUCAAUGAUUCAUGGAAGACAUACCUUUCCUUUCUUCUCUCUCGGCGGAUCCUCUUGCGGACGUCCUCUGCUGCCCAAAAGUCCUCCUUCCUCCCUUCCCUUUUCUUCUUUUCUCCUCUGUUUUUCUUCUGUUCCUGUCUUCCUCAGCAAGCCAGUCGUAUCCCGUCCAAUCUGCCCCCCGAGAGCCGCCCACUUGAGUCCCCUCUCUGCCCCAAAAACCAGCUCCUGACCAUCAUGUCGAGCCCCGGGAAAAAGGUAGGAAAAGGAAAAGAAAUAAAAUAAAUCCAAAUAAAAAAAUCUCUGCCUCCAGGGGGGUCUACAAGACCCUAUCUGAAAAUGGUCCACUGGAUAGGUACCUCCCACAAGAAAAUUAAUGAAAGCUAGAAAAAUGAAAAAAAUAAAAUAAAAAUUAAAGCUUCAUUUUUAUUUUUUUUUUCCCAACUCACAUGGAAUAUAGACUAAGACUUUGUUUCAGUCAAGAGUCAACAUGUCACAAAAUUCCUGAAGUCAUUGUCUAAGGAAAAUAAUAAAUAAUACUUUAAUGUAUGAUGUAUAUAUUUUCUACAAAAGGCAUUUCUAGACUUCUACAAUUUUCUCCUAUGGACCACUGACCAACUUCAAUUAAUUGAGAAAGUUACGUGAAUGAAGGGACUUCCUACUCCAUGUUAAGUGAUAUGACAUAUAAAGGAAAAUAAAAUAUCAUGAAAAUUAUUAAAAUUUUUAUAUUUAUACAAUUCUUUAUUAUUAUUAUUAUUAUACAUAAAGGGUUGGAAAAAUGCAUAACAUGACUAAGUGGUAGUUUUUUUUUUUUUUUGUCUAAAAUGUAAAUAAAUCUAAAUUAUUAUUUUUUAUUCUAAUUCUAAAAUUAAUAAUUUAAGAAAUAGUAAUUUAAUAUAUUUACAAAUAUAUACAAAAAUUUAAUUUAUUACCAUAAUAAAUAUUUUCUGACAAUUAAUUAUGUAAUUAGUAGAAAAUUUAUAAUUAGAUAAUGAUUAGGAUUUUUAUUCAUGUUUGGUUGUUAAGAAACUAUUAGAAUUUUUCUAAGUUAAAACUUAUUUUUAUGAAAUGUAUUUUCCGAUUUAUGAAUAUUGUUGAGAUUAAUUUCAACAUUUUUUUAUUUUUUAUUUUUUACUCUUCAUAUGGAUAAUAGAAAGUGGAUUUGUGAUGCUUUCUUGGAUUUAUAGCAAUUAAAACUUAUUUCUUGAAUAUACAAUUUAAAAGUUCAAUUGUUAAAAUAAAGUCAUUUCUCAAAGAGAUUUCCUAUUUUACUUUAGUUAGUUUUGGAUUAGAAAUUAUACCUUUUAAUUUAUGCUCUCAUUAUUAUUCUAAAUCUAUUUGAGGUAAAUAUCAACUAGCUAGAUGUUGGAUUUGUUAGAUAAGGUCAUUCAUGUGUUCAGCUCUCAAGUUUGAUAUAUAAAAUCACCAUAGUACCCUUCACCUCUGUGUCAAGGUAUCGUAGUAUUAAACUUUUAAAAAACAUUAUAAACUUGAUGCAUUGGAACGGUAUGAUCAUUAUUGUUGAAUGAAUCUAUCAUUUUUUAUUGAGUGAAUAGCUUAAUUUAGAAUUUUUACGAUUUUUGUUUUAGUUAGAACUUUUAGACAAUAUUUGAUUCCUGAAAACUUGAAGGGAAAAUAUAAGGGAAUAAAAUAGAGAAGAAAAAUAUAAGGAAACAAAAGAUUUAAAAUCACUCAUUUUAACUCAUGUAAAUACUAAAUAAUUUUUAAGGGGUUGCUAUUCGCAACAUCUCUUUUGCUAAUGUAACACUUUUUUGUCAUAUUUUUUUUUUCAUAUAUACCCUUUUUAAUAAAGAACUCUCUCUAACCUCCUCUCAACAUAUUAAACCUAAAUUCUAGUUAAUUAAGGGUACGAAUCACAUACGAAAUACAAUGAAUAACGAAAUUCAAUCAUCUUAUGAUAAUUUUCAGGUAAGAUUUAUAACUUUUAUUUUUUUUAUAAAGAAGUAUAUUGUUUUGACAUUUUUUUAGGCUCUUGAUUACAUACUUUGUUUUAUGAGUCUUUACUUUGCAUACACAAAUAAUUAUUACAUUACUCAUAUUCUUAAUCAAUCUUUAGUUAUAUGCAAUAUUUUUGUUUGGGUUACAAAAAAAAUCAUAUCGAACACAAUAAAAAAAAAUAUUUUUUAAAAAACCAUUCCAAUUAAAUAUUGUUUAUUUUAAAAUUUUAAUAAUAAUAUUUAUUUUAAAAAAUUGAGUUAUGAAUUUCACAUUAAAACAUUGAAUAUAAUAAAAUCAUUUUACAUAAUAUACUUUUGGUGAAAAUAUAAUUUUAUAAUUUAUUAUUUAAAGAAAUUAUUUUGUUUUAAAAUAUAAGAAGAAUAUGAAAAACAAUUGAGUGUGAAAAAUAAAAUAAAUGAAAAGAAAAAAACACAAAGUUUACUUGGGGUGGGAGGUUGAGUAGGUAGAGAUGAAAAGAAAGAUAACAAUAAAAGAAAAAGAAUGCUAAAAUGUAGGGUGGGGGUUGGGAAAAAGAAAAGAAAAAUAAAAAAAGGGUGCAAUUGGGACAUGAGGUUGGGGAGGAGAGAGAGGAGAGGAGAGAGGAGAGAGAGGGGAAAGGAAUAAGGAAGGGUAGUUUAGGAAUGUAAAAUAUCAUAUUAGUAAAAAUGGUGUUGCGAAUAGCAAUUGAGAUUUUUAAAUGUAUAAAUUUUUAACUAAUUUUAAUUAUAUUUAAUUUUUAUUGAUAUUUUCGAUGAUAUAACAAUCCAUAACAUAAUCAUUUUUCCUAUUAUUAUUUUUUCUUUUCUUCGCACUUUCAAGGAAACAAAAAUAAACACCGAGUAAAAUUAUGAUUUUAAAGGUAGCUUGGUUAACAUUGUGUAUACUUUUUGUUGAACUCUUUUCGAAGUGGAAUUUUUGUUAUAAAUUUAUCUAAAUACCUAAAAAAUCUCGUAAGCAACAACAAUUAGGUUUGUGUUACAUCUCAUUUAACAAUUAUUGUAAAGCUAUAAUGACUAGAUGGGGUUAGAUAGUACACAAUUUGAACCUUUGGUUUCAAAAUUUAAUCAAAGAAAAUUCAGUAACCAAAUGUUUAAAAUUUAGGAAUGAUGAUGGACAGGUUUUGAAACUAUUUCAAAUUUUGAUACAACUAUAAAUCUAGAAGAAAUGAAGACCUUUUAGCAUAUAGAAGAAGUUUCACCAAACUAAUAAUUAACAUAUAAAUAAGUAGGAUGAGUGUUUGAGACACUUCUCUUUUUGUUGGAUUCGGUUCUAGUCUGACUCAAGGUUAAUAUAUUUUUAAUUUCCACUUUGUUCAUUUAUGCAUUGAUUCAAAAAAAUAUGUCAUGUACUAAUGUUAAUUCAAGAUACUAAUUACCAAGUUUUUGAAACAUGAAGUCAUGGUCCAAAGAAAACGAUACAAUAUUUUAUUUUUUGUUUCUAUUUCUCCAUUCUUUUGCUUAACUCACACGAAAUAGACUAAGGACUUUGUUUUAGUCAAGCAUCAAGAUGUCACAAUCACAAAGAAAAGAAAUUCAAACAAUGCUUUAAUGCAUGUUGUGUAUAUUUUCUCCAAAAAGCAUUUUAGACUCUUGUUAGAAUUUUCUCCUACGGAUUCUUUACUAACUUUAAUUAAUUGAAGAAAGCUAUACCAAAUUUCCUACUCCAUGUUAAAUAUUAUCGCCUAUAAAGGAAAUAAAAUAUCAUAAAAAUCAUUUAAAAAUUUAUAUAUAUUCAAAUUUUUUAUCAUAUAUAUAAAGGGUUGGAAAAAUGUAUAACAGGUUAAUGUGGUAUUUAUUUUUGAUCUAAAAUUUGAGUAGAUCUAAGUUUGACUUAAAUCUACUUAUAUUAUUAAGUGUUUAGGUUGCUUACUUUUUAUCAAUGUAUAAAUAUUGUUAAGUGUUAAAUUGCUUUCUUUUAUUAAUGUCUAAAGAGUUACACUUAUUUAUUUCUACAUGUUAAAAAUAUCUAUAAAAUUAAUUAUUAUAUUUUUUCUUAUUUUAAUUUUAAAAUUAACCAUUUAAGAGAUAUUAAUUUAAUAUAUUUAUAAAUGUACAAAAAUAUUAUAAUUUAUUAUCAUAAUAAACAUUUUAUAAUGACUAAUUAUGCAAAGUGUAGAAAAAUAACAAUUAGAUAAUUAUUAGGAUUUCUAAUUAUGCUUGGUUGUUAAAAAAUUUCUAUGUUAAAACUUAUUUUUAUGUAACUAUCUUCAAAUUUAUGAAUAUUGUUGAGAUUAAUUUAUUAAUUUUUAUUUUUAAUAUGGGAAAAAUGUAAAAAUCUAAAUUUUAUUUUUAAAAUUAAUUGGAUUUUUUUAUUCAAGCUAAUUACUAAAUGAGGGUAAAUUAGAAAUCUAAGAUCAAGGACAUUAGCCAACCAAACUGACCCAAACCUAACCAAUCCAAUCUUAUUCAUUUCAAAACAAUGAACCAAUAGAAACCGAUUCUAAUCAAACAUAUAUAUUAUAUAUUAGACUUAAAAUAUACAAAAUUUGAAUUUUCAAAAUUUGAAGUUAUUUUUUGAAGAGACUUCAUAUUUUGCUUCUCACAUUUUACUAUAAAUUUAUGAAAUUAUUUUUUAGUUGUCAUAUUUUAAAAAAAAAUAUUUUAUUUUUUCAAAAUAAAUUCACUAAAUAAUGUCUCACAUGUAUUUGUGGUUCACUAAAUUUUUAAUAAUCAAAUUAAUAAAUUUGUAAAAGAAAAAUAUUAUAUUUUCUCCAUUUUUUUCACUUGAUAAACAAAUCUACAAAAAUGUCAAGCGAAUGUUUGAAAUUUACCUCUUUUUUUUUGCUUUUUUUUUUUUUUUUGUAAUCUUUGGUUGAUUGUAUUUUUAAAAGCAUUAUAAAUCCCAAGAAAGAAAUAUUUUUUUCUUUACCAUUAUAGUUCCAUAGUGUUUGAACUUAUCUUUACCAUUUUUUUUUCUUGAUCUAACUACAAGCUUGACUACACAAACUUUGUCAACAAUGAGAAUAAAAGUGAGGAGGGUGAUGAAGUUCUCCCUAUACUCUCCUCCCCCUUUUUAACUUUCCACGUUUUAAUUGUAUAUCCCCCCUCAACAAUAUAGUUUUAAGGUAUGUACACUUUAAUCCUGAUGGACUAAAGGCCCAUAAUUCAUCUCAAUGGGUCAACUAAAAUAUUAUGAGGAAGGUGAAGCCAUGGGCCUCUGCACAAUACAUUAAAUUGAUUAUGGCCCAAAACAAUACCCAUGCACAACCAAAUAUAGUUUACAAUAUACGUAGUCCACAAAAAACAUUUGACAUUAAUAGGUGAAUUUAGGUGAUUAUGCUAGUCCAAGAAACAGUAAAAAAUUUUAUUUGAAAAUUUAUAUAUUUUCAAACUCUUAAUUCCUCUUUAUAAAUGUGGAUAAAGUUAGAGAAGUAAUGAUAAGAAUUAUUAAAAUUUAUUAAUCUUGAAGAGAAGUAUAGAAAAUGGGAAAUUAAUGAGAAUUUUAUUAUUAUCUUUUUUAGUUCCUUUAUUUUAAUUUUUUUUUCUUUAUUUUCCUUCAAUGUUGUCUUCCCUAGUAAUAUAAAUGUGGAUUUGGGAAGUACAUAUGCCGUUAUAUGACCCAAAAAUUAUUGGUUAUAGAAUACUAUAAAUUCCAUAAGAACAUAAUUCACAUACAUUUUGUCUCAAAGUUAAAAUAGUCUUACUAGUUGUUAUAUAUCUAUUGGUGCAGUAGAUUUUGAGCUUGUCUUAAAAGCUCUCGCCUAUUGAUGCCCUUAUCAACUACUUCGCAAACCAAUUUGCCAAACUUGCAACACAAGAUGGUUGGGUGGUCAUCCCGCACAUCUCCUAUGGUCAAGUAAGUGGAUAACAAGAAAAGGAAGUGUUGAGAGUAGAUGGAAAAAUAAAUAUGGGAAUAUGGGUGAGAGAAUAUGAUAGGUGAAGCUUAUUCUCUUUGUUAGAGCUUGAUCGUACCUUUAUAUUUCAUUACCCAAUGAUGUUAAGCUAACUAUUAUGAGGUAAGUAGUUACUGUCAACCCCUUAGCCACUUGACUCUACUAUGGAGGAAAAGACCUCAUAGGUAGGCCUUGCACCCAUGAGAGCCUAGGUGGAAAGCCUGGAGAUUUGGUGGUUCAAACUCCAGGGGCUAAGUGAGGAGGUCGCGGGCGAGCCAGACGCGUACCGCGAGCGGGUCAGAUGCGCAUCGCGAGCGCGCAUUGCGGGCGAGCCAGACAUGCACCACGUGCACACCAUAUGGGCAUCGCACGUGCACCAAACUUAGGUGGUGCAGAUGAAGGUUGAGGAACUUUUGAAAUUUUAAUUUAUAUUUAUUUAUUAUUCCAUUAUGUCUCCUCAGGCAUAUUGAUGUCUCCUCUAGAAACAAUGAAAAUGACCCGUAUUGCUCUUUAAGGGGGGAUAGGUGACUCAAAGGGGGGAGCACCAAGGGAAAGCCUUGACCGCACCAAGGGGCCACCAUGGCACGACCUUGGGCGUGCCUAGGACACAUGGACGGGACUCGAGCAUGCACACAUGGGCUCCACGACAUGUGUAGUAUGCACCCCGUGACCGCAACUGCACGGGGCCUGGUGCGGCCUACCUCCUCCGCGCGCAGGCACGAGGGCACCUAAACCUUGUGCGGUGAGCCAGUUGAGGAAACCAUGGGCACAAUGCCAUGGCUUGAUGAGGCACCAGACAACAACUAACUCACACCCAUGAUGCCUACGCACAGCACAGGGGCGUAAUGCCUUGUGAACCAAGAGGGAUCAGCCAUGAGCACAAUGCCAUGGCUCAUUGCUAUGGAGUUGGACCUGACAAUGGAAGUAAGCAACACGCCCAAGCCAUGGGCACCUAGACAUGGCAUGGGCUCACACAUCAGUGUGGGGAAGGCACACCGAUGCACUAGACACUUGGUCAGCUGGUUGGUGCACGUUGCCUGGUUCAGAAGGUCUUGAUCAAAGACACGCUGGUAGUCACCAAGUCACAAGAGGUACCUUGCGGGGAGGAAACAGCUUGCUAGGGGGACUCUCCAGCAGCUUGGUGAGAAAGGCUUGAGAAGAUGGCAAUACAGCUAGCUAGUGGCAGCUAGCUAGAACAGCAAGUGGCCAAGUCAAGUAGUCAACUACAAUUGACUUGCAAUUGGUUGAGGUGUUGAUGGUUGGUGCAAGUGGGUGGUUCACGAGCAGGCUAUUAUCUGGGUGGUGGGUGGUUAUGCAAGGUAGUUAUGGGCAGUUCUGGCCAGUUGCAUAACCACUAGGUUGGCUCCAACCUUUGAAUUUGGAAAAUUCAAAUAUGUAACUGCAGGCUGAGUCUUUUAAAAGGGUUCCUGCAUCCUUGAAACAGAGAGUCAGAGAUUGGGAUAGGGUUCUUCUCUUAAUGCUUGGGGUGUGAAGCAUUGUACUCUGACUCAGGGGACUAAUUUUAUCUUGUAGAGUGAAUUAAUACAAGUUGGGAAAGGUUUCCUGUAAAUCGUUGGUGUUCCUAUUACUGUGCUUUUACUUUGCUUUUACUCUGUUUUUCUAAAAGCUGGGAAGGAAGGUUGGCUAAGGAAGGGUCCUUAGCACCACACACUCGUGAAAAAUUUAGUGUGAUCUUCAGAGGUGUGACAAUUGGUAUCAGAGCUCACAUCAGAGAUGGUUGGUGGUAGUGCAAUGGACGCCCUGCGGGAAAUGAUGACUCGGAUGGAAGAAGGGUUGGGAGAAUGGCCACGUGAGGAUGACACUGUGGCUUCGUGGGCAGAACACACCGUGGGAGAAAUUCAAGUGCAAAGGAGUCUGUUGGAGACCCAUGACAAUUUCUUUGAGGAGAAACUUGCUGGGUUGAAAUCAGAGAUGCAGUCCCUAAUGGAUGACUUCAAGGGCGCCUUGCAGUCCUAUGGAGAGGACAUUGCAACCCUUAAGAAGGCUAUGUUGUAGGGGUCCUCGUCAGGUUCUGAAGCCCCUUCCAAAGUCUAGGUCCCAGAGCCUAAGGGCUUCAACGGUAACAUGAACGCGAAGGAGUUGGAGAACUUCUUGUGGGACAUGGAACAGUUCUUCAAAGUUGCUCACAUUCCUGAUGGCGAGAAGGUGUCCAUCACUAGUAUGUAUUUGACUGGUGAUGCCAAACUAUGGUGGCGAAACAGGAUGGAAGAUGAUGCAGAGUCUGGAAGGCCCUAAAUCACCACUUGGGAAACUCUGAAGAAAGAAUUGAAGGAUCAGUCUUUCCCACCAACACUGCUUGGGUGGCUAGGGAAACACUGAAAAGGCUCAGACACACCGAAUCUGUGAAGGACUACGUCAAGGAAUUCAGUUUCUUGAUGCUCGACAUAAAGAACAUGUCAUAGGAGGACAAAGUCUUCAAUUUCAUGUCUAGAUUGCAAGGGUGGGCUCAGAUGGAACCUAGGAGACAAGGGGUUCGUGAUCUCCCUGCUGCCAUGGCUAUAACAGAUUGUCUGGUAGACUACAAAAUGGGUGGCGCCAUCUCCACCAUGCAGAGACCCAAGUCAGAAGGCUAAGGCUGAGGGUAAGACUUCUAAGAAGUCUAGGUAGAAGAAACAGAACAAAAAGCCUACUACAGGGGGAAAACCAGUGGAAAAUACCAUAAAGUUUGUGCAACAGACCAUUUAGAUGGCAAGAUGCUUCAUCUGCAAUGGCCCUCAUCGAGCCAGAGACUGCUCUAAAAGAGAGAAACUCUCAACCCUUGUGACUGCAGACGACAAGUGAGAGUUUGACUUAGAGACCCCUCCUAGAGUCAACCCAUUGCAACUCCUGAACAGGAUUAAUGGUGAGACCCCAGUCCAAAAGUCCUUGAUGCAUGUCCAUGCAGUUGUAAAUGGUGUGCAGAUGAAGGCCUUGGUGGACAGUGGUGCCACUCACAACUUCGUGGCCACCAGAGAAGCAACCAGGUUGGGAUUGAAGUUGGAAAAGGAUACCAGUCAGAUCAAGGCAGUCAAUAGUAAAGCCCAGAAGAUCCAAGGUGUAGCCAAGAAUGUCCCCAUGCAAAUUGGUGACUGGAAGGGCACGUGCAACCUACUCUGUGUACCCUUAGAUGACUUUGACUUGAUCCUUGGUGUAGAUUUCCUCUUGAGGGUUAAGGUGGCCUUGAUCCCACAUCUUGGUCGACUGAUGGUGUUAGAAGAAAAGUAGCCUUGCUUCGUGAAGGCCUUAAGGGCAAAGGAUGGUGGCAAAGGUCAGCCUGAGAUGUUGUCUGCCAUCCAAUUGAAGAAGGGAUUGAAGAGGGGUCAGGAGACAUAUGUUACAGCCUUGAUCAAGAUCAAGGAGUGACAGUUUGUGGAAGUCCUUGAUUUAGUGGUCAAAAUCCUUAAGGAGUUCAGAGACGUGAUGUCUGCAGAACUUCCCAAGGAAUUGCCACCCCGACGGCCUAUUGACCACAAGAUUGAACUGCUGCCUGGAACAAAGGCCCCAGCUCAAGCCCCUUACAGGAUGUCUCCUACAGAGUUGUUGGAGUUACGUAAGCAAUUGAAGGAAUUGUUGGAUGCAGGCCUGAUCCAGCCCUCAAGGGCCCCAUAUGGUGCACCAGUGUUGUUCCAGAAUAAGCAUGAUGACUCUCUCUACAUGUAUGUGGAUUAUAGAGCUCUCAACAAGGUGACCAUCAAGAACAAGUACCCGAUCCCCUUGGCUGUUGAGCUGUUUGACAGACUGUCAAAAGCCUUUUACUUCACCAAGUGGACCUGAGAUCGGGCUACUGGCAAGUGCAAAUUGUAGAAAGAGAUGAGGGGAAGACCACCUGUGUAACUCGGUAUGGAUCAUACGAGUUUCUGGUAAUGCCCUUUGGACUGACUAAUGCCCCUACUACAUUCUGCAAUUUGAUGAAUGAUGUUUUGUUUGACUAUUUAGAUGCAUUUGUGGUAGUAUAUCUAGAUGAUAUUGUGGUUUACAAUAAAACCCUAACAGAACAUGAGAGACAUUUGAGAUUGGUGUUCCAGAGAUUGAGGGAGAAUAGGCUUUAUGUGAAGCCAGAGAAAUGUGAGUUUGCUCAGGAGGAGAUCACAUUUCUGGGACACAAGAUCAGUGCAGGCCUGAUCAGGAUGGAUAAAGGCAAGGUGCAAGCUAUUAUGGAGUGGCCAGUCCCUAGCAAAGUGACUGAGUUGCGGUCUUUCCUUAGCUUGGCCAAUUACUACAGAAGGUUCAUUAAGGGAUAUUCAAAGAGGGUGUCUCCCCUUACUGACCUAUUGAAGAAUGACAACCAAUGGGAUUGGAGCAUGCAGUGUCAGAUGGCUUUUGAAGGCUUGAAGGAAGCCAUCUCCACUGAGUCUGUGCUGUGGUUACCAGACUUGGACUUACCCUUUGAAGUCCAAAUAGAUGCCUCAGAUAGAGCUUUAGGUGGAGUCUUGGUGCAAGAAGGGCACCCUGUGGUGUUUGAAAGUAGGAAACUGAACAAUGCUGAGUAGAGGUACUCCACUCACGAGAAGGAGAUGACGACUGUGGUUCACUGCCUGCAAUAGUGGAGGCACUACUUAUUGGGAAGCAUUUUUACAGUGGUCACUGAUAAUGUGGCCAACACCUUCUUCAAAACUCAGAAGAAGCUGAGUCCCAGACAGGCACAAUGGCAGGAGUUCCUGGCCGACUUCAAAUUUGAAUGGCUGCAUCAACCAGGAAGACAUAACACUGUGGUUGAUGCCUUGAGUAGGAAAGAGGUGAUUGCCUACAUCAUGACCCUCUCAAAAGUCAUCUUUGACUUCAAUGAGAAAAUCAAGCAAGCUGUAGAGUAGAAUGCUGCAUAUAGUAGGCUGAAGCAAAAAGUUAAGGAGGGUGUGAUCAAGAGGUAUUGGCUAGAGGGAGACCUCCUUGUGGCAAAAGGAGGAAGAUGGUAUGUUCCUGCAGGCGGCCUAAGAAAGGAGUUAAUGCGGGAAACUCAUGAUGCGAAGUGGACAGGCCAUUUCGGUGAAGAGAGGACUCUGGCACUACUAGCUAGAUCCUACUACUGGCCUAAGAUGGGUGAGAAUGUUCAGGCAUGUGUGAAAUCCUGCCUGGUUUGUUAGAUGGACAAGACUGAGAGGAAGAAGGCUGUAGGGUUGCUGUAGCCCCUCCCCAUUCCAAAAAGACCUUGGGAGAGCAUUUCCAUGAAUUUUAUCACUGGAUUUCCGAAGGUUCGUGAUUUUAAGUCUAUCUUUGUUGUUGUAAAUAGAUUCUCUAAGUAUGUUGUGUUUAUACCUACCCCUGAUGCUUGCCCUGUGGAGGAAGCAGCUAAGUUGUUUUUCAGUAAUGUUGUCAAGCACUUUGGGUUGCCUAGGAACAUAGUCAUUGAUCGGGAUGCACGAUUCACAGGCCGAUUUUGGGUUGAGCUGUUCAAACUCUUGGGUUCAGAGUUGAAGUUUUCUACAACCAACCACUCUCAGACUGAUGGGAAGACCGAGAGGAUAAAUGCCUUGUUGGAAGAAUAUCUCAGGCAUUAUGUGAUAGCAACACAAAAGAAUUGGGUGGAUUUCUUAUAUAUUGCCCAGUUGUGCUAUAAUCUACAAAGGAGCUCAGCAACAAGGAUGAGUCCCUUUGAGCUGGCUAUUGGGGUGCAACCACGGAUGCCUUUGGAGGUGGCUAAGCAAAAAGCAGGAGAAAGUAGUCCUGCAGCUUACAAGAUGGUUUAGUUCCGACAGGAGAUGUUUGAUGAAGCCCGGGACAGUCUAGAGAAGGCAGCUAGACGAAUGAAGAAGUAUACGGAUUGUGAUCGUAGAUCCUUGGAAUUUCAGGUUAGGGACAAGGUCCUCCUGAAAUUGACUCCUCAGAUAUGGAAGAAAAUUAGCAGCAAGACAAGGUAGAGGGGUCUAAUUCCUAAGUAUGAUGGACCAUUCGAGGUGAUAAAACGGGUUGGGCAGGUGGCCUACAUGUUGACGUUGCCUGAGAGGCUCAAGCUUCACCCAACUUUCCAUGUUAGAUUUCUGAAGCCUUACCAUGAGGAUCUGGAUGCAGAGAUGGUGCAGACAAAGCGGGCCCCUCCCUUGGUCAUGAAGUAGUUUGAUCGAGAGAUAGAGAAGAUCUUGGAUCAUAGGACCAUGAGACAUAACAAAAAGAACCGGCGAACUGAUUUCUUGGUUCAGUGGAAAGGAACUUCAGAAGCAUAAGCUACUUGGGAGAGGGAUGUUACCUUGUGGCAAUUUGAGAUGGCGGUCUAGGCAUACUAGCAGACUAAGUCAACGAGGGCAUCGACUUCACAAGCGAGGGUAGGUUUGUCAGCUCCUUAGUCACUUGACUCUACCAUGGAGGAAAAGGCUUCAUGGGUAGGCCUUGCACCCAUGAGAGCCUAGGUAGAAAGCAAUGAAAGCCUGGAGAUUUGGUGGUUCAAACUCCAGGGGCUAAGUGAGGAGGCCGUGGGCGAGUCAAACGCGCACCACGAGCGGGCCAAACGUGCACCGUGCGCGCGCAUUGCGGGCGAGCCAGACAUGCACCGCGUACGCACCAGAUGGGCAUCGUGCGCGCAUUAGACUUAGGUGGUGUAGAUAAAGGCUGAGGGACUUUUGGAAUUUUAAUUUAUAUUUAUUUAUUAUUCCAUUAUGUCUCCUCAAACAUAUUGAUAUCUCUUCCAUAAACAAUGAAAACAGCCCGUAUUUGCCUUUAAGGGGGGGUAGGUGACUCAAAUGGGAGAGCACCAAGGGAAAGCCUUGAUCGCACCAAGGGGGCACCAUGGCACCAAGGUGACUCCUAGAGUCUUCAUAGGGAUGCCUUCUCGGGAAGUUAGGCUUACAUUAGUUGAAGAUACAUUUAGCAAAUUUAUAUGCUGGUGGAGUGGACAAGUUAUCAUAUGAGGGUUAGGUAGCAUUUAUUGAGAAUCAUUUGGAAGAUAUCUUUGAGUCCGCAGAUAAACCUCUGGAAGGAAGAUGUUGGUGAUUGUCUAUCGAGGAUCCUUUUCAAUGCUUGUCAAUGUGUAUUAAUCUAUCGGAUGCAUUAAGAAGCUCCCCUCCAAAGACUACCAUUUCACACAUGCCUGUCCACCAGGUACUUCAUUCUUAGCAUGGUCACAUUCAAACUGAGAAAUGUUUACCGAGUGAAAUCAAAUUAAUCCCACCUCCUCCCUAGUCCACCCAACCCCACAAUAAAAAAGAAAUCUCAAAACUAGCUUUUAUUGGAAUUGUGUUCUAUGCAUAGGCAUAUCAUUUGUUGCCCUGUGUAUUUUGUAUAAACUCCUCCAAGCAUAUAGCUCCUCUGCAUUUACACAUGGAAAAUGACAGUCACAUGAUUGUACAUAUCCUUCAGAGUACCCCAUUUGUUACUCCAUUAUUAGGAGCAAAAAUAAUGGAUUGACCACUUCUUUCAUAGCCCUGUCUUAUGUUUGUGCUAUCCUACUAUAGUACGCUUGAGAGGAUAACAGACAUUUCCCUGACUUUACUUUUGUUUUCAUAUUAAAUGCUUAGAUUCAGGUCAUUUGGUUAUCCAAAACUUAAUCUAUGAUUGUAUUGUUCCAUCUUUUUCAAGGAUGGCUCUUGCAAUGGCUUACAACACCAUGCUGCCCUUGGAAGGGACAAGGUAGUGGAAUUUUCUAUUUUUGGUUGAUUGUUGUGGAAUUCUGAUUAUGUGAUAUGGAAGCAUGGUUUUUGAUUAGUUAGACAGUUUUUCACUUUUUUUUUUGCUUUGAGGCUAAAUGUGUCUCAGCUUUGAUCUUCUCUCUUUUUGAUAGAAAAAAGGAACUUUGUUAAGGAAAUAUGGUAAAAGGAUAAGGAGUUGGAAAUUGAAACCCAAGAAAGAAACCAAACUUUGUUUGAGUUUAGUGCAGUUUAUUUAAUUUGAUUUUUCAAGUAAUUUCAAAGUUUGGUUGUUUCAAGAAAGGGGAUUAUCAUCUGUAUUUGGCGAGUUCAAAGGCUAGGGUAGCAAAUCUGUCUCUAAAGAGUGAAUUUUAGUUAGACCUUAGUAUUGGAGGAGAUAAAUUUUUAUUUAUUUAUUGAAGUUUCCUUGUUCUUUGGCAAUAGAACUUUGUAUUGGGGAUUAUUAUUUGAUUAUGCAGUUUGGAUACAUAUACAUAUUUGGAUUAUGCAAUAUUGGAAAUUCUAAUUUUGUUGCUUCAACUCCCUAUCAAAAAAAAUAAUUUUGUUGCUUCAACUAAAGUUUUAUAUAUGUAAUAGAAAAUAUAUACCGGAAAAAGUGGUACCUCUUCAAUUUUGAAAUGAGAAUUUUAAUUAAAAUAUUUGAAAAUAUAUAUAUUCAAGACUUCAGCUGUGGCGAAAUAUAAGUUGUGUCCACUUAAUCUAUGGCAGCGGAUAAGGAAAAGUGGCAUCCAUAUGAAGCCCUAUAAUUGCAGCUGACAAAAGGUCAUGUCUAUAAUACUAUGUAGUAUUAAAUUCUAUAGAUAUCACACCUUCAUAGCAGCAACUAUCAGCUCUCCCAACCACAUAUAGAGCUUUUAGUUGAGGAAAAAACAUGAGCACAGGGAUAGCUUCACAACUUCUUGUGUUUUUACUGGUGGCUUCAACUAUAGGAUUUAUUUGCAUUCCUAUGGCCUUCGCAGCUAUGAACUUAACUUCUUGUAGUGUGUAACACUCUCGCCUCGUGUAUGAUUGCAUGAACUUGCAACACAUGUGCUGCACAACUCUUUGUUAAUGGUUAUAAAAAAUAGUUUUAAUUUCUAUUUUUGAGAAUUGAAAAUAAGAAAAUCUUGUUUGACAAUAAGAAAAUAGUAAACAAUUUUUUUAUUUUUAAAAACAGAAAAGUUUUUGUUCUUAAAAAAAAUGUUUUAUGAGAACAUAUUUUAGUUGUUUUUAAUUGUUUUCUAGGAUUAUUUUAAAAAUAAUAAUAAUAAGAUUAAUAUGAAGAAUAAUUAAAAAUAAAAUGCUACAUACAAAACUUAUUUUUUUUGAAAAAUAUUUAAAUGUAAAAAAUAAGUUAAAAAUAUUUCAAAUUCUCAAACAAGCUUUAUUUUAUUUUUUUUAGAAUGGUUUUCAAAAUCAUUUUCUAACUAAUUUAAAGUAUACUUGAUAGUGAUUUUAUGAAGCGUUUUUUAAUUUUUUUUUAAUACUUGAAAGAUAAAAAAUUUUAAGUGUUAAAAAGAUUAGAAACCAUCCUAAAAUCACUACUAAAUAGACUCUAAUUCUCCAUUUUAGAGGCUUGUAAGGGCUUUUAUAAUUUGCUUACCAAUCAUGUUAGACAUGUGGUAACCAUGUUAUGAGAUUUUGGGUUAGCAUCGGCUAGUUUGUACUUGUAUGUACUUAAUUUUUGUUUUUAAAAAUAAAAAAUGAAACUAACGUCGAUAUAAAAUAUAAAAACUUUUAGAAACUUACGUUACUUCAAAUUUCAAAUUUUUUUAUAGUGAAUUUUAAAGAUAUAAGGUGAGUUUAUACUUUUGAUAUAAAAAUUUCUAUUUUUUAUAUAAAAAAAUAUUACUAUUUUUUGUUGUAAAAAAAAGUCAAUAUAUAAAUAAUGAAAGUUGAAAGAACAUUUUUAAUGCAUAGAUUAUCUCAAGGGUUCAAAUGUGGGCUAAGUCUAAAACUUAAUAUUAAAUCUUCUCUCAUUCAAAUAAUAGUAUUUAUAAAUAAUAGAAUAUCCUAAAUAAAUAUAGUUAUGGACAAAUAUUUCAAACAGGUUUCUCAAAUAUUAGUAUCAAAAGAAAAUUUCAUUAACCAUAACAAGCUCCCUGUUUCAAUCUAAAACAUGUAAAUAAACAUAAUUAAUUUUAAUUUAACAAGAUUUAGAUUUAUAUUAUGGACAAUAUAGUAAACCUAAAAGAUGAUCAUAAGUUUCUUAGUUCAUGACUUCAACUAAUAGAAAAAAUAUUUACAAGCUCAAUUUUGUUGGAAUUUUAUUCAAUUCAUUCUAGUUUGAGACUUUGUAUAUUUUCCUGUAACUUACCCUCCAUUAAAGAUACAAAAUUAUUUAGAGUUAACUAGAGAUCGGAUAGCACAAGUACAAAGAGUUAUGAAAAGAAUAAUAACUUUUAAUUGAAAAAGAUUUAGGAGAUCGAGUGCUCAAGCACUUGAAUCUAGCUUUCAUGGCUUAGAGCACUCAAGUAUUGCUAGGAAGUACCCAAUAGCAAGCAAUCAAGUGCACUUGCCUCGUGCUUGAGUACUCAAAAGUGGGGUUUCCAAAAAAUAAGUUUGCAUACAACACUCCUUGAGAAAAACAAUGAUCGCAUACAUGUAUAUGAUCCAUGGUUUAAGUAAAACAUUUCUUAUAUUUAUAAUAAAUUUAUUUUAGAAUGUUGUUAUUAUAUUUGUGAAACCAAGGUUUGGUUAAUCUUGAUUUUGAUGAUAACAAAACAAGGUUUAGAACUAAUGACUACAUUUUAAGUGUGAUUAGGCAAGAUGACUUCUAAAGUGGAAAUCCAAAGACAAAUCAAGUCAAGGAGAAAUCAUGAAGAAGAAGACCACCUCAAAGAGAAGAGUUUUUCAAGACCAAAGCUUCUUAAGUCUCUUUGUAAGGUUGUUGGUGCACUAGGAUUUCCAUGCAUUAUUUUCCUUACUUAUGCACCUAAAUCAUCCAAGAGUUAUUUUGUUUUAAAUAUUUUUAAAAUUGGAUGAUUUCAUGUUUUCAACUAAAACCUUGUGUUAAAUGUUGUUUCAAACUUGUUUAAAAGGUUAUAAAUUGGAAAAGUUGGUUGUUGAGCAAAAAACGGCUCAAUUGCCUAAAUCGGGUGAACCGUAUGAACAGUAACCGGUCGACCCCUAGCUCAACCGGUUGAGGGUAUGAACAGUAAUCGGUUGACCCAUGAACGGUACCCGGUCGACCGGUACAAAAUUUUCUCUCUCUUCCAGAAUGCUUGUUCAACCGGUUAAGGUUGAACCCUAACCGGUUGAGGUCCGGUCGAGGUCCGGUCGAGGCCUAACGGUCACCUGCCAACAUUAAAUGCUAACGGCUAGUCAACCAGUCGACCCAUAUCUCAACCGGUCGAACCUCCAACGGCUAGUUUAGCUUUUUUCUUCUAUAAAAAGGCUCCAAUCUUCAUUGUUUCAUGAGCUUAACCUUCCCAAAUCAUUCUUGAUUAUAUUUGAGCCUUGGAAGAGUGUUUUUGAGUGCACCAUUGUUUCAUAACUUGCAUAUCUUUAGUGCACCAUUCAAUCCUAGUUUUUCUUGUAUCAUUUGAGCUUAAAGCUAAUACUAGGAUUUUGUGAGAUCAAUCAUUUGUAAACCUUGAGAGGAAGUUUCAAGAAAGGGAUAUCUCUUGAGAAUUGUAAAGGGUGUUUGGAAGCCAAAAGUCCAAGAGGGUGAAUUGGAACCAUAAUCCAAUUGUAAAGAGAUUGAAACCUUGGUUGAAGCUUCAAGAUAGUGGAACCCUCACUCGGUUAGGAGGUUGAGGAGAGUGGACGUAGGCAAGGAAGUGUCGAACCACUAUAAACUCUCGUGUUUGCACUCUCUCUUCCCUAACUCUUUUAAUUUAUAUGCAAUUGUCUUUAUUUUGCUUAUCAUAUACUUGCAUAUAAAUUGUCUCUUAUUUUUACUUAGUUUAAAUUUGAAAAAGAGACCAUCACCCUAUUCACCCCCCCUCUAGGGUGACUACCAUAGGUUGGAUUAGCCUCAAAUUCCUAACAAUAUUAUACCAAUGUUGUUAGGUCAUAUUUUGUUGAAUCAAAUGAAGAGAAAAUAUAUUAUUUGACAAAUAUUUUACAAUUAGAGGCAAGGUUUGAAAUAUCAGUAAAUACAAAUAUAUUAGUACUUAGAUUUUACGGUUAUAUCGAAAAUAUUGAAUAAAUAUCGGUGAACAUUUUGACAAAAAUAUAGAUCUUGUUUUAAAAUUCAUGAAAAUACUUAAAAAAAACUUUCAAAAAAAUGAUAAAAUAAAGAAUAAUAUAUAUUAAAGUUAUUUUGUAUGCUUAAAUUCUUUUAAUAUAUUCGUAUUUAUUUAUUUUUAAAUUUUAAAAAUACUUUUAUUGAAAGAUGUUUUAUUACAUUUUAAAUAAAAAAUUAAAUUGAUUUAUAUAAAAUAUCCAAAACCAUUACCCGAUAAAGAUGUCUUUUGUGUGGGGAAGUAUUCGUUGCCAUCCAUGCAAAUCAAACCCACCUUUGAUCUUUAUUCACAAUUUCAUAUAUCAUAUAUAUGUCUACUAAACUUAUGUAUGUUUAUAGCUAUAUAUAUAUAUGGGUUUGUACAUGUGGAUGUGUGAAUGAAAAGUUGGAAAAUAGUCUCUAUUGUUCUUUAUCGAAAUGAUAGCUAGGGUUUCUAUUCGUCUCUCAUUCUCUGUAUUGUUUUGUUUCUCUUUCUUGGGGACUUACCUUUGUUUGUGAAUCGGAACCUAUGCUCAAUCAGCUUAAGAAUUACCCAGUAGUUUGUUUGAAUCAGGGGGAGUUUGGGUGGGAGAGUCUUAAGGUUUGUGAUUUGGGGGGUUUUGGUGUUGUGGGAGCUGAUUGGUGUCUGGGUUGGGAGGAAUCUAGGGUUUGUGAUAUGGGGUUUUGGUGUGGUUGAGGUGGGGAGGGAAAGAUUGAAUCUUGGGGAUUGUUUUUGUUGGUGGGGUUUGGAAGAUGGUGGAGAAUCGUGGAUCAGGUGUCGUCUGAUCGCCGCUUUUCUGGUGGCAAGCAACCAUCCGAUUGGAGGGGUGGGGGCUUUUGUAUGGAAACUCGGAGCCCCAAGUGGGCGGAGGCGUCCUCAACAGCCCGUUCUUCUGGACCCACUACCCGGUCAACCAAGCGAUCUCGUAUCUCCUUUUCUUCUUCAAUGAUCCCAAUUUCAUCGAACCCCAACGCCCAUGCUACAGUGAAAAAUUAAUUUUGAGGGGAGUGGAGCUACACUUUGACCGAAGCCAACGUUGACCGAUAGAAAUAUCGGUAAAUUUCCCAACAAAUCGGCAAAAACCGAUAUUUCGGCGACAAUUUCAGAAAAAGAGCAAAAUUCCUUCCAAUUGAUUAUCUGUCCUCAAUAUCGUAUCGAGCUUCACCGAUAACCGAAAUAUCGGAGAAAUUUCGUCGAUAAAAAAGACAUUUCAAUCACUGACUAGAGGUGAUGAACACUGAUGUUAGUAAUUAGGUUUGCCAUAUUUUUCAAUAAUGUACAAUUAGCUCAAUCACUUGAAGCUUAUACCAAAAAUAUAUUUGAAUCAAUAAUGGACAAAAAUUUCUGACUGGUACUUAGUGAUAAUCAACUACCAAAUUAUCAUAAACAUAGAAGUUGAAAGGAUAAUUUUAAGGCACAGAUGACUCUAAAAUAUCAAAACUAGGCUGAGGUGGUGUUUGUUUUUUUACUUAAUUCUAAAUAGAACCUUAAUACUUAAUAGUGUUAAAUAUUAGGUUGUUUGAUUUUGUAAUAUUUUAUUUCUAUUAAGUAUUAAAAAGUAAAGAAAAAUCAAUAUGUUAUUUUUUCCGUUUAGAAAAAACUAUAUAUUUUAGCUUUUUCUAUUUAGUAAAAAGUCUAUAAGUCAUGAAAAAGUAGAAAAACAAACAACCUAAAUUCUGAAAACAAAUUGCUUUCAGCAAAAAACAAACACCAUCUGAGUAUCCAACUUAAUAUUACAACUUUUCUUACUUAAAUGACAGUUUACAAAUAACAAACCUACCUAAAGAAAAAUAAUUGCUUGCCAACAUUUCAAAGAUAAGUUCUCAAACACUCGUGCCAAAGAAAUCUUCAUUACCACUAAGAAUUCAUCAUUGUAUUCAAUCUGAAACAAGUAAAUACACAUAAUUAGCUUCAAUUUAAGCAACAUUUAGAUUUUCAUCAUGGAAUAUAAAUAGCAUGUUCAUUAUAUAAUUAAUUAAUUAAUUAACAACAUAAUAUUAACAAACUUGGUUAUAGAGACUAUUUAAAUUCUUAUAGUUUUCAUACUUAUGGUAUUAACCAUACUCAAAUGAGUAUAUUUGUCAAUAAAUUUAGAGUUUCAACUAACGACCUAUAACAAUCUAUAACCUUAGCUGCUUGUUUGUAUAUUUUUUGGAAUUCAACCUUGGAAAAAAUUUCAUGUAUCUUAAUCUUUCCUAUGAAAAUCGCAUUCUAUAACUUCAAAGAGUUGAACCCAAUUAUAAACUUCCUCAAUCCUCUUUCUAAUGACUCAAACUAAGAAAUUGAUUACCCUAUGCAUUGUAUUUAGGAACUUAAUUGUAGUAAGGAAAGAGAAACAACUUAUAUUCAUAUGCAUGGUUGAAGGGUCUAAAAAUAUGCCCCUUACUAUAACAUGCUUUGAACAUUUAAAGCAAUAUACUUUUAGUAAAAUCUAAGUCCAACAAGACUACAAUUCAAUUUCUUUUGUAAAUUUAAAUCAUUAUUUCCAAUUCAAGAAUUUAAGAAAUCAUAUAAUAAAAUAUAAGUAUAAAAUGAUUAAUAGCUAACAAAUAUGUACCUAAACGGAGAUGACCUUACAUUACAUUGUAAUGAAAUUCAUCUUACCUUCUUUUUGUAUGAUGUUUGUUAUUUUGAAACCUUAUCACCCUCUGCAAAAGAGCUGAAUUCAUUGUGAUGAUAAUCAUAACACACCAAAAAUACAAUGAAAUUAAAAAACAAACAAGGAAGAAAAAAAGAAGGAAAAAGAAUGGGAAGUGAUGUAAGAUAUUUCACCUUUUUAGCCAUGAACUCCAUUUGCUUCCAUCUUCCUUUUCAGACAAGCCGCAUUCACUGCAGUGAAGACAUAUAGCCUAUCUCUGGUUUCAUCAAUGAACCGGAAAUAUGCCUGCCUCCAAGACUUCUUUAGAACCAAACUGCCACAUACAGCCCAAAAUCCCACCGGAAAGCCCAAUCCCAUGCUUAUGAAGAACCAUGACAUGUCCCAUUCAUCUUCAUCUUCCUCCUCAUCUUUGUGAUCUUGAUCAUUUAAAGUGGAGCAGUUGGUGGAGCAGUUGGUUGACAAUGGAGGCCCAUAAAGUCCCAGGUUCGCCUCAUAAAUGGAUGGAUCGUUGAAUGUCGAGAACUGGUUGGUUGUUGGAAUUGGUCCUGACAGGCGGUUAUGCGAUAGGUUCAAAUGGUUCAAUGAGGUUAUAGAAGACAUGCUCGGAGGAAUUGGGCCUGACAGGCAAUUGCAUGAGAGGUCAAGAGUUUCUAGCCCUUGCAUGGCUCCAAUCUUCUCAGGUAUCUUUCCAGUCAACUGGUUUCGGGACAAAUUCAAGGUACCCAGGGUCGAGAGAUUUGUGAUCUCUUUUGGGAUCUCUCCCCAAAUGUUAUUGCUAGAAAGAUCUAUCAACUUCACAAUUGGCAAUAUGCUAUCAAAUUCCAUAUUUUGUCCCUUUACAACUAGCUCCAUGCGCUCCGAAUAGGCGGCACGACCACUGGGGUCGUCAAAAUUUUUGUCUAAUAAGGUCACAAAACUUAAAGCAGUUAAAUUGCCUACGCAUUGUGGGAUGGAUCCUGAUAAAUUGUUCACUGCAAGAUCCAAAAUGUGGAGAUCAGAAAGCCAACACAAUUGCUCAGGAAUAUCUCCUGUCAACAUAUUGCCCCGUAGACGCAGCUGCUCCAGUGUUGGCAUUCUUUCUCCAAUCCAUUUGGGUAUCUCCAAUCCAGUGUAGACAAGCUUGUGCAGUUUUGUAAACUUGGAGCGAGUUCCCCAGUAAGAUUGUUGUCACCCAAUAUCAACUGAGUAAGUGAAGAUUUUGAACACAUCCAACUCGGAAUCCCACCAGACAGUUUGUUCUUGGAUAGAUCUAUGGUCCUAAGCCUGUGCAAAUCAUUCCAAUUCUUUGGAAUCUUUCCAGAUAAAUGAUUGUUUGAGAGAUCAAUUACUUCCAAAUCCUUCAGUUUACUAAUUGAUGAAGGAAUGCUGCCAUUUAACAAGUUACAAGAAACAUCAAGGAUUUCCAAGCUUGAUAAUUCCCCGAUGUUCAAGGGAAUUGGACCUGAAAAUGAAUUGUUUCCCAAAUACAAAGAUCCCACAUUAAGUCGAAGUGGGAGUGGGCCCCCCAAGCGGUUGAAACUUAAAUCCACCAAUGCGUCUUGGCUAAAGGAUGAUGAGUUGGGAAGCGUUCCAUACAAUUGGUUUCUAGAAAGAUCUAACCACGAAAAAUCUUGUUUCCAAAGCAACGCGGCUUCAUUUUUUAACUAAAGCCGCGAUUGGCAACCGCGGCUUUAGUUCAUUUUUAUUUAAAUUUAAAAUUUAAUUAAAAAAUUAUUAAAUUACAAUUUAUGAAUGAAAUUUAAAAAUAUACUUAAAUAAUAAAUUAUUUAUAUUUAAAUUUAAAAUUCUAGUAUUACUUCAACAAACAUAAAUUGAUAAAUAGAAGAUAUUAUAAAUGAAUAUUUUAUUUAUUAAUAAAUUAAUAAUCUUAAAAUAAUAAAUUUAUAUAAUAUAUAAAUAAUAUAUAAAAUUGUAUAAUUUAUUAAUUUAAGAUAUUUAAUUUGUUAAUUUUUAAGAUAUUAAUUUAUUUAUAUUAUGAUAAAUUUAUCUUUAUCGAAAUAAUAGUAUAGUAGUUAAUAACUGAGAUUUCAAUUAUAAUAUUUUUUUUACUUUCAAAUUUAAUUAAAAACUAUUGAAUUACAAUUUAUGAUUGAAAUUUUAAAAAUAUACUUAAAUAAAAAAUUAUUUAUAUUUAAACUUAAAAAUCUAGUAUUAUUUCAACAAACAUAAAUUGAUAAAUAGAAGAUAUUAUAAAUGAAUAUUUGAUUUAUUAAUAAAUUAAUAAUCUUAAAAUAAUAAAUUUAUAUAACAUAUAAAUAAUAUAUAAAAUUGUAUAAUUUAUUAAUUUAAGAUAUUUAAUUUGUUAAUUUUUAAGAUAUUAAUUUAUUUAUAUUAUGAUAAAUUUAUCUUUCUCGAAAUAAUAGUAUAGUAGUUAAUAACUGAGAUUUUAAUUAUAAUAUUUUUUUUACUUUCAAAUUUAAUUAAAAACUAUUAAAUGACAAUUUAUGAUUGAAAUUUUAAAAAUAUACUUAAAUAAAAAAUUAUUUAUAUUUAAACUUAAAAAUCUAGUAUUAUUUCAACAAACAUAAAUUGAUAAAUAAAAGAUAUUAUAAAUGAAUAUUUGAUUUAUUAAUAAAUUAAUAAUCUUAAAAUAAUAAAUUUAUAUAACAUAUAAAUAAUAUAUAAAAUUGUAUAAUUUAUUAAUUUAAGAUAUUUAAUUUGUUAAUUUUUAAGAUAUUAAUUUAUUUGUAUUAUGACAAAUUUAUCUUUAACAAAAUAAUAACAUACUCUUAAGCCGUAGUUGUCAUAUAUAGAUUUUUUUACAAAAUUAGUUAAUGAAAUUAAUUACAAAAAGUCUACUACAAAAUGUAAUUUUUAAUAGUUUAAUUAAAGUCACAAAAAAUAUCCACUAAACAUUAAUAUAGUGGAAAAUAAAAAACAUAUAUAAUCUCACAUGCCUCCACAAAGAGAGAACCUAUGUGUAAUACUCUCUUCCUUUUUGGACGCCCCUCUCUAACUGUAGCAGGUACUGCAUGUGACACAUGAAUAACAUCUGUCUGUGAUGGGGCUAGAGCUGGAAAUGGAGGUGGUGGUGGAGGUAGCAAUCUAGGUCGACGUAAGCCCCGCCUACCCCUCGGAAUGACUGGCGGUAAAUCUAGCUGAGUAGUCCGCCUAUUUGAUUAUAGAAAACCAUCCUAGUGUUGUCAAAUAUCAAGCAAUCAAUUACACACAAAAUGUAAUCACAGCAUUCAAAAGAUCACCAACCAAAUCACAAAUGAAAUUUAAUGUCAAUGAAAGUACGUAUUUUCAUCUUUUGAAUGGCUCAUAAUGAUCAUGAUGAUACAAUAAGUUUCUUGAUGAACUUAACACUAUCAAAGAGUUCUAAGCAGGAUGAAAAAUAAAUAAAAAGUGAAACCAUGACUAGUUAGCAACUUAGCUUACCUCAAGUGAAUCAAGAUGUUCCAAGGUUUCAAUAGUUAUAUUAUUAUCAUCCAUUAUUAAGUAUUUACUUUGACUUUUCCAAUCAAUAUAAAAAACAAACAAUAAAACAACUAUUCCAAUUCCAAAGUUUCAAAUUUCAAACCAACCAACUACCCUUUUGAUUUGAAUAAUUAACAAUUACUAGGGUGGGUCCCCUUUCUUAUUCAAAAGCCAACAAUUAUCUAAUUGAAUUUUUUUUUUUUGAUAAAUAAAGAGAAAUUUUUCUAAUUGAAAUUUGAUAAUUGAUUAAUGAACAUCAUGCAUAACUGUGGUAUUAUGUUGACUUGUUAUGAAAUUAAAUAAUAUUUUUUAACAAAAACAAGAUAUUAAGUAAAUUAGCAAUUGAAAAUAUGAAAAUAAAAAUAAAUAACACUAUAUUUUAUAAAAUUUAUUUAAAAGUGAAGUAUUUAAAUAUGAUAUAUUUAUAAAAAUGACUCUACUACACCUUCAAACUUUAAUUCUUAUAUUCAUUUAUUCAUUUAAAUAUUCAAAUAUAUAAAUAUUUUAUAAAUUUAGUAAUUUACUUAAUAUCAAUAGGAAAAUUUAGUAAUAUUAAUAUAAAUUUAGUAAAUUCAGUUAAUUCCCUAGGAAAAGUGAUAAGCUGAUGUACCAAUACCAAAGCAAGCCCAUAAUAAUAAUUCCACAGGAAAAUUUCAUAAUAAUAAUAUGAUAAAAUUAUUUUUAUUAAUAUCUUUUUUAUUUAAUCUUUAAUUUUAUUAAAAAUUAUAAUAUAUUCUAUUAAGAUGAGAUAAAAUUGUUCUCAUGAUUUGUUUUUUUUUUUUUUAACUCUAUUAAAUCUAAAAAUCAAAAGGCUACCCACUUCUCUCACUCGGGCAUGAAGAACCCCUUUUCUGAAGUUGCCCUCCAGCCGGGAGAAUCCCUAAAAAAGCCCUUCUCUCACUCUGCCACUCUCAAUCCUCGCAGGUACUAAUCUAAUCAUAUUAUUAUUAUUAUUAUUUGCAACCCCCCUUUGAUUCCCAAUAAAAUCCAUGCCCCAUUCGAUUUCCGCGAAAAUUCAUCCUCGUUUGAUUUCCGAGAAAAUCCAUGCAAAACCCCCAAGGAAAACCAAAAAAAUUGCUUUUCUUUUGCUCUCUGUGUUUUUUGGAUCCGUUUUAGGGGUCUCUUUGCUGUUGUGCCAUUGGAUUUAAAUUUCAAGAACCCUAAAUCAAAACUGAGAAACGGGAAAAAUCAAGAAUUUUUUUCUUUCUGUUUUCAUUCUCGUUUCCCACUUUUCUCAGCAUCCAACGGGAAAAAUAAAAAUACUAACAACACAUGAUAAAAAAAAGCUCAGAUCUAAAAAAAAUUAACACUAACCUCAACCUCCAACGUCUCCCUCAGUGGCCCACUGGUGGGGCUAGGAUUUUUAAGGAAAAAUGAGCACGGGCUAGGAAUAGAGAGUAGCUCGGAUGGAAGUUGUAGCUCCAACGUCUCCCUCAGUGGCCCAUUGAUGGGGCUAGGGUUUUUAAUGAAAAAACCACACGCAGAGCACAGGGGAAGAGAGCAACUCGGAUGGAAGUUUGGGAUUGGGAAAGAAAAAAUGCAGCUGAAGUUUGGGAAAGUAAAAAAUAAAAGGAAUAAAAAAUUACUUUGUAUGCGGACUCAAAAUGGUUAUUUUGAACAAUUGUUUGAAAAGUAGGUCAUUCUGAACAUUAUGUUUCAGCGGAAGGCUAUUUUGACCCAUUAUUCUUGGUUGAACCAUGUAGAUCUUAUGUCAAAGGAAAUUGGGCUGUCGGGAAGCCAUCUUCCUCUGUGUUGGUCACCGUGCCUAGAAGUGGAGAUAGUUGAGUCGAUUGUAUCGACCAUGGCCUAAAUGAAGCUGAUCCUACAGCGUGAACCAUUAGUUACAGGGAAGAGCAAUGGCAAAUGGAAAGCAGUACCGUCUUAAUCCACAUGCACAAGAACCAUGCAAGUGUGACCGUCCAUCAUUUCUAUACCAUUAUCUCACAACACCCCCCCCCCCCAUGCAUUUCAUCAUCAUCAUACCCAUGUAGCCUACCUACCAUCCCAUUUCGUUUUUCAUCUACCAUCUACUUCCUACUCGUUUAUCUCUCUACACCACAUAUCUAUGUACCCCAUCUAUCUUUUCAAACCUCUCUCCAAUCAUACCCUAUACCCGCUCUCUUUGCCUCAUUUCUCCUUCCCCAUCUGCAUGUCUAUAUUUCACACCCGUUUACUUUAUCACUCCAUCAUCACAUCUCCUAUACCCAUCGCUUGUAUACGUUCACAUCCAUCCCAUUUCACCAUAUCCAUCUACCCGUAAAUCCCAUUCCAUAAUAGCCAAUUUUCACUCCUUUAUUAUCCUUCAAUACCCACUGUUUGUCCCCCACCGACUUGAUUCCUAUGCUUACCCAGGAGCAUGCAACUACUUUUCUUCACAGCCACCACCAUUGCCAGGCUGCUCAGCAACUGUUGAACAACACUUUCAACGAGGAACUAUCCAGCUACCAGCGAAGCUUUCUCAGAAGCACCAUCAACUCUGGGAAAAUCAAUCAGCACAGAAUGUUUCAAUUGUGGACUGUUAUUAGUCAGUUGCAAUCAGAAUUGGCUGAUUAUAAGAGCCAUUUAUGGAAGUUAGAAGCAGAGGCGUCAUCUGCAAAAGUGACAAGGACAGAGUCUCACUCUCCCUUUCUUUCUCUAUCAAGAAAUCACGGGUUGAGAAGAGGUGAAGCAUGGGAUCAUUGGCGAAGAAGGGUUUGCAGCAGUACCUUUGACAACUUCAGUGUCACCCUUUGAGAACUAAGACCAUUAUAGCGGCUAUGUUGUCAGUUGUCAGUGACAUAGUUUCUCCAAAGCUAUCUGGUAUGCAGAAACUUCAACUGAAGCGUCUUCUUCUCAAAGUGCUUCUUGGAUCUGGUUAUCUUAGGCCCUUCGGACAUUUUCUGCAUACACUAUUGGAUAGGCUUUUUAAAGGGAAGAAAGAUUCAAAGACAGUGGCCAAGAAGGUGGUCCUCGAACAGUUGACUACUUCAACUUGGAACAACUUUGUAUUCAUGAUGGAGAAGUGGUUGGAGUUGUCAGUGAUUAAAAUAAAGGUGUUUUCAAUAAUAAGUGGGCUUGGCACGAAGCAGACAUGAAUAGGGUUGUUGAUGACCUGGUUGCUUUCUCUUCAUCCUACAGUACAAAUGGCUUGGCUUCGCCUAUUGCCGUUUCCUUUUGCUCUCCGUUUGAUACAUUGGAGGCAGACCACCAACCUUUUGGUUAUAUCAUACCAGGAAACGAAGGACCUGGUAAGGUGCUGCAUUCUUCUUCAGCAUCGGCAGAUACAUUGUCAGAGAAGAAAGUUUCUGGAUCUUUGGCAAAUUUACCUGUUAAUGUUGAAGGGAAAUCAGGAGAUCCACUUCCUUACUCCCUCUUGCCACCAAUUAUCAUUCCCAAUAUUAGCUAUAGUUUGAGAUGGUAAUGGUACCCCAUCACCCUCUUCAAUGAGCUCCACCAUCUUAAUUCAGAGGAAGGCAUGAUAGAGAUCUUGAAGGAGAAGGGGAAGGAAUUAUUGGUGCUGCGGGGACUGCUUGCCUUGGAGAUAAUUCUGUAGAGUGCUGUCAAUGGCGAUCUACACUGCGCUGUUAGUGGCUUUCUCAUCGCUAUUUCUGUAACAGCUGGAGUACAAAAGAGGUGGAGAAUGCUAGUAACCAUCAUGAAGCUUUCGAUACAUAUGGCUUUGAAGGAGACUCACCUUCGGGCUAUGCACAGAUGCAGUUGAUGAGCUAUUGGAAUGCAACUCUUGCUUUGCCAAUUGUACUAACUUGCUUGAAACAAAGUGGCGAGCGAGAGAACCACCCUGUUUUAUCAGCUGUCACUGUUUCUGCUGCUCAAAUAAUAAAUCCUUGUCUCCACAUUGAGGCUUUACAAAGUUAUGUGGGACCCUCAUGACAAUAGCUUCCAAAUCGAAAAUCCCAAGAUAUGAGGCACUAAUGCAACAAAAUGCUGCAAUAUCUGAGCGUGGUAAUGCUUUUCUGGAAUGCGACAAUGCUAUUGCUGCCCUUCGAUCUUUAGAAAGUGUCGUCUCAAUUCCACGUGGAACGAAAUGCAUGGAUCACCUCCCAAGUCACGCAGCUAAUGGAGGGGUGGAACUUGUAACUGACAGACAAGAGAAAACUCCUGCCAAAGCAGAAACUGCAGUCCUGUUUGAGGAUCUUCGAGAGCUCGGUAUUCUUAUCAGAAAGGGAGAACUCCAUGGAAACGUCUUCAGAAUAAAGCCACCUAUGUGUUUCUGCAAAGAUGAUGCUGAUUUCCUUGUUGAUGCUUUAGAUUGCAGCGUAUCAAAAUUGUGAGGAUCAAAUCUUCCAAGAGCUGGAGGUGAAGUCUUCACGCCCUUUGGCACCCUUACAUCCCUUCUUUAAUUUCGAAAAUAACUUUUUCUAAAUCCCUCUUUUCAAAUAAUUUUCUAAAUUUAAUUUGUUUUAAAAUAAUUUCAGACUCUUUUAUAUUUCCUCCUUAGCAUUAUUUUUAGGUUCCAAAAAUCCAUUUUUUUUAAUAAAAUUCUGCUACCAUUUUUCUUCAUGGCGAGCAAUUUUCACAUUUUCUCUAUUCUUAGAAGGUUUUGAGAUAAGCAAGGAUUCAAUUUUGUAAUUCCAAAAUAAUGGGGUUAUUGGAAUUAAUUCAUGCAAAAUAAAUGGGCUUUGGUGGGGGCCCCACAUAAGUGACUUUAUAAUUGAUUUAUGGAUUGAUUGAUUUAAUUGUCCCGCAUGAUUGAUUUUAUUCUACUCUAUAACAUGCUCGAAAUUAUUUCUUAAUUGUGCACUAACCUCGCUUUUUGAUAGCAUAUUAUGGCUCGUCGCCCAGGUACGUAUCUAUUACCCUUCUAGUCUUUCUAUAUGCAUGCUCUAACUCUCAUACGUGCAUCAUCGGUCUGGGUAUUCAUUGAUUUACGCAUCAAUUGCCACAUCAGCUUUAUUUUAUUAGUAGAGACCCGACUUUAGGGGCUUAAAAGGGUGUUACGAUCUUUACCGUACCUUCCCGAUAAGUAACCUGACCCCCGAGCCCGAUCCGGUUUCUCACAGACCACCUUUUCCUAAAUAAGGAGUCACAUUUAGGGUUUUUCUUUCUUAUUUUGUUUACCCUUUUAAAAAUAAAAUAAAAAUAAGUGGACUCCAAGUCAUUUUCUAAUAAAUAAUAAAUCAUUUUUUUUUAAUAAAAGUCGAGUUCGCCAUCGAGUGGGAAACACAUGAGCCGAAAUGCGGGGUCCACAGCAAUAUUUUUGUUUGGGUUACAAAAAAAAAUCAUAUUGAACACUAAAAAAAAUAUUUUUUAAAAAACCAUUCCAAUUAAAUAUUGUUUAUUUUAAAAUUUUAAUAAUAAUUUUUAUUUAAAAAAAUUGAGUUAUGAAUUUCACAUUAAAACAUUGAAUAUAAUAAAAUCAUUUUACAUAAUAUACUUUUGGUGAAAAAAAUAAUUUUAUAAUUUAUUAUUUAAAGAAAUUAUUUUGUUUUAAAAUAUAAGAAGAAUAUGAAAAACAAUUGAGUGUGAAAAAUAAAAGAAAUGAAAAGAAAAAAAAAACACAAAGUUUACGUGGGAUGGGAGGUUGAGUAGGUAGAGAUGAAAAGGAAUAUAAAAAUAAAAGAAAAAGAAUGUUAAAAUAUGGGGUGGGGGUUGGGAAAAUGAAAAGAAAAGAAAAGAAAAAUAAAAAAGGGGUGCGGGACGUGAGAUUGGGGAGGACAGAGAGGAGAGGAGAGAGGAGAGAGAGGAGGAAGAAAUAAGGAAAGGUAAUUUAGGAAUGCAAAAUGUCGUAUUAGUAAAAAUGGUGUUACGAAUAGCAAUUGAGAUUUUUAAAUAUAUAAAUUUUUAACUAAUUUUAAUUAUAUUUGAUUUUUAUUGAUAUUUUCGAUGAUAUAACAAUCCAUAACAUAAUCAUUUUUCCUAUUAUUAUUUUUUCUUUUCUUGGCACUUUCAAGGAAACAAAAAUAAACACCGAGUAAAAUUAUGAUUUUAAAGGUAGCUUAGUUAACAUUGUGUGUACUUUUUGUUGAACUCUUUUCGAAGUGGAAUUUUUGUUAUAAAUUUAUCUAAAUACCUAAAAAAUCUUGUAAGCAACAACAAUUAGGUUUCUGUUACAUCUCAUUUAACAAUUAUUGUAAAGCUAUAAUGACUAGAUUGGGUUAGAUAGUUCACAAUUUGAACCUUUGGUUUCAAAAUUUAAUCAAAGAAAAUUUAGUAACCAAAUGUUUAAAAUUUAGGAAUGAUGAUGGACAGGUUUUGAAACUAUUUCAAAUUUUGAUACAACUAUAAAUUUAGAAGAAAUGAAGACCUUUUAGCAUAUAGAAGAAGUUUCACCAAACUAAUAAUUAACAUAUAAAUAAGUAGGAUGAGUGUUUGAGACACUUCUCUUUUUGUUGGAUUCGGUUCUAGUCCGACUCAAGGUUAAUAUAUUUUUAAUUUCCACUUUGUUCAUUUAUGCAUUGAUUCAAAAAAAAUAUGUCAUGUACUAAUGUUAAUUCAAGAUAUUAAUUACCAAGUUUUUGAAACAUGAAGUCAUGGUCCAAAGAAAACGAUACAAUAUUUUAUUUUUUAUUUCUAUUCCUCCAUUCUUUUGCUUAACUCACACGAAAUUUGUUUUAGUCAAGCAUCAAGAUGUCACAAUCAAAAAGAAAAGAAAUUCAAAUGUUGUGUAUAUUUUCUCCAAAAAGCAUUUUAGACUCUUGUUAGAAUUUUCUCCUACGGAUGUUUUACUAACUUUAAUUAAUUGAAGAAAGCUACAUGAAAUUUCCUACUCCAUGUUAAAUAUUAUAGCCUAUAAAGGAAAAUAAAAUAUCAUAAAAAUCAUUUAAAAUUUUAUAUAUAUUCAAAUUUUUUAUUAUAUAUAUAAAGGGUUGGAAAAAUGUAUAACAGGUUAAUGUGGUAUUUAUUUUCGGUCUAAAAUUUGAGUAGAUCUAAGUUUGACUUAAAUCUACUUAUAUUAUUAAGUUUUUUAGGUUGUUUACUUUUUAUCAAUGUAUAAAUAUUGUUAAGUGUUAAAUUGCUUUCUUUUAUUAAUGUCUAAAGAGUUACACUUAUUUAUUUCUACAUGUUAAAAAUAUCUAUAAAAUUAAUUAUUAUAUUUUUUCUUAUUUUAAUUUUAAAAUUAACAAUUUAAGAGAUAUUAAUUUAAUAUAUUUAUAAAUAUAAAAAAAAUUUAUAAUUUAUUAUCAUAAUAAACAUUUUAUAAUGACUAAUAAUGCAAAGUGUAAAAAAAUAACAAUUAGAUAAUUAUUAGGAUUUCUAAUUAUGUUUGGUUGUUAAAAAAUUUCUAUGUUAAAACUUAUUUUUAUGUAACUAUCUUCAAAUUUAUGAAUAUUGUUGAGAUUAAUUUAUUAAUUUUUAUUUUUAAUUUGGAAAAAAUGUAAAAAUCUAAAUUUUAUUUUUUAAAUUAAUUGGAUUUUUCUAGUUAAUUACUAAAUGAAAGUAAAUUAGAAAUCUAAGUUCAAGGACAUUAGCCAACCAAACUGACUUUAAAUCUAACCAAUCCAAUCUUAUUACUUUUUAUUUUCAUUUAAAGAUGUUUGUUUCUAUUAAAAAAGAAAUGAUUACAUUGGUUCAGUGUUCAUGAACCAAUCGAAUCUAUCUAUUAUAUAUAUAUAUAUAUAAAAAAUGAUCACAUUGGUUCGGUAUUCAUUUCAAAACAAUGAAUCAAUAGAAACCGAUUCUAAUCGAACCUAUCUAUUAUAUAUUCGACUUAAAAGAUGCAAAAUUUGAAUUUUCAAAAUUUGAAGUUAUUUUUUGAAGAGACUUCAUAUUUUGCUUCUCAUAAUUUACUAUAAAUUUAUGAAAUUAUUUUUUAGUUGUCAUAUUUUUUAAAAAUAUUUUAUUUUUUCAAAGUAAAUUCACUAAAUAUUGUCUCACAUGUAUUUGUGGUUCACUAAACUUUUAAAAUCAAAUUAAUAAAUUUGUAAAAGAAAAAUAUUAUAUUUUCUCCAUUUUGUUCACUUGAUAAACAAAUCUACAAAAAUGUCAAGCGAAUGUUUGAAAUUUACCUCUUUUUUUUUUUUUUUUGUAAUCUUUGGUUGAUUGUGUUUUUAAAAGCAUUAUAAAUCCCAAGAAAGUAAUAUUUUUUUCUUUACCAUUAUAGUUCCCAUAGUGUUUAAACUUAUCUUUACCAUUUUUUUUCUUCUUGAUCUAACUACAAGCUUGACUGCACAAACUUGGUCAACAAUGAGAAUAAAAGAAUAAAAGUGAGGAGGGUGAUGAAGUUCUCCCUAUACUCUCCUCUCCCUUUUUAACUUUUAUAUCCCCCCUCAACAGUAUAGUUUUAAGGUAUGUACACUUUAAUCCUGAUGGACUAAAGGCCCAUAAUUCAUCUCAAUGGGUCAACUAAAAUAUUAUGAGCAAGGUGAAGCCAUGGGCCUCUGCACAAUACAUAAAUUGAUUAUGGCCCAAAACAAUACCCAUGCACAACCAAAUAUAGUUUACAAUAUACGUAGUCCACAAAAAACAUUUGACAUUAAUAGGUGAAUUUAGGUGAUUAUGCUAGUCCAAUAACAUAAUUUCAACAUAUGAUUACAUUUUACUCUCCCUUUAAUGUUAAAUGACCAAUCAUGAAACAACAAAAAGUUUUAUUUGAAAAUUUAUAUAUUUUUCAAACUCUUGAUUCCCCUUUAUAAAUAAUGUGGAUAAAGUUAGAGAAGUAAUGAAAAUAAUUAUUAAAAUUUACUAAUCUUUAAGAGAAGUAUAGAAAAUGGGAAAUUAAUAAAAAAAUUUAUUAAAAUUUGCUGAGGUUGAUAUUUUUUAGUUCCUUUAAUUUUUUUUACUUUAAUUUCCUUCAAUGUUAUCUUUCCUAGUAAUAUAAAUGAGGAUUUGGGGAGUAUAUAUGCUGUUAUAUGACCCAAAAAUUAUUGGUUAUAGAAUAGUAGAAAUUCCAUAAGAACAAAAUUCACAUACAUUUUAUCUCAAAGUUAAAAUAGUCUUACCAACUGUUAUGUAUCUAAUGGUGCAGUAGAUUUUGAGCUUGUCUAAAAAGCUCUCGCCUAUUGAUGCCCUUAUCAACUACUUGGCAAACCAAUUUGCCAAACUUGCAACACAAGAUGGUUGAGUGGUCAUCCAGCACAUCACCUAUGGUCAAGUCAAUGGAUAACAAGAAAAUGAAGUGUUGAGAGUAGAUGCAAAAAUAAAUAUGGGAAUAUGGGUGAGAGAAUAUGAUAGAUGAUCGAAGCUUAUUCUCUUUGCUAGAGCUUGUUCGGACCUUUAUAGUUCAUUACCCAAUUAUGUUAAGCUAACCUUACCAUGUUAAAAAAUUGGAAAAUAUUAAGGAAUUGAAUUGGUAACUAUUGACUUCCAUCUUGAUUGUUGACUUUGGCAAAAUUAAUUUAGAUUGUUGGACCAAGAUAUAAAGAAAUAAGGUCAAAGUAUAAAUGUAUGAAUAAAUAAAGGUACCAAGUGGUGACCAAGACACCGAUUGGUGAUGUCUUUUCAAUAUCUAUCGGAGAAAAAGUACCUUUCAGUAUUAUGGUAAGAUCCUAAAACCCUUCUGUAUGUCUAGUGAUUGUUCAUUUUCUGGGGCAUCGAAAAGAAUUGUUUCUCCAACUACAUUACUACCAUCAAUGACGAGGCCUAGAUCAACGACCAACUCUGAUUCUCUCUUUUCUUCUCCGAAAUACUCUUGUGUAUUUCAAAUUCGGAGCCGAAAUCUGGUCAAAGAGAAACAUAACCCGAAAUUCAACCCGGUUGGCCAGCCAUUGAUGAAAGGUCUCUAAAGAUUGUAGUCUUCUUCGCUUCACAGUGAUGAAAUGCAUAGCCGGGGACGGAAUCACCUACUAUCUGGUUCGGCUUUCAAAUCUCUAGUUUCGGUUCUCAUGCUAGCCAUGUUCGCCACCAUGGCAUCGAUUUAUGUCACCGGCCCGUGAGUUCUCACACUGUAUCGUAUUGUGAAAUGAUUUUCAUUUCUUAGCUGUAAUAGUGUUUAUAGUGUGGUUAAUUUCGUUAAUUUAGGUUUUUGUUUUGUGAUGCUUUGAUUUUGAUUAUAAUUGGUCUAUGUUUUUCAAAAGAAAAAUUGUUUUUAUGGAAAUCUGUUAUUGGUAGGCUGUGGUUGGAUUCUGAGAAUAAGGUUUAUUUGAUUAAAGAGCUUGAUAUUGUUAUUCAAUUGUAGCUUCAACUUUUCUUCCCCACAGUUUGUUAAUGCAUUUUUUGGGACUGUUUUGUUAUUGAGACUAAAUUAUAGUGAUACAAAGAGGGUCUUGACAUUGAAUGGAACCAGAAUCAGUCCAUCAUGGUAUAUGUUCUAUAGCAUUACAUUACAAUGCCAAAUAAACUGGUGAUGUGCAUAAGCUCUUGCCUUUUUCUUUCUUUUAUUGAAACAAUCAGAGUUGAUACCAGCCGAUUUUCAUUUUUUGAAAUUAAUCAUUCAUAGUAAAAGAGGUAAAUAUCUAUACUUACCAUUUUAAUAGUUUUCAAGUGGAAUCAGCCAAUGACACUGAAAAUUACAGAGUAAUUGGGGUUCUUUUUUUGGGGCUUUUGUUAUAAUAGACAAAAUAUAAUCUAGAGGUCAUGGUGAUGGUUCUUCAAUUUUAUAGGAACAGCAGAAGUUAGCAGCCUUUGAGAUGGAGUUACUUGCAGUACAACAGGAAGAUUUUGUCUCAAAGAACUUGUCAGAAAAGAAGGAACUCCUCCUAAGAAAAAACAUUUAGCUGUUGUAGGAAUUAUAACAAAGUUUGGCCACAAGAACAAUAGAGAUGCAAUCCAUAAGACAUGGAUACCAACUGGUAGAAUACCCUUCUUUUUGUAAGUUUCUCUCUUUACUCUUUCUAUGAUUUACAUAGAGAAUGACCCAGUUGGCACUUAACAAAUUGACAUUUCUGUUAUAAGCAUAUAAGGGAUAAAAACAGGAGGCUUGUAGGCUGAACUCUUGUUAACAUGAAAACUUUUAGGGAACUUCCAUUUGUCUUCUAUUCUUUUUUCAUUGUUUUGUUUAUUUUCUCAGUUUGCAAUAGUCAUCUUUCAAUAGUUUGCAAACUCCAUCAACCAAUUUGAAAAGCCUUAGAGCUAACAAGUGCAAAUUAUGAGAAGCUAAAAUCUUGUUUCUCUAGGAUUUUUCUAAAGUUGCUCAAUUGAAUGGAAAGCAGAAAACCAUCAAGAGGCCCUGCCCUUGCCCCUGCCCUGCACCCUCUAUACUCCUGUUUACAGAAAUUUGGAGUUUGUCUUUAUUGUAAUAAGGGAGACAAUAGUCUGCAUAAUAAUGGAACAAAAAGUAAUAUUGUGAUUCACUGCUUCAAAAAGUAAUUUUGACAUAACUUAUGUGCUAAACUGCACUAAAAUGCUUAGCACAAAAAGUAUGUUAUUCUUCAUUUGAGAGCAUUACAUUGAACAUCAUAUGUUAGCAUCACUUUUGCCAUAACUAAUCUUUCUUUCUUUCUUUCUUUCCCCUUAUCCAAGACAAUGCAUAUUGAGUGAUUGAUACGUAAGUUAAUAGCCUUAGCACCCACAUGGGGUGAAGUUUGAAUCCAAAAUUUCCCAAUAGUCUUAAUACGCUUCCUCGGGUGUGUUCGAACUUAAGACAUCAAUGUUAAACCACCACCUUACCCAAAACCUUUAAGUUGCUCGGUAAUAGGCCAACAAUGGGAUAUUAAGGCGACUAAUAGGUAGGCUAAUAGCCUGAGCAAUUCUCUUAUAAUGUUUAAUGGUUCAAAUGUUGACAAUUAAAACAUUUACAAAAGCAUGAUGACUUAUCCAUCGUUUUCAUACAGAUACUCUAGAAGCAGCUCUUGCUCUACCCAUUUGAAUAAGCCUUGAGUUUAUAUUGGGUGUAUGAAAUCAGGUGAAGUUUUCUCAAAGUUGUGAGUAUAAUCAAAGGGUUUUUUUUUUUUCUUUUCUCUAAUGAUGAGAAAACGAGUUCUUUAUGAUAUUCUAUUUUCACAUAUUGUAUUAUCUUUUCAUAUUGUCUUAAUUAUGUAGGAUCCACAAGUAGUAAGAACUAGACUGGUAGAAAUUUGGUGAUGGAAAAUCAUGAGUAAUUCUGUAUUGAUUUCAUCUUGUCUCUUAUAUUAAGAUAAGUAAUUAUUACUUUCUAGUUCUGUUAACUAGUCAGGAAGUCUCUUAGUAUCUCCGAAUUCAUCUGAUAGGUGAUAGAAGUCCCAAUGAAUAACUAGGGCAUUGUCCCAUAAGAGGCUUGCUUGAUAGAGAGUUAGAGCACCAUUUCUGAAGUUUUUUGGGCAUUUAAACAAUUUAUCAUUCCAUCAUAUUCUUGACAUCUGUUACACUUGAUUUGCCCACCCUAUGCACCCAUAUUUAAACCAUCUCAAACUCUGAUUUGUGUUGAGGUAUCCUGGAGUUUGCAGAGGGACGCCUUCUCGGGAAGUCAGGCUUACAUUGGCUGAAUAUACAUUUAGAAAAUUUAUAUGCUGGUCGACUGGACAAGUUAUCAUACGAGGGUUGGGUAGCAUUUAUUGAGAAUCAUUUAGAAGAUAUAUUUGAUUCCACAGACAGACCUCUGGAAGGAAGACGUUGGUGGUUGUCUGCUGAGGAUCCUUUCCAAUGCUUGGCUGCAUGUAUUAAUCUCUCAGAAGCAUUAAGAAGCUCCUCUCCAUAGACUACUAUUUCACACAUGCCUGUCCACCAGGUACUUCAUUCUCAUCAUGGUCACAUUCAAACUGAGAAAUGUUUACUACCGAGUGAAAUCAAAUUAAUCCCACCUCCCUCNNNNNNNNNNNNNNNNNNNNNNNNNNNNNNNNNNNNNNNNNNNNNNNNNNNNNNNNNNNNNNNNNNNNNNNNNNNNNNNNNNNNNNNNNNNNNNNNNNNNACUAGUUUUUAUUGGAAUUAUGUUUCUAAGCAUAGGCAUAUCAUUUGUUGCUUGUGUAUUUUGUAUAAAAUCCUCCAGGUAACUAUAUAGUUCUUCUGCAUUUACACAUGGAAAAUGACAGUCACAUGAUUGUUCAGACCCUUCAGAGUACCCCAUUUGUUGCGGAGCAGAAAUAAUGGAUCUACCACUUCUUUCAUAGCACUACCUUAUGUUUGCGCUAUCCUAUUGAAGUAGGCUUGAGAGGAUAACAGAUAUUUCCCUGACUUUACUUUUGUUUUCAUAUUAAAUGCUUAGAUUCAGGUCAUUUGUUUGUCCAAAACUUAAUCUGAGAUUGUAUUGUUCUAUCUUUUUCAAGGAUGGCUCGUGCAAUGGCUUACAACACUAUGCUGCCCUUGGAAGGGACAAGGUAGUGGAAUUUUCCGCUUUUGGUUGAUCGUUGUGGAGUUCUAAUUAUGUGAUAUGGAAGCAUGGUUUUUGAUUAGUUAGGCAUAGCUUUUCACUCUUUUUCUGCUUUGAGGCUAAAUUUGUCUCAACUUUGAUCUUCUCUCAUUUUGAUAGGAAAAAAAUGAACUUUGUUAAGGAAAGAUAGUACGAGGAUAAGGAACUAGAAAUUGAAACCCAAGAAAGAAACCAAACUUUGUUUGAGUUUGGUGCAGUUUAUUUAAUUUGAUUUUUUUAAGUCAUCUCAAACUUUGUUUAAUUUUGUUGCUUCAACUAAAGUUUUAUAUAUGUAAUAGAAAAUAUAUACCGGAAAAAGUGGUAGGACCUUUUCAAUUUUGAAAUGAGAAUUUUAAUUAAAAUAUUUGAAAAAAAAAUUUCAAGACUUCAACUGUGGCCAAACAUAAGUUGUGUCAAGAGAAUAAACCUAUGGCAGCAGGCAAGGAAAAGUGGCAUCCAUAUGAAGCCCUAUAGUUGCGGCUGACAAAAGGCCAUGUCUAUAAGUACUAUAUAGUAUUAAAUUAUGUAGAUAUCACACCUUUAUAGCAGCAACUAUCAGCUGUCCCAACCACAUAUGGAGCUUUUAGUUAAGGAAAAAACAUGACAACGGGGAUAGCUUCACAACUUCUACUUGUGUGGGGUGGCUGCAACUAUAGGAUUUAUCUGCAUCCCUAUGGCCUUCGCCGCUAUAAACUUACCUUCUUGUAGUGUGUAGCACUCUUGCCUCGUGUAUGAUUGCAACACAUGUACUGCACAACUCUUUGUUAAUGGUUGUUAAAAAUAGGUUUCUAUUUUUGAAAAUUGAAAAUAAGAAAAUCUUGUUUGACAAUAAGAAAAUAGAAACCAAUUUUUAAAAAAAUAGAAAAUAGGUUUUGUUCUUAAAAAAAAAAAAUGUUUUCAAUUGUUUUCUAGGGUUAUUUUUAAAAAAAUAAUAAGAUAAAUAUGAAGAAUAAUUAAAAAUAAAAUGCUACAUAUAAAACUUACUUUUUUGAAAAAUAUUUGAAAGCAAAAAAUACGUUAAAAGUAUUUCAAAUUUUCAAACAAACAUUUAUCAUAUAAAUCUCAUAGAAUUAUUUUCGAAAACUAUUUUCAAAAAAUAUUUUUUUUUAAUGAUUUUCAAAAUUAUUUUCAAACUAACUUAAAGUAUGUUUGACAGUGAUUUUAUGAAGUAUUUUUAAUCUUUUUAAUAUUUGAAAAAUAAAAAAUUAUAAGCGUUUCCUAAAAUCAUUACCUAAUAAACUCUAAUUCUCUUUACUAGAGGCUUAUACGGGUUUUUAUAUUUUGCCUCCUAACCAUGUUAGAUAGGUGGUAACCAUGUUAUAAGAUUUUGGGCUAGCAUUGGCUAGUCUACACUUGUAUGUACUUAAUUUUUGUUUUUAAACAUAGAAAAUGAAAGUAACUUGGAUAUAAAAUAUAAAAACUUUUAGAGACUUACAUUAUUUCAAAUUUCAAAAUUUUUUAUAGUGAUUUUUAAAGAUAUAAGGUGAGUUUAUACUUUUGGUAAAAAAAAUUUCUAUUUUUUUAUAUAAAAAUUAUUACUACUUUUUGUGAUAAAAAAAUGUAUAAAAAAAUGUCAAUAUACAAAUAAUAAAAGUUGAAAGAACAUUUUCAAUGCAUAGAUUAUCUUAAGGGUUCAAAUGUGGGCUAAGCCUAAAACUUAAUAUUAAAUCUUCUCUCAUUCAAAUAAUAGUCUUUAUAAAUACUAGAAUAUCCUAAAUAGUUAUGGACCAAUAUUUCAAACAAAUUUCUCAAACAUUAGUAUCAAAAGAAACUUUCAUUAACCAUGACGAGCUCCCUAUUUUAAUCUAAAACAUGUAAAUAAACAUAAUUAACUUCAAUCGAAGCAAGAUUUAGAUUUGUAUUAUGGAUAAUAUAAAUCUAAAUAUUUUCUUAAAAGAUGAUCAUAAGUUUCUUAGUCCAUGACUUCAAUUAAUAGAAAAAAUAUUUAUAAGCUCAAUUUUGUUGGAAGACUUUUUAUAUUUUCUGGUAACUUACACUCCAUUAAAGAUUCAAGAUUAUUUAGAGUUAACUACAGAUUGGAUAGCACAAGUAUAAAGUUAUGAAAAGAACAAUAACUUUUAAUUGAAAAAGAUUUUGGAGAUCUAGUGCUCAUGCACUUGAAUCUAGCUUUCAAGGCUUGGAACACUCAAGUAUUGCUUGAGAGUACCCAAUAGCAAGCACUCAAGUAGUGUACUUAUCUCAUACUUGAGCACUCAAAAGAGGGGUUUCCAAAAAAUAAGUUUGCAUACAACACUCAUUAAAAAAAAUGAUUAUAUAUAUAUAUAUAUAUAUAUAUAUAGGGAGAAUUGUGUUUUGGGCCCAGCUGGGCCCAAAAAUUAACAAAUGGUCCAUAUAUGUUACAGAAUUAAUAGAAAGGCUAUGAGAUAUUGAGUGACCUAUAUACCCUUCAAAUUUCCAAGUCAGAUUGCUGUAAAUUAAAAGGGAGAAUUGUGUUAAAUGUGAAAUGCCAUGUCACCUGACUACAAAAAGGGUCACCACCAUCCUACCCCUUUAUCUCUCUUCGUAAACACCAUGAUCAAAGAGGAUGGCCACUGUGAAUGUCCCCCAACCGAUUUCUUCGGCAGGCGAGGGUUGUGAGCAAGUCAAAAAUCAGAAAAGCCUUGCAUCUAUUUUAUCAUCAUCAUCAUUUCAAAAUCCAAAUGACAGUGGGUGUAAAUUAUUUUCUCUCACAUUUUGAUUUGAUCAUAUCCAUCUUGGGUCAUAGGAAUGAAGCAUGAGGUAAGUAAAUUGAAGAAACUUACAAUGAAUAUUUUCGAAAAGAUCUCCUAUUAAAUGGCAUUUCACCUGUUUGAAAAUUCUUCACUUUAUAAUCUGGUUGUUGGCUUUAUAGUGUAGGCAAUAAAUGGGUAUGGUGGAGACGGUGAGCUAUGGGGAUUAGUUAGCGUACUUAUGAUGAAUAGGAAAGUAAAUUGGGUUUCAUUUUCCCCCUUUUCAGUCAGCCAUGACAUUGGGAUGUGGUUAACCUGGCCAUAUGCACUCUUUAAGUUAUAGGUAGGUCAAAUUCCUGCAACUGUACAAGGCAUUUACACCAACUGUACAAGGCAUGUACACCAACUGUACAAGGGUGUGUAUCUUAAGGGAUUUCGAGUGAUUUUUAAGAACUUGCUCAUUUACUUUUUCCAAUCGUGGGGGACAUUCCUCACACUUAUUGGUUGACAACAUACUCAUUGCAUGCAUUUUAUUUGAUAUCUACCAUGUUAAUUCAUUGUUUUAUCUCCCCUACAUUACUUAUGCGUAUGAACGGAAAUGAGGGUUCAUUUUUUCCUCCUUUUCCCUCAUCCACGAGAAUGGAAACAUUGUUGCCCCACCCAUAUGCACUUGUUCGGUUGUCCCUUCGGUGGAUUGCAUAACUGUACAAGCCAUUUACACUAACUGUACAAUCCAAAUGUGUUAACUGUACAAGUGUGUUCAACCCUACCUAUAUUGAAGGAUUUCAACUUUUUUUGAAAACAAUCGUUGCUCAUUUCCUUCUUUUUUUUUACUAGAGGGACAUCCCUCAUAGUCAUUCCUCAUUUCCCUUUGUACACAUUCAAAUGCCUUGUGGUAGCCCACUUAUGUUGCAUAGGAACCUAAAUUGGGUUUCAUUUUCCCCCUUUUCACUCAGCCAUAUCUUUGGAAUGUGGUUAACCCGCCCAUAUGCACUCCUUUAGUUGUAUUUAUGUGGAAUUGCUCCAAGUGUACAAGGCCUUUACACCAAGUGUACAAGGCCAAUGUACUAAAUGUACAAGGGUGUGUAUCUUAAGGUAUUUCAAGUGAUUUUGAAUAACUUAGUCAUCAACAUUUUCCACUCGUUGUGAACAUUCCUCACACAUAUCGGUUGACAACACACUCCUUCCAUGUAUAUUAUUUUAUUUGUACAAUGUUAGUUCAUUGUUUUAGCUCCCCCACAUUACUUAGGCGUAGGAAUCGAAAUGAGGGUUAAGUUUUUCCUCCUUUUCCCUUAUCCAUGGUAAUGGAAACAUUGUUGCCCCACCCAUAUGCACUUGUUCGAUCGUCCAUUUGGUGGAUUGCAUAACUGUACAAGCCAUUUACACUAACUGUACAAUCCAAAAGUGCUAACUGUACAAGUGUGUACAACCCUACCUAUAUUGAAGGAUUUCAAUUUUUUUGAAAAAAAUUCAUUGCUCAUUUCCUUAUUUUUUUGCUAGGGGGGCAUCCCUCACAGUCAUUCCUCAUUUCCCUUUGUACACAUUCAAAUGCCUUGUGGUAGCACACUUAUGUUGCAUAGGAACCUAAAUUGGGUUUCAUUUUCCCCUUUUUCACUCAGCCAUUUCUUUGGAAUGUGGUUAACCCGCCCAUAUGCACUCCUUCAGUUGUAUUUAAGUGGAAUUGCUCCAACUGUACAAGGCCUUUACACCAAGUGUACAAUGGCAAUGUACUAAAUGUACAAGAGUGUAUAAGGGUGUGUAUCUUAAGGUAUUUCAAGUGAUUUUGAAGAACUUAGUCAUCAAUAUUUUCCACUCGUCGUGAACAUUCCUCACACAUAUCGGUUGACAACACACUCCUUCCAUGUAUAUUAUUUUAUUUGUACAAUGUUAGUUCAUUGUUUUAGCUCCCCCACAUUACUUAGGCGUAGGAACCGAAAUGAGGGUUAAGUUUUUCCUCCUUUUCCCUUAUCCACGAUAAUGGAAACAUUGUUGUCCCACCCAUAUGCACUUGUUCGGUUGUCCCUUUGGUGGAUUGCAUAACUGUACAAGCCAUUUACACUAACUGUACAAUCCAAAAGUGCUAAUUGUACAAGUGUGUACAACCCUACCUACAUUGAAGGAUUUCAACUUUUUUUGAAAAAAAUUCAUUGAUGGUGGUGUUUACUUAUUGUUGGUUAGUGUUAUGACAAACAAUUUCUGUCUCCCUCUAUUCGCCUUGUUAUCUUGGGUAACAACACAUAAUUUCAAUAGACCAGUUUGUUGCCUUUAUGAAAAACUCUCAUUUGAUGUUGAUGUGAGGACAAAUAUCUUUGAGGUAUUUAAUUCAACAGCUUCAUGCAAAAUCAGAUAGUUAAUUCACAUUCUAUGGCUUUAGAGGUUUAUUUUCUCUUAAUUUUCAUCCUUCCAAUAUUCUUAAAUUAUGAGUAUGUUCACUUCUUUUGUUUGUAAGACGGAUUUAUGACUCUGCAUCAAUGGAAAAUUAUGUGCACAAUAUGGAGUGACGGAUAAUAGGAGAACUUAAACGAUUACAUGAGGGUGUCGAAUUGCACCUUUUCCUUUUCGUUUUUAGAUGAAGCAAAUAAAUGAUCUUUUAUCCUUGAACUAAUUGUUUUUCCCUUUAUGUGUGCAGGUGGGUUGAUUCUUGAAGUGGGAACUUUGUCACGAUUAAUACAAAUAAUUCAAAAUAAGAGGCUUAACAUCAGAUGAAAGAUGAGAAGAGAAAAACAGAGAAGUCUAGAUGAUCAAGAUAGUUUAUUUUAUAGGAAGCCAAUCUAUGUUAAGAGUUGGAUAAUAAGAUACCAACCUUCUUUUAAGUUUUUACAUUGUAACUAUUUUCAUUAAAUAGUAUCAUAUACGUUUCGGGACAUGUAAUUAUGCAUUUCAUUCCAAUUAAAAUUCCAAUGUAUUGAACUUAAAUUUUGGUUAUUUCGCAGUUUAUCAGCACAUGUUUCUUGUUUUUAAAUUUUGUUUUUCCUCCGUUUAUAUUGGUUGUUGGACAAAUAAUGACUCAUUCUCAUUUCAUGUCGUUCUCCAAGUUUGCUGAAGAAUUUCUUUACUUGAUAAUUUUAUUAAGUCAUUAAAUACAUUAAUCAUGUUUGUUAAGAUAAUUUCAUAGCCCAUAUUUUUAAUAUUAAAUUCAUUUCAUUAAUUAUUUACUAUUUAUAUCUCUAUAUCAUUUUAUAUGUACACCUUCAUAUUUAUUACAUAAUUUUUAUAGUCAAUAUUGUGUAGUACUAUAUGUUUGCAAAACUUUAAUUAUGAAUAUGUAAUAAAACAGUUACUAAUUAAAGAGUAAUAAAGAUAAAUGUCAAACUCAUUUACUUUUUCUAAAAGGGACAUUCCUCAUUUCCCUUCGUACACAUUCAUUGGAUGAGAUAGCGCGCUUAUGAUGAAUAGGAACCUCGAUUUGGUGUCAUUUUUCCCCAACUCGGUGAGCCAUGACAUUGGAACGUGGUUAACCCAGCCAUAUGCACUAGUUAUGUUGUAUCUAGGUUGAAUUUCUGCAACUGUACAAGGCAUUUACACUAAGUGUACAAGGCCAAUGUACUAAAAGUACAAGGGUGUACAAGGGUGUCUAUCUUACUUUUUCCAAACGUGGGGAACAAUCCUCACACAUGCUGCUUGAUAACACACGCAUUGCAUGCAAUUUAAUUGAUGUCUACCAUGUUCAUUCAUCCUAUUAGCUUCCCUAGUAAUGAUGAAUAUGAACCGAAAUUAGGGUAAACUUUUGUGUCAUUUUCCCUAGUCCAUGGUAAUGGAAACAUUGGUUACCUACCCAUAUUCACUUGAAAAUAUGUACCUAUUAGGGAUUUGGUGACUGGACAAGGCAUUUACACUAAGUGUACAAAGCAAAUGUGCUAACUAUACAAGUGUAUACAGGGGUGCCUAUCUUGAAGGAUUUGAAAUGCUUUUGAAAAAAUUGCUUGCUCGUUUAUUUUUUCUAAGAAGGACAUUCCUCAUUUCCCUUCGUACACAUUCAUUGGAUGAGAUAGCGCGUUUAUGAUGAAUAGGAACCUCGAUUUGGUGUCAUUUUUCCCCAACUUGGUGAGCCAUGACAUUGGAACGUGGUUAACAUAGCCAUAUGCACUAGUUAUGUUGUAUCUAGGUUGAAUUUCUGCAACUGUACAAGGCAUUUACACUAAGUGUACAAGGCCAAUGUACUAAAAGUACAAGGGUGUACAAGGGUGUCUAUCUUACUUUUUCCAAACAUGAGGAACAACAACAGCCAACAUACGAACCCAGAGGACUAUACAAAAUUCAUUGUGCUGAAACUUAUGGAAGAACUCACAAAACAUCAUUAUGGGGUUGAGCUGCUUUAGUUCAGGAAUCCCAGCAAGAGAGACAUCUUGCUUUGUAUGAAAAACACGUCCUUCAAUAAUUGUAACAGUUGUAAAUUAUGAAUUAUAGAGGUAACCUGCCUGUAAUCUAAUGAGAAUUGACUUGAUAGAUUAGCUUUUUAACCAAGUACUUAGUGAUGAAAAUGUGUUUUGUGCUUGAACGGUGUCAUUCCCAUUAGUCCAAAAUUUUGGGAUGAUGAUCGCCAUUUUUCGAUGUGUUGAAUGAUUACUUUUAAGGUGUGGAGCUACUGCAUUCUGAGAAUGGUUAAUAAUAAUUUUUAAAAUCAUACAUAAUAACUUCCAAAAUAAAGACUAAUAAUUUUCAAGUGAUUGUGGAUUAUUCUUGAGUUUCCCUUUUCUCUUGUCUGAACUUGCUAGUUCCCAAUACUAAAGUAGGAGUCCAUUGAUAAUUUAAACACAAAUAUUGACUAUAAGUCUCUGAAAAACCUUAUUACUAUAAUCAAUCAAGCCAAUAUCCACCCAACUAACCCAAGGGCAAAGUGGGUUCUUAUUACCAAGCCAUGAGCAAUUUUGCCCACAAAAAAAACCUAGGACAAAAAAGGGAAAAAGCCACACGAAAAAAUGUUUUAUAUAUAUAUAUGAAAAAAAAAAAGAUCUCAAACCACAUGGCAUCCACAUGAUUGAGAAACACCAAUUUAGAAUUUAUUUUGAUAGGGGAUUUACUUUAUAGAAUAUUUUUUUAAAACAAGUUAUUUUUGUUCAAAACCCCCAUGAACAUGCAGUCUGAUGAUGUACAAGGCAUAAGAGUAGAGAAAUGAAAGGAAUGGAUAUUCAUGGCAUAUUUUCUAGUGCAAUUUUCUAAAAGAAUAAUGGCGUAUUUUCUUAUGACUGUAGACAGUUGAUGGAUGAGAUCAAUUAGUCAUAAUUCUACCCUUAUUGCAAGAUCAUUCUUCGCCGAGAUCCUUUUGCUUUCCCUUCGGGGCUUUGGAUUCCUGAAUUGUAAUCCUUUUCCUUCUCCCUUCCAAUUAAGGAAUGCAAGCACGCAACCUGGUUUCACCCACACAUCUUGCCCUCUUAUAUAAAGCCACCACCGAAGGCCUUAUGAACUAAACAGAGAUAUCCAGUUUAAUUUAAGAACUUUGUCAAAUGAAGAAAGUAAUUGCUCUGGCAGAAAUAUCAACUGAUUUAAUUUCUGACAGUCGUACAUCAACCUCCAUAGCAUUACAUCUACUAAAAGGGUUCCUAUUCUAGUUUCACAUGUAGAAUUGCAUUUAUAAUUCAUACACUACAUUCCAACUUCAACCAAACAAAAGCUAAAACAAAAGGCCUAAGCUAGAGCCAUUUGCAUUUCAGCACCCAGAUUGCCUAAGCCUGCAUUGAGGCUGUGUACACCCAAGGUUGCCAGGAUUGAUGAUGAGCCCCUGAUGAAGCCAAGGUUUCCAUCUUCACCAUUGGAACAACCAACAGCAAGUGAUCAGAUAUUCAAUGGCAAAUCGGGUGGGCACGACACUACCAACAGGCACUGCAUGACUUGUGGGCACGUCGUGUGACACUGGCAACAUGUGAUGGCAUGCUCAUGUGCUUCAAUUAAGUUACGGGCUCCGACACUCUGAAACUUUCCCUAAGUCGCUAGAGGCUUUAGACGAAUUUUUCAAGUGAUAUAACUUUCCCUUCGAAACUUUCACCGACUUCUAUUGAACAGCAGAAGCUAAAACGGGCACAUGAAAAUAUUUUGUAUAACACAAAAAAAAAAUACCUUGCGCUUCCAAUAAGUAUAUCCAAACAAGACUUAUGUCACGCAAAUUGUGCGACAUGCAGGAAAAGCUAGAGAGGUAGAUGUCUAAGGUGAAGAGAAGUGAUGAAAAUGUACAACAAACAUGAAGGAUGGUUUAAUUCAAGUCAAUCAGAACCCAGUUGACCCAACUAAGGAAGAGUAUGAUGCAUUCUCAUCACUGGCUGUUGGCCUCUUCUCACCAUCCCUGUUUGAUGCUCCAUUCCCAAUUUUGGGAAGCAGCCCUGUUUCUAGACCAGCCAUAUCAUGCAACUCUAAUCGUCGCUGUUUUGCUUCUUCUAUAUCACCUUCCCAGCAAGUUUCGGAAAUAAUUUCAAGCGCUUUCUCCAUCUUAUCCUCUGUCACAAGCUCUCCAUUUUGCAGGAGGACAAGGUAAAUUUGUUCAGCAGAAGCCUUCCGGAUCUAAGGGAGAUAGCAAAAAACCAAUCCAUCAGCAAAGGACGAUUUAUUAUAUAAUUGAGAGGCAAAAUUUUUAAGGUUUAAAAUUCAGUAAAAGUGAUAAUAUUUUGUGUGCACCACAUACCUUGGGAUAUCUAUGGCCCAGGAAAGUGAGAAGAUGAGAAAAGGCUCAGGUGUUGACGGAUUCUGGAACGGAAGCAAUAUACCCAAGUAUUGCAAUGCCAGCAUAUAACUUGGAGAAAUCCUUUGUCGCUUUCAAUUCCACUGCCAGAGAAUCCAAAACACCAGCAUAGAAGAUUGGAGUAUGGCCCUGGAAAUUGAGAUAUCUUAAAAAUGUGUUGACACCAAAGAAUUAAAACUACUGACAUAUAAUUCCAUAAAGGAAUCAGGAUCAUGCAAAAACCAAUAUUAGCUUAAUCUUUCUGAUUACAAGAAUUUAGUCGGAUAGAAAAUUUUAUUAACAAUUCCAGAAUUGCAUGAAGGGUUCAUUGUUGUCCUGGAACAUCUAACUGUCCUGUCAUUUUCACCUUGUUUCUAUUUUUUGGUCUUGGUAUGGAUUGAAGUAGAACAGAAAAUAAACUAACCAAGUCCAGGGAAUGCAUUCAACCAACAUGGGAAGUCAAAACAAAUAUAAAGUUCUCUUGAAUGAAAUGAUAAAUUUUCCACUAACAUUGCCUGACAAGGGACACCAUUUAUCUGGCAUGCUUUCACAUCUCAAGAAAUUGAGACUUCUGAAUUCAAUAUUCUAGGGAAUCAUGAAUUUAUGAACCAGUCUAUAUGUCAGCACAAAAACUGAGCUGAUAAGAUCUAGAAAAGAAAAAAUAAUGCAAGUGAUCAAAAAACUACUUUGAUUAAAUUAGUAAUUCUUUUGCAUCAGUAAGCCAGAUUUCAAUUUAAUGGCUUGAAAGGUCAGGAUUGUCUGUGUAUUAUAGAAAAAUGCAUAGAAUUGGAGAAACUCUUCUGGUUGGAUGAAAUGAUAGAUCCUAUUACAAAAAAAAUUAAAUUUUAAUAUUUUAAUAAAUGCCUCUACAAUAACCAUUCUUUCAUACAAUUAACAAUGAUGUACCAAUAGAAUCAAACAGAAAUCUUCAAAUUGAUAGCAAUGAACAAAAAAUUGAAUGGGAAAAAAAUUGAAACAUUCUAUCAUCUGUGAAUUAGCAUAGCAAUAAAAGGAGAGUGUCAACUAACCUCCAUGUUCAAUAAUAUCUUUUUGCUGAAAAGAAUCUCAAUGGUCUGAAAUACAGAGGUAAUUUCAUUAAAAAUAAUUCAUCUGAAAGAAGAUAGGGCCUAAAUCUGAGAAAAAAAUAUCUAUAGAAGAGUGGAAGUAGAGGUGUAAACAUGCAAAAGGAAUCAUGGAAACCCAUAUAAAUGCACAAUAUGCAACAGCAAAGUAUAGGCUAUUGAAAUGCAAAAGAUGCAAUAAAUACGAAAACAGAGAGAAUCUAAAAGCUGAAGAUAUAUCUUUCAAAAGCACAUGGGAAGGGCAUGUUUUUGUCUAGGGAUGAACCAUUGCAGAGUCUAGGACCACAAGAUAUAGCAUUCCACUUGGUUGAAUUUCUCAUCAAUCACAUUUUUCUUUCAUCAGUUUCAAUUCUCAAUUUUCGUUAAGAAAUCUAAAUAGUGGAGAAUGGCAACCCUGUACAAGAAACAGCAUAGUGGUGAUUAAAAAGUGCCUUUUGCAUUAGGUGAAAUAUGGAAGUAACCUAUGCCCCAAUGGGUAAGGAGAGAACAACGCAUAGACCCAACCAUGGCUAGAAUAUGGAUGUCUAGAGAUGAGCAUUAAUAUAUUCUUAAGGCUUCGUUUAAAGCAUUAUGAUUUGUAACAGAAGUUCCUUUGUGGUGAUGGGUAAUAGAUUCAAAACCAACAAACUCACUGGCAGAGUAACAUUGAUAAGCAUUGGAAAUAUGUCUAACUGCAAAAUCGAACCCAUAGUGCUAGUUGUUCCAAAUGAAAACACAAACUACUAAAAACAUAAGCUGUGAAAGCAAGAUAUAGCAAGAAAGUGAACUAUAAACAGUCCCCACCAGAAUGCCAGCAAAAUGAUCCUAAAAAUGUAGGUAUAUACUGACUUUAUUUCUGGUUAAUUUUAAUAUGAUAAUGUAUUGGUCUAGUUACUAUAAUGGUAUAGUGGGGGUUCAGUAGAUCUGGGUUCUAUCAGUGCAUGCAUGCACAAAACAACAGAACAGACUUACUUCCAGGGAUCAUCCCCAACAAGAAGUACAUCAUUCUCAUAAUCCACAUACACCAUUUUCCAACUUGAGCCUUUCUCGUCGUUGAGCACAUCUUCAACUCCAAGCAUGCAUUCAAUUGCCUAGCAUAAUUCUUCAUAAUUCUUAAAACUUGCAACAUCAAUUGACCUCCCAACUGAUCCCAUUUUUUGAACCUGCCAUAGCAAAAAAUGCCAUCAAAACCAGAACUCCCUGUUUUCUAAGAAAAAAAUCCACCAAAAAAGAAUGUAAAACAGUUCGUUGGCAAACAUAGAAACGUCAAUGUGUAGCGAAAUGGAGUUUGCAGUGACAUUAUGGUAGUAACAAUAUGUUAAAACUAAACUGGGCACACACUGGAUCAAGGAGGCAUGUAGGAGUGUUGUUGACUUGUUUCAAUAUACUUCAGGUGGUAAUGAUGGGCAUGCCUCAAUCUUUUUGAUGAAAAAGAGACAAUGUAGUCAUUUAAAGAUAUACAAAUUGUUAGUUAAAAAAAAUUUGUAUCAGCAGAAAUAAUACAUGGUACUGUAAAACAUACCACAAGGUGAGUCUACCACAAACCAGUACGCAUGUGGCACACAUAUAGAGACCAGGAAUCAAUAAUAAGUUAAUGUCUAUAUGGAAAUGAGCUCUCAAAUACUACUCUAUCAUGAGACAUUGCAUCUAUGAAUUUACUUGACACAUUGUUCUUAACACAAAUUUUUAUGUUUUAAACAAAAAACAAAAUUUGCCGAUGCUAAAUAUACUGAUCACUUCCAAUCAGGCAAGAAAAUAUUCAACCUCAGAUACUAAGUCACACCAAAGCUUAUGGGGAUCCCAAUCCAUUUAUAUGGAGCCAGGAUUGUGGCUCUACAAUGAUUGGCCAAUGGUUAUUUAGCUGAUGAUUCCUAUACAAUAUCCUAAAUUAAAAAGACCUACAGGAGAAACAAAUUAGAACAAGUGAUCUAGAGUUAUUCAGUAUUGGGGCAGAUUUAGUCCAGCGCCACCCAGAAACCAUGCUUGCACUUUUAACCGACAAAAUAAUUUAUUACAGGACAAAAUAAGGAGAGUUGAUUUCUAUAGUAGGAUUGAUAAGUUACCUUCUCAUUUACCAAUUCAGUGAUGACAGAUGCACAUUGCUGCAAUGACUUAAUCCUUGUCAUGCAGUGAGUUGAUGGUUGCUCUAAAGCAUCUCCUAUAUCCAUGGAUCCUUGUGAAGUCCCAGAAGAUGCCGAGCUAUGACUUUCCAAGCUUCCAGUAUAACAUGUGUUAGUGAUUCCUGCACCAGCAAUUGGCAUUGGUGCACUUGAUUUGGUCUUCAUAUUUACAGAUGUUAGAGGGGCACUCCCUGAUUUGCAUUGUGAAUGACUUGGCUUGGAAGCAAUAGCUGAGGAAGAUGAUACAUCCAUUGGGGGUCCAGAUACAAAAACAUAAUCUUGAUCAACCAACUCCUCCAAUGAAUCCACAACUGUGGAAUCCAUACAAAUAAGAUAAUAAAAAAGAACAUAAAUUUUAGCAACACGUUUUUUUUUAUAAUAGAAUAUUAAAAUGAGCAAUGAAAUAUUAUUGAAAACAUUGGUACCUCUUGAACAACUUCUCAUUGGUCUUUGUUCCAUGGAUUUUAGAGGUUCUUUGACAUUCUCAUUUGAAGGCCUAAGAUUGUCAAUCCUAAAGCCAGUAAUUUCUGGUUUAUGUGAUGUACUGUUGUAUUUAAAAGCAGGAUCCGUGUUGUUCGAAGUGUUAAAUAUUGUUUCCCUUAUAUCAACUUUGUUAUCAAGAGAAAAUCCAUAGGUAGACUUCAUUGAGGACCUCUUCCUCAAAAAUGAUGGGCUCCCUUCAGCACCACUAGAAUCAUCAUCUAGAGGAAAAGACAUACAAUCCUCUUGAGAACUUGCCUCUGUUUUUCUCACAGGAUUGCAUUCAGAAAAAGGAAACCCAUCAUUUAUUCUUGAUGAUCUCCUACUAUUGCAUGCCACGAAGGAUUUUAACAUGAGUAAAUAAUGAAAAUAUCAUAUGCCAAGAUCGAGAAGAGUAAAAAAAAUUUUCUCCUUUACCUUAACGCUUCAUCUGGUUGCUUUUGAGAAAGGAAUAGGUGGUUAAACAACUCUUCAAAUGUUAGUCGUUCCACUGCAUAUACAAGGACAUAGAAGGGUCAAAGAGCUAUUCAACCUCAAUAAGCCUUUAGUUUUAGAACUACAGUGAUUUCUUUUUGGCACAAUCAGAUAUCAUAUAUGUUUCACUUUUGUAUCAUCUUUAGUUGUUUUAGGCUUUUCACUUGGUGCCAUUAAGAAUUCCUAGCAACAAACAGGUUUCCCCAAUAAAACACACACACACACACACACACACACACAUAUAUAUAUAUAUAUAAAUGCUGCCAGUUUCGAGCUAAAUUCUGUGAAAUACCUGGAUUGCGGCGCAGCAAUUUCUGACACAAAUCUUUGCAGUUAGCACUCAAAGCAUUAUUAUCAGGAGGGAAAUGCAAUUCACUAUAUUUAACAAUGUUUUGGAGCAACUGCUCAAGAAACAAGACAAAAGGUUAAUCAAGGAAAAGUUAAGGGCACAAAGAAAGACAAAUUAAACAUAGCUACAGAAUUAUUACUACUUAAAUUAAACACAAAAAGAAUCAAUAAUUAAACCAAGUUGAAAACCCAACCACUACAAAUGAUUAUUUCAGAUGUGCUAAAAAAAAUAAAAAGAAAAAAAAAACCUGUAUAUGAUUGUUUCUUGUAAACGGUGUUCUUCCAGUCACAAGUUGAAAGAUAAUGGCACAAACACUCCAGAGAUCUGCCUGCGUAUUUGGUUGAAGUUAAUAGGAGAAGGUUAUGCGAGAAAAUGGAUGGAUUCUUACAGAUGGAGAAAGUAAAUAUCACCUUUGCGUCAUAUUUCUGAAGUUGCAUUAUCUCUGGCGCCAUGUACAAUGGUGAACCACACAAUGUUUCUGCAAGACCUCUAGGUUGUAGAGAUCUGCCAAAAAAGAAUCGGAACAUAUAAACUUAUUGAAAGGACCUUAACUAUAUAACCCAUUUAGCUGUACUAGAAACUAGAAACGUUAAACAAAAGGAUUUUUAAAAUGAAAGAGAACAGGUUUCAUUUCAAUGAAUAUUUACACCCUUUGAAAUCAGCAAUCUUCAAUACUGAAUUGUUGUCAUUUGUGGAGAGAAGAAGAUUUUGUUCCAAGUAAUACAUAUGCCAAAUGGAAUUAGAUCUUAUGCAAUGCCUCUUUUGCACAGGAUGUACAACAUAAAGAAUACCCAUCACUAAAAUUCCCAUCGUAUUUGCAGAGGAUAUAAAUUUUGAUGGGCAUGCCCUAUAGAAAAUUUAAAAUCAUGACAAAGUCAAACACAAAACAAGAGCCAAUAUAUAUAUUUAUAACUUUUUUAUUAAAAAGAAAAAGUAGACAAGAAAAAAAGCAUGCCUGGGAUUGUAGAAAAUGGUAAAUGGGCUUCGGUUAGCCGCAGCAUGAGAUGUAGCUGCAAGAACUCCAAUAUGCAGGCUAUCAGUGGACAGAACUGAUGAUGGCAAUGAUGUUUGUUGACGGUUUGCACGCCUCACACCAAACAAUAGCUGUGAUUUCUCUUCUCUUGUGAUGACAAUGAAUACAAGAUAAUGAGGUUAGCUAAAAUAUAUUUUUUAGAAUGCAAUAUAUUAUUAAACAAGCAUUAAACAUGUGCCUAUGAAAUAGACUUGAGUGAUUGUCCAAUAUGGAUACAUCAUACAAGGGUCAAAACUUUCAGAUGUCCUAAGAGUUUCUUUCGACAGUUUCAAGGAUGACAAACCACAUUAGAAACUUUCCCAAUAUUGGCACAGGUUGUCACCAAUCUCAUACACAAGAUGUUAAAAACAGAAUAAGGGAAAAAGAAAAAGAAAACCUAAUUAUUGCGUGCCUACAUAAUCAGAACAUCAAACUUGAAUUCUGGUUUCAUAAAAACUUGGAUGCAUAAUAAUCAGUCAACUAAAAUGAAGCCAUUAUUUGACGUCUACCUAGACCACAUCUAUGUGGAACCUAAUCAUACUUAAGCUAGAAAUAACUUUUUAUGAAAAUUUCCAAUGAAUGUUAUAUAGUACCUAGUUUAUGAUCAUCUUCAAACUUAAGCAUGGCGUGUCAUGAUUAUCAAGAAAUAAAGGUUCCCUCACCAUCAGCAAUUUGCUAUCAUUCAAGUUUAAAUACACUUAUGUUAUUAUUCACAGCCAAAUAUCAAUGAUUGGGGUCAAGAAAGGGGAAUAUCUCAUCAUGAUUAACAAAAAUAUUUACCUCGAUGUUGCCUACAUCCCACAUUGGUUGCCUGCAGCUAUUUUGAUCAUCUAACAUAUUUCCAGCCUGCUUGUUACAAUGAAAAGGUGAUAACUCACUGGUUUUUGUUCUCUAUCUUUCAGAACUGUUGGAAAAUGAAUGUUGAAUGUCCUCUGGUUUUCCUUUUUCCUUGCCAGAGCUGCCUUCAAAGUACCAAUCUGAAAUAAUAGUUCAAAGUUUUCAGAAUAAUAAAUAAGAAUUGAGAAGAAUGAUAAAUAAUGAGAGCAUUCAGAACCUGUUCUUUCAGCUCUUUCACAUCUGCACUAUCCUUGUUUACACGAGCAGCAUCAAGUUCUACAGUGGCAAAUCGCUCUGCAAAUUUAACUGUGCUAAUUGUUUCUCCAUCAGCAUCCGGUUCAGGGCUAAUGUGAACAAACAUUAGUGUCUUGGCUUGCCCCCCUAAAGAGAAUUACAAUCCAAAAGCCAUAUUAUAAUUUAAAAAAUAAAAUUAAAGAAAACAGAAUCAAAUAUGAGGUUCAUACUCUGAAAAUGCAUUAGUUUAUUCUUACCAAGUGAGUCUUGAAGAAGUUUUGUUACUUAACUAUUCCUGUAAGGGACAUGUGGACUCUUCUGGGCAAGGGCAGAGAUGACAUCCCCUAAAACAGAGAGAGAUCUGUUAAUAUGCUGUGCCUCCUUUAGUCUAUCUCCAUUGACCUCAAAUUUGUCUACUCUCUCACUGUCGGCCUGAUCAACAAGAUGCAUACAGCCACGAAGAAUAGUUCCUGACAUCAAGUCUCUUCCUGAUUCAUUCUAAUAAUAUUUAAUUCUCUCUAUUUACUUAUUAUGCAAUCACAAUCAACUUAAGUUAAAAAACAAUCAAACUCUGACUAAUCCCAUAAUCCCAGUGUUCAUUUCCGCAUAUGACACCAAAAAAAAAUUUAAAGAACUACAUUUGUCCACCAUAAAUUACAUACAAAUGUUAGCACUUUAUACAGUUUUAUCACAAAUUACAAUCCCCUUUAAUCUCUCCGGACAUGGUCUCGGUGUGCAUUUUGUGCUGAAAGCAACAUACUCCCCAUAAUCUUCAACCUGUAAUGUUUCAAUUUCCCCUGCAUUCAUUCAAGUUGAUAGCAACAAAUCAGCAAAUUAAUUAAUUAGGCUUUUCUAACUAUUUUAACAUUAAUGAGAUAGUCAUAGAUAAUUCCUCCUACGUACCACAUCGAUUGAUUUGGAGAACCCCCCCAUUGACCACAAUUCCAUGAAUUUCAUUACAAAAACUCCGCAAUCGUGCCUACGUCAAUAUAAUUACCAAAACGUUAUUAAGUGUGGAAUUAUAAAUAAGAGAUGAACUUAAAAUAAGUUGCAAUCCUAUACAAUAUCCCGGACUGCAAGGUCAACACUCACUCAUUAGGUUGGAGGGGUACAUCAGGUGUUAUGAAAUUCAAUGUCCUCAAAUCAUAAGGUGAUACCUCUUUUUUGUGGGCAGCCAACCACAAGACAACCUUGGCCUGAAACAUUUAUUAACGCAACAAUUGAAAUUUUUAUGGGAAGACAUACCUAACAAAUUAUUAGUUGUUGCUUGUUACUUUACCAGAUUUUGUUGAACUCCACUCAACAUUGUCUUCUUCCUACCAGGACGAGAAUCUAGCAGUUGGAUUCUCUUGUUUGCUAGGUCAUAUACGUACAAUGUCCAAUGGUUCUUUAUGAGAACCGGUAAGAAGACCUGCACCAAUAGACUGCCAUUAAACAUACAUCUAAAUAUUGUACCUUCAUGCAAUAAAAAUACAAAUCCAAGCAUUAAACAUAGGAAUCCACCUCGUUAACAUUGACAUAUGGAAUAUCCAUCUGAUACAGAUGUGGUUCAAAGUGUCCUAUAACUACCUCCCUCACUAAGUGUUUUGCUUGGGAGUGGAUUAUCAUUUCCUGCAUGUCAAAUAGGGGAUAAUAUCAGGUUUGUCAUUGUAGGUGAUGCUUGGUUCAAGACAAAAAAUAAAGUUAAGCAAGGAUUUAAUGGAAUAGUAAUCAUUACAGCUAUGUAGGGGGAUAGAAACAGUUUCGACUUCGAUUCAUGUUCAUACUGCAACAAUCUACAGUAGGCAUCGACGACCUGAUUUCAUAUAUCAUAAAAGUGUAAGCAACUAAUUAUAUUAGAACCACACUUUCAUUUUCAAACUUAAAAUAAUGCAUAAAGAGGGAUAAGAAGUGAUAUGCACGUCGCUUCCUAUCCACCCAUUCCCUUCGAAGCAGCCCAAAUUACCUCUGGUUAGGAUAGUGUCAUGCAUAGACACUAGUUCCUCAUUGUUACAAACACAUACAAUUUAGUUUUUAUGUUUUCACGAUCAUACAAUGAGAGGAGUGUCAUUGAAGUAUGUUACCUAGCAUCCAAAUCCUCUCCAAAUACCAGUGCAACUGCUUGUUUUAGGUCGAUUUUGAUGGCAGAUUGUUUGGUUUGUGGUUGGGAUAUGUAUGGGGACAACAGGUUUGGAGCCAUUCGACACACUCGACGUUUUCGGACGUUCCUAUUUGUGGGGACAACAUUACCUUCUGGUUGUUCUUCACCAUCUGCAAUACGAGAUUUAGAACUAGUCAGCAAAGGUAUACAUUAUGAUUGGGUACUUGGGUUGUUAACCAUAUGGGUGUUUGCAUAAAUUUUAUCACUUACUGCUUACUACAUUAAUGGGUACACUGGACUGCAACUCAUACUCAGGGGCGACAACGCGAUCUGGUGUGUCUAGCACAUGGUUUGCAGCAUGCGAAGCCAUGUACUCAUCACCAAGAAAUGCAUGGUCAUUGGUUGUGGGAGUGUUGGCUGGUGCAUAGCUAGAGUGACCACCCACAUCUGAAUUUACCCCACUAUGUCUUCGAGUCCCUAACUUAUGCAUAAGGCCACACAUUAUUCUCAGCUGCUGCUGAAUGCCCCGUUGAUAUUGGUCAAUUGCUCGUUCUGCAUCAUGAUAUUGAUGCCAUAUUUCCUAUGACAUGAUAUUGAUGUCAAUUUUUGAGAACAAAAUGUGACAACAACAUAUUUCUUUGUAGUUAAGAAGUAAAAAUAAAUUACAAUGACAAUGAAAUGAACAUUUAUUAAGUUUUUAAAAAAUUAACAACUUACAUCACUAUUUUCAGCAUCAACAUUUGUGUCAUGGUCCACAUUAGUCUCUGGCUCCAUAGUUCUCUCUACGGUUGGAGAUCUCUAGGACGCCUAUAAUUAGCACUGAAGAUUAGUACUUAAAUAAUGAGUGUUAUGCUGGUAAUGACAAUAUAUUUAUGCAUGCAUCACUUACAAAAUCAAUCUCAGCAUGUCCGAAUGCUCCAAACUCCUUUAUCUCAGCGACUAGUCAUCGCUUAAUCAAAUCAUCGGUCCAUGCCAAUGCUGGGGGCACUGUAAUGGGGACUUGGACUGAAGGAAUUUGGAAUUUAAUGACAUAAUGCAGCUGCAUAAUAAAUACAAACAUCAGUAGGCAAAUGUGACUAUGUUGUGCAAUAAAAUUAUAUAACAAAAUGGAAGACAAAGAUUGAAUAAGUUCACUACCUGUAGAAAUAAAACGCAGCCAUGUACCCAAGAGGUGUUAGACUGUUGGUAUUGCCUAAUUCCCUCAAUUAGUUGGUCAAGCACAAACUGGGCCCAAUUAACGUCAUUUCGGAAUCCAUCCUCAUGGAUGGUAUGCCACAAGUUACGGCAACCAUUGAGCCUAGAUGUGGGGGCCAACAAUGUGGCACAUGCGUAGUAAAUGAAUGCUUUACGGAACUCCUCGCCUAUAGGUAAGUUCAGGAGUUUCUCCUCGCAUGCCCGAAUAGUCCCAAAUGGAUGCUCUGAUGAUGUAGAGGUCACCUGCAAAAUCCGCCCUUCUGUUGGGAGGCCGAAAAUGAGGCCAACAUCGGUGGCUGUAACAGGAUAGUGUUUCUGGGCUGAGAACUCUAUCCGUCUAAAUCCAACAUUGAAAUGUUGGAUUAGAAAGAUACAAAUGUUGUGGCGCACCUCUAUGCAGUCUAAGUUUAAGAGACCUCCAAAUUGGAGGUCUCUUAUGGCUUGUAUUUUUUCCUCUGGUAACCGGUUGUAGAGUUUCUUAAAUCUUGCAGCUGAGCAUCGUGUAAACAUUGAUGUGCCCUGCAUGCAAUGUUUGACAACAUGGACAUGUUAGGAAUAGCGACAUUUUUGCAAUUGGUAAUGCAAAAAAUAAGUGAAAAAGUAAAGCUGUCAUUUCUCAAAGUUACAAAGACUUGUCUGCUUGUAUUUAGAAAUAAUAUACAACAGGGUAAGACAUUAGAUGGGGUUGGGUGCUACUGACAGUGAGAUAUCCUGUAAGAAGGAGGAUUGUAAAUUUAUGAAUAAGCCUAUAUAGAAUAGACAAUAACAGUAAAAAUGUACAGAAUAGACUAUAAAAGUACAAAACUAAAUAUGAGAAUACUACAUGAUAUAUAAAAGAAAGAAAUCAAAUCAAUUUAUGGAAAUAAAUUGACUAAUUCUAUUAGAGAAAGAAACCAUCAAAAAAUCAAUGAAUAAUCCUAUUUAAUUCUCAUUUAGAUUGUAAGACAACUUGAUAGAACAAAAAUCCUUGGUAAUGAAUUUGUGAUCUUCAACAACAACUAACAAAUGGAGUGAACAGAAAAUGCUAUGGAAAAGCAGAUUUCUUUCAUUGCCUUAACAUGCUUACAAUAAAAUGCUUGAGAAAGUGGAAAUAAAAGCUCACAAACUGAAAGGCCUUGUAUUCGUAUUCCCUCGCACACACUGGGUUUUGUGUCAGGAAUCAUCUUUACAAUAAUUCUAUUCCCCCAAGUGUUUUCCACUAUAUUGAACAACAUGGUGGCUACUAAGGGUCUUGCAUUCAUGGAUGUGAGCAAGAGAAAAAACUCAAAGAGAUCUCUUUGUUUUCCCUGUUCUUUUCAUUCUUCUGGCUAUUUAAAAGGGGUUUAACCUGCUCCUUUUGAUACUUCUGACAUACACAAAAUCUAGAGGAACUGCUAGAGCAAGCACUAUUAUGUGGUGAAGCAUUACACUAGGUAAGGAAGUUCAUUUUGACUUAAAACUUUUAUAGGUUUUAUAAAAUAUGGUUUGAGGUGACACAACCGAACAUACUUUUAGUAUAUCCAUUAGCAUUAAUCCCAUCCCCAUCACCAUUCCUACCACAACACCUCUCUUUAUCCUUUCCUCUACCCUCCUCCCUCCUCCUAGAGGACAUGGUUUUUGCCUAUCCCCACAGCUAUAUAGCGAAGACCAUUAGAUCCCUAAAGCAUAAUUUUAUAUGGCGUUAGUGAUUCGUGCCCAGUCGGUGUAUCAACUGAUUCGUGUCCAGCUGGUAUCCUUGAUUGCGGGAGUAAUCAACAAAAUUUAUAACCUAUUACACCAUGAACUAGGGUAGCAAAGACAAAGCUACUAAAGCAUAGUGGCUUUAGGAUCGUUCAUUGGGAUGGGUUUUCACUUCACAAUUGAUAUUAAUUCAAAGCUGAAUUGGUGUCUUUUCAUUUCAAGGUUAGCUUUAAAAGAAAACAUAAAGAUGUUUGAAUGAAAAAGGUUUGGUUUUAAACUAACCAAAAAUUAGUAACUGAUUUUACUUACAAGGAAAAGUGUUUCUUGGAGUUUAGAUCACUAGGAUCAGAUUCCUUGAACAAAAAGGGAGUUCCGGUCACUUGUUUAUUUUCCUCGCAUUGGGGAUUUAACAUAUAGUUAUUUCCCAAAUCGGUAUUGUACAGAUGCUUCCCAUUAAUGGGUUCAAACACUAAAUCUCUCUCACUUAUGCACCUUGCAAUGGCUCAUACCUCUCACCUAGCACUUGCCAUUCAAGGUGAUCUUUAACCUUGGAUUAUCCGUCAAAAGCUCACAAGAGAUAACUAAUGGAUGUCUCCUUAGAGUCCAAAAGCUUACCAAGUGUUGGCUAUUCUAGAAAAUCCUACCUUCAAACCACCUCCCAAAGGCUCGCAAGAGAUAAACUAGUGCAUCUCAAUGGAUGGAGAUCACUUGCCUUAUCAAGUGUUGGCCCAGGUGAUUUAAAGGCGUUUUAAGUUAAACUAAAAAGAUAAAAACCAUUAACGGGUCACACUUUCUCUUCAUUAAAAACUAAAACAACAAAACUUCCAAUUUAUGCAUGUGGAAACUUACCCAACUUUCCUUACUCCAAGAGACGAAGAGUCUAGCCUCUCAUCCUCUGAGGAAAAAUCCUCAGAGUUUGAUUGGCUAGAAAGAAAAAGAAUGAGAAAACAAAAGCAGAGCAAGUGCUCUGUAUUUUACUUCCUUGCAAAACUGUACAAAGGAUUGAUCUCUGAGAACAAACUCCUAGGAUCUAUGAUCGAUAAUAUAUUCGAUAUAUUUUUUAUAUAUUUCAUGUAAAGGAAAUUACAAACUAUAUAUAAGGGUUUAUUCACCCUUUUUCCAAACUUAAUAACUAAGGAAUCCUAUAAUUGGUGGGCUACAAGGAGACUUUGGGAAUUUAGACAUAAAAUAUCUAAAGCAAAAUAUCUCAAAAUAUUUAGAGCAAAAUAUCCCAAAGUGUCGGUCGUAAAUAUCUGGAAGCUUCAGGAGAACACCGCAGCACUGUGCAAAAUGGCUGCUCUCCCAUUCGGGUAGGCGGCUAUCAGAUGAUCCGGAUACGUCCGUCCGAAGAAGUUGAAACACUCUCCUUUUCUAUCCGGCGUCAGAAUUCCGGACGUGAACAUUCGGGUGGAAGUGGCGGCAGCCAGGUACAAAUUGGCGGCAGCCGGGUACAAAUUGGCGGUAGCCGAGUCCAAAAUGGCGGCAGCCGGGUGCAAAUCCUAUCCAGAUAUGUGGUCCGGACGCCCUCCGAUGGUGUAUCCGGACGCCCUGUCCAGGUAUACUCCUUACAUGGAUUCCAAAGAACUCUCCUCCAUCUCAGAUUUGCUUUGGUGAUCAAAAAGCUAUCAAAACACCAAAACUUAACAUACUUUGAUUAGAAUUGAUUGCAAGGGUCCUUAACAUGCCAAUUGAGUUAAAAGGUGGUAACUACUACUCAAAAGUGUUUAAAAGAGUUAGUUACAAGCUAUGAAAUAUCACUUUUUGAGUAGUAAUCAUUUAGUGAACCACAUUUUCCAUAUUACCAAAUUGUACACAAAUAUUACCCGACAACUUACAAAACUGAUAUAAUAGUAUUUAAUAAAUAAACGUUGAAUUGUUAAAACUUCAAUAUUAGAGAACUUUCCAACAUAACUUAUACAUGGUAACUAUAAUAAGGGGAGAUGAAAUUUUAUGAAAUUUCAUGCAUAAUAUAUAUAUAUAUAUAUAUAUAUAUACUAACUUAAAAGGUAUCUCAAAAUGAAAAUUUCAUAAAAUGAUUUCAGAUUAUAUAUAAACAAGGGAGUCAUUUGUUCACACCAAUUCUAAUAUGUAAAAUAUCAUAAAAUGAAAUUUUACCCAUUUUGAUACCAACAUGCAUUCUGAUUUAUGUUCUCACAAUACAUUAAAAUUGCAUGACUAUAGAUUAUAAGUUCUUGUGGCACUCUACUAGAGAAGCCAAAACCUCUCAAAUAGUAUGUUGGCAACGGAAGAAUGCAAAAAACAACAAAGAUAAGCAAGUAUGAUGAACCAUACCGAGAGUGGGAGUGAACUGGCAGCAGAACCAUCUAGGUCAUUACCAGCCAUUGUUAAUAUUAUAACUGCAUCAUUGGGCAUAGAAAAGUAGAAUGUUAUGCACAGCUAAACUGACCAACUGAAUAACUAAACAGCAAGUAUAGUACAAUACUAUGAAAGUUCAGCUAAGUGACAAGAAAAAUGCACGCAUCCAAUGAUGUGAGUAGGACAUACUUAAAAUAGGGAAGUGAAAGUAUACAUCAAGUUAAAAGAUACCACAUUGAAAGUGCAAUUUCAAAUUAAAUCAGUAAUGAAAGCAACUCCAAAUAACGAAAAUUAAAAAGUAGUCUUAUAAAAAAAAAAAAGUAGUGCAUCGUGUCUAUAAUAAGGACAAUACAUAACAUCCAAAAGCAACAACCCCAUGACCAUAAAGCAAAUAAUGGAACAAUGAGGGAUCGUACACAAAAUGAAAACCUUACAAGCAAAGAAAUGAACAUGUCACGACAAUGGAUUAUUACAUUUAGACCGAUUGUGACCUAUGCCAUUGCAUCGAGAGCAAUGAAUAGCUCUCUUAUGGCUAAAUUGUGACUCAAUACGCCUUUGUCGGGGUCUUCCUGGAGGACGUCUCACUUGCGGGGGUUGGAGACUAGGAAAUACGUUGCCUUGGCCAUCUUGCAAAGUCCCAGCCUCACAAACUUUAGGCAUGUUGUGUGUUGGUAAUGGUUGAAACUGACCCGAGUAAAUCAAAUGUUGGGUGGAGACUUUAAAACAUGGGUCGAUAUAGUCAUACACAUCGUGUCUCAAUGUGCGGAUCACAGCACAUACAUGUGGACAUGGCAACCUGGACAUUUGCCAUGUUAGACAUGUACACUUAUGUUGCUGCAUAUCCACAACCAAAUAAACAUCUCCAGUAAAAACCUUGAACGUCCCACCCAAAUAGGGCAUCACAGUAAUCGGAGCAGAUCUCGUGAUAUUUGACAUUAGCUUUUCCUCUGUUUUAGGUCCAACCACGCUCUUCCACUUAUCUGUACCACGCAUAUGGGUGUCCAACAUGGCUACAAGCUUAUCCAUGUGCAUCAACAACAACAUAUAAAUUGUUUGGUGUCGUUCCUCUCUUAACCACGCAUUGAAGGACUCUGCAAUAUUAGUUGUCAUUUUAUCCCAAUGUUUUUUAAGGAACUUUGAUAUCGCCCAAUGCUCCGGACUAUUCUCCGCAACCCACCUUGCUAGGUCGCCAUUAAAAUGCACAAGUUUUUCAAACGCCUCAUUGUAGUCUAUAUCCAACCGAGCAUAUGCAAUGUUGUCUAAAAGCAGCAAAACAUCUUCUUUCCCUUUCUUUUCCCUAAUGUUUUGCCUAUUGAAGAAGCUUGAAAAGUUCUCUUUCACAUGUCAAUAACAAUAGGCGUGAUUUUCUACCCCAAACAACUCCGAAACACUACGCAAUAUCCCUUGAUGUCUAUCUGAUAUAAUAAUUACUUCUUGACCAUCUAGGAUCCCCUUCAAUUUCUCCAAGAACCAAUACCAAUCCUCAUAAUUUUCUGAACCAACCACACCCAAGGCUAGAGGGAACAUUCCAUCAUCUGCAUCAUAUGCAAUGGCAGACAAAAGAGCUCCUUUGUAUGGACCACUUAGGUGGCAAGAAUCAAUAGCCAAUAUCGGUCGAUACCCCAUGGUGAACCCUUGAAUUGAAAAUGCAUGGGCAAUGAACAAUUGCUUGAAGUGGCCUUCAUGAGAAGUGUACUCGACAAUAGUUCCAGGGUUAAUUUCCCUUAGCCUAUGGCAUAACCAAGGCAAAAACGCAUAGGACGCACGUGGAGAUCCAUAUAAACGCUCUUUUGCCUUCUCUUUAAGAUGCCAUGCUUGGUUAUAAGUCAAUUGAACUCCAUGAUCACGUUCAAAAUCCUUGCAAAUUUGUCGAGGAAGGUAUUCUGGAGUUGUUCUAAACACGUCUUCAACAACAACAACACCUCUCUUGGAAGAAACCCGCACCUUAGAUGAACACUCAUCUUGAGCUAUAUGAUUAUGAUUAACUUGGUAAGUAUAAACUCGCAAUAUUUCAUUUCCUUCAACAGCAUGAGCUGUUAUCUUCCAAGGACAAUCCUCAACCGAACACUUUACUGACAUAUGAGUAGGUGAAUUUUUCUUGUACUUGUAUUGAAACCUUCCAGCUAAUGACAUUUGGUAUAUUGCAUUCCGAAACUCAUCUUCAUUCUUAAAUGUAUGUCUGGAACCUAAUAUUGCCUCACGAAACCGAUUCGAUUCCAAAGGGGUGUACUCACUAUCUGCACAACGCGAUGCAAAACCUCUUGAUAACAUCAUAGUAUUAGGACUUGCAUCGCAUGAUGCAUUAGACGAAGGAAACGUAGGAUGUGGACCUCUGCAUUUACAUUCAUAACCAAAAUUAGACUACAUAAUGCGUAAAAUUGAUAUUCAUAAAAUUUUAAAUAGACAUCCAAGUGAAAACGCAUUACCCAAGUGCCAACUGUGUAUUCGGUAUAUUUGCCUCUAUGGCUUCCACAUCGGGUGACUCGACUAUGUACACAUUUGCAAAGUCAUCACUGUGGGAAACCACGUUAUCCAAGUCAUCCUCAUCUUCUAAAUCUUGGAUGACUCUAGGGUUAAACUUGAGGGUGUAGUGCAUCCUCCUCACAUGAAGGGAAAUGUCGAAUUUUUCUAAGACCUUGUGAGUGAAUUCUUCAAAUGCCAUUCCUUUAUAAAUGUGAAUACCUUUGCUUCUUCCACCAACAUAUUCCCAAAGGCCAUCAUUUUUUUGGACAAGUUUGCCUCCCACGAAAAUAUAACAGUAUAUUCUAUUUGUGGCAUCCAUCAACCUAUUGAAAUAAAGCACAAAUUUAUAUUGUUGAACAAACAAUAAUGCAUAUUCAAUGUGAUCUUAAAAGUUUUUUCAUCUCACAAUAUACUAUGUUCCCAUAUGAAAAAGUUAUAUUUUAAAAAAUGUAUAUACAAAAAAAUGUAACUUUAAAGUCUUAAAAAAUAAUUUUUGUUGCUCCUUUUGAUUAUUCUAACCAUUGUCAACAGUAAGAUUAUUUUAAGAUAGGCACUAAUAAACAAACAGUGAGUUGAACUAAGAUAUGAAGACCGAGCUUCUCUCUUCUCUUGGACUGAUAAAUACUACCUAACCUAAACAAAACUAAAAAUAAUAAUAAAAAUAAAAAACAAAAAUGAGAAAUGUAAAAUUGGAAUGGAAAUUAAAAGAUUGAAAUUAAUAGAUUAAAACAAAUCAUUAAAUUAAAAACUAAGAAAGGCUAUAAAAGGAAAAAAAAUGAAAGAUUACAACUAAAAACUAUGUUACUUCUACUCCUACUUCUAAAAAAAAAUCUCUAACUUAUUUUCCCUAUCAUUCCCCUUUACUUAUAUAUUCAUAGUUCACAUUUUUAUAAGCAAAAACCUCUCUCUCCAACUACUUUAGUGCUACCCAAUUUGACACUACUACUUACCUAUGCUAAUAAUCUAAUCGUGUCAAUACUUGGAACUUUAAGACAAAACAUCACAACAAUAUCUAGUAAAGUAGGAGGAUUUUGUGUCUGAUUUGACAUAAUACUCCAGAACAUAUAUAUAUAUAUAUAUAUACACCAAAAAUAUUGGAAUUAUGGAACUAUAAGACAUUCAAUAGGAAAUAAUCCCCCACGUUUUAUUAAGCUCUGACCUAUACUUACACUAGGUAGAAAACAAAUUCUCAUUCUCACUCAAACCCUUAGACAAUUUCUAUUGGUACUACUAUAUCAGACAUGCCUACAAACUUAUUCAAAGAGAAUGGAGAUAUUUAAAUAUUAAUUAUAAAGCGUUGCUUUGCAAAAUAAUAUGAAGAGAUAAUAGCCUAAAAAAUGUAACAAAUAUAGAAUUCUCUUCUAAACUAUCAUGUCCUACUUUAGAUGAUUCAUACAAAACCAUAAGCAAUAGUUUAACACAUUUAAGGUUUAAGGGUAAAAAAAACUAAUAGAUAAAAAGAGAUAAAUCUGUUACUUGUGCCUACAUCUCAAGCCAAGGCACCAUAAGAAAACUUUAGGGUUUUUAGGUUUUCCAUUUCCCCUUUCCAUUUUUCCUCUCCUGGUUUCUAGCAACCAAUUAAACAAUUAUAAAUUAUUUUCAAGUAUAUAUGACAAUUUUUCACAAAUAUUUUUUUGAAUUUAAAAUAUACAAAUAGCAUGAAAAAAAAAUCUAAAAAAAAUUACAAAAAUAAAAUCAGAUCGAUUAAGCCAUGAAUCAUGAGUUGCAGGUAAAGUGCAUUUUCUGUAUUCUCAAGGCUUAAAGAAAAAAUUAUGGUUCAAAAUUUUUCCUUCUUUUUCUCAUUAUUUUCUCAGCAUCCGAAUAAUAGUAGCAAACCAAGAAGUCAAUUAUUGAAUGGGAAUAGUAACUUGAACUCCGGAGAUCAAGUUGAACACAGUUUAGAGAUUUGGACUAAGAAAAUUUUAGGUCGAGAUUUAGGCAAUCUACUAACCUCAAAUAUGCAACAAGAGAGACCCAACUGAAAUCCAUACCUUAUUCAAAUUUUCGAGAGAGACGAAUGCGAAAAAAAAUGAAAGAGCCACAGAGAUUGAGAUGCAAGCGAUGGAGGUGCUCGGGAGGAAGAGAAGAAAAAGGCUUCUAGGCUUGAAAUGUUGAAGAGAGACCAAAAUUAGGGCAAAUUUCCAAAAAGCCGCAGAGAUUGAGAUGCAAGCGAUGGAGAAACUCGGGAGGAAGAGAAAAAACGGCUUCUAGGCAGAGAAGAAAACGGCUUCUAGGUAGAGAAGAAAACGACUUCUAGGCAGAGAAGAAAAUGGCUUAUAGGCUUGAAAUGCUGAAGAGAGCAAAAUUAGGGCAAAAUUCCAAAGAGCCGCGGAGAUUGAGAUGCAAGCGAUGGAGGAACUCGGGAUGAAGAGAAGAAAACGGCUUCUAGGCUUGAAAUCUGAAGAGACACCAAAAUUAGGGCAAAAUUCCAACCUGGAUUUUUUUGUUUAUUAUUUUUUUUUCAUAAUCAGCAAAGGUUAUUUUUGGAAUUAAUAAAAGUGCAUAUCCUUCUUUUUAAUUUUGACACUUCCUAUGGGUUUUCAACUUAAAUGGGUCAGUUAGAUGGACCUUCUCUUAAUUUUUGGGCCCAACUGGGCCCAAAACACAAUUCUCCCAUAUAUAUAUCUAUACACACACAUGAUCCAUGGUUUAAAUAAAACAUUUCUUACAUUUACAAUAAUUUUAUUUUAAAGUAUUGUUAUUAUAUUACACCAAUGUUGUUAGGCCAUAUUUUGCUAAACAAAAUGAAAAAGAAAACACAUUAUUUGGCAAAUAUUUUACAACUAGAGGUGAUGAAGACUAAUGUUAGUAAUUAGGUUUGCCAUAUGUUUCAACAAUGUACAAUUAGCUCAAUCACUUGAAGCUUAUACCAAAAAUAUAUUUGAAUAAUAGACAAUUUUUGAAGGGUACAUAGUGAUAAUCAACUACCAAAUUAACAUAAACAUAAAAGUUGAAAGGACAAUUUUAAGGUAUAGAUGACUCUAAAAUAUCAAAAGUAGGUUGAGUAUCCAACUUAAUAUUACAACUUUUCUCACUUAAAUGACAGUUUACAUAUAACAAAACUAUCUAAAGAAAAAUAAUUGUUUGCCAACAUUUCAAAGAUAGAAUUCUCAAACACUAGUACCAAAAGAAAUCUUCAUCACCACUAAGAAUUCAUCAUUGUAUUCAAUCUGAAACAAGUAAAUACACAUAAUUAGCUCCAAUUUAAGCAACAUUUAGAUUUUCAUAAUGGACUAUAAACAACAUGUUCAAUAUUAUUAUUGCAAUUAUUGUUAUUAUUAUUAUUAUUAUAUAAUUAACAACACAAUAUUAACAAACUUGGUUAUAAAGAUUGUUUAAAUUCCUAUAGUUUUCAUACUUGUGGUAUUUAACCAUACUCAAGUGAGUAUAUUUGUCAAUAAAUUUAGAGUUUCCACUAACAACCUAUAACAAUUUAUAAUUUUAGCUGCUUGCUUGUAUAUUUUUUUGGAAUUCAACCUUGGAAAAAAUCACACGAAUCUUAAUCUUCCCUAUGAAAAUCACAUUCUGCAACUUCAAAGAGUUGAACCCAAUUAUAAACUCCCUCCAUCCUCUUUCUAAUGACUCAAACUAGGAGAUUGAUUACCCUAUGCAUUGUAUUUAGGAACUUAAUUGUAGUAAGGGAAGAGAAACAACUUAUAUUCAUAUGUAUAGUUGAAGGGUCUAAAAAUAUGCCUCUUACUAUAACAUGAUUUGAACAUUUAAAGCAAUAUACUUUUAGUAAAUCUAAGUCCAACAAGCCAACAAUUCAAUUUUUUUUUUGUAAAUUUAAAUCAUUAUUUUCAAUUCAAGAAGUUAAGAAAUAAUAUAAUAAAAUAUAAGCAUAAAAAGAUUAAUAGCUAACAAAUAUGUACGUAAACAUGGAUGGCCUUUCAUUACGUUGCAAUGAAAUUCAUCUUACCUUCUUUUUGCAUAAUGUUUAUUAUUUUGAAACCACAUCACCCUCUGCAAAAUAGCUGAAUUCAUUGUGAUGAUAAUCAUAACACACCAAAAAUACAAUGAAAUAAAAUAAAUAAAUAAAUAAAUAAACAAGGAAGAAAAUAAAGGAAAAAGAAUCGUAAGUGAUGUAAGAUAUGUCACCUUUUCAGCCAUGAACUCCAUCUGUUUCCAUCUUCCUUUUCAGACGAGCCACAUUCACUGCAGCGAAGACAUAUAACCUAUCUCUGGUUUCAUCAAUGAACCGGAAAUAAGCCUGCCUCCAAGACUUCUUUAGAGCCAAACUGCCACAUACAGCCCAAAAUCCCACCGGAAAGCCCAAUCCCAUGCUUAUGAAGAACCAUGACAGGUCCCAUUCAUCUUCAUCUUCCUCCUCAUCUGUGUGAUCUUGAUCAUUUAGAGUGGAGCAGUUGGUUGACAAUGGAGGCCCACAAAGUCCCAGGUUCGCCUCAUAAAUGGAUGGAUCAUUGAAUGUCGAGAACUGGUUGGUUGUUGGAAUUGGUCCUGACAGGAGGUUAUGUGAUAGGUUCAAAUGGUUCAAUGAGGUUAUAGAAGACAUGCUUGGAGGAAUUGGACCUGAAAGGCAGUUGCAUGAGAGGUCAAGAGUUUCUAGCCCUUGCAUGGUUCCGAUCUUCUCAGGUAUCUUUCCAAUCAAUUGGUUUUGGGACAAAUUCAAGGUACCCAGGGUCGAGAGAUUUGUGAUCUCUUCUGGGAUCUCUCCCCAAAUGUUAUUGCUAGAAAGAUCAAUCAAAUUCACAAUUGACAGUAUGCUAUCAAAUUCCAUGUCUUGUCCCUUCACAACUAGCUCCAUGCGCUCUGAAUAGGCAAAAUGACUCCCGGGGUUGUCAUCAAAUUCGAUGUCUAAUAAGGUCACAGAACGUAAAGCAGUCAAAUUGCCUAAGCAUUGUGGGAUGGAUCCUGAUAAAUUGUUAAGCGCAAGAUCCAAAAUGUGGAGAUAAGAAAGCCCACACAGUUGUUCAGAAUAUCUCCUAUCAACAUGUUGCCUCGUAAACGAAGUUGCCUCAAUGAUGACAUUUUUUCUCCAAUCCAUUUGGGUGUCUCGCCCGAAAACCUGUUAUUUCCAAGAUCAAGGGAGUGCAGCUCUGUGCAGUUUUGUAAGCUUUGAGAGAGUUUCCCAGAAAGAUUGUUGUCGCCCAAUAUCAAGUUAAAUAAAGAUAUUGAACACAUCGAACUUGGAAUCCCACCUGACAGUUUGUUCUUGGAUAGAUCUAUGGUGUCAAGAUUGUGCAAAUCAUUCCAAUUCUUUGGAAUCCUUCCAGAAAAAUGAUUGCUUGAGAGAUCAAUUUCGUUCAAAUCCUUUAGUUUACUAAUUGAUGAAGGGAUGCUGCCAUUUAACAACUUACCAGAAAUAUCAAGGACUUCCAAACUCGAUAAUUCCCCGAUGUUCAAGGGAAUUGGACCAGAAAAUAAAUUGUUUCCCAGAAAGAGCUCUAUCACAUUAAACCAAAGUGGGAAUCGGCCCACCAAGUGGUUGAAGCUUAAAUCCACCUCGACUGCUUUUCGGCUAAAGGAUAAUGAGUUGGGAAGCUUUCCAUACAAUUGGUUUUUAGAAAGAUCUAACCAUGAAAAAUCUAGUUUCCAAAGCCAUUCUGGUAUUGUAUCUGAAAUCCCCACAUUUUUAAGAACUAUUGUGUUAAGUCUUUUUUGAGUUCUAAGCCAGUUGGGGAACUUGGGAGAUACAUAGCAGUUGGAAAUACGGAUAUACAAGAGGCUGAAAGGAGGAAUCCAUUCAGGUCUCACGUGAAAACGGAGAGACUGGUUUUUGGGUGAUAAGUGUAAAGAGAAAUACUCCAGUUUUGUAAGAUUACUGAAAUGAAUUUCAGAUAUUACCCCUUCCCAAGCAUUCCAAUUAAGAUACAACUCAGUCAGCUCUCUAAGUUGUCCAAUACUUUCUGGAAUCGUCCCAUUCAUUAGAUUGAAUGACAAGCUAAGUCUCUUCAUCCGCAGCAAGUUUCCAAUCCAUGUUGGAAUUGGACCUGAGAUGGAGUUUUUUCUCAGAUAAAGACUCUCUAAGUUGGUAAGGUGUUGAAUUGAAUUGGGGAAGGGACCAACAAAACUAUUAUAGCUCAAGUCCAGGGAUUUUAAAUUCUUAAAGAGCCCUAAUGAAUCUGGCAACUGACCACUGACUUGAUUACCGCCCAAGUUUAACUCUUCCAAGGAAUUAUUAGUGCAUGCUGAUAAUCGAUUCAGGAAUUCAAUUCCUUCACCUCCAAUACUAUUGUAUGAGAGAUCUAAGGUCACCAAGUUGCGAAGGCAUCGUAAGUUAACAUGGGGAAUCGGACCUUUAAUUGUAGCACCAUUUAAAUAAAGAUCUGUAAGGGUACUGAUGUUAAACAACCAGCCAGGCAAAGUAGUGUUGAAAUUGUUUCCGGAGAGAUCAAUGACCAAAGCAGAAGUCAAAUUAACAAACGGAUUGGAGUACUGAGGGAAGUGACUGAGUUCACAAUGGGACAAAUGUAAUUCUAACAAAAAUGGAAGCAUGUUUACAGCUUGCAUGCAAUUUGAGGUUGCUUUACUAAGGUUCACAUUCCCCAGAUCAAGGUAUUUUAAAGAAGAAAGACCAGAAAGCCAAUUUAAAUUAGAAACCCUCAUUUGAUAUUCUCCUCCAUGAAGGUCAAGAUAACGUAACUGUGAUAAAUUUCCAAGAAGAGGAGGAAUCAUUCCACCUUUCAAAUGAGCCCAAGAAAUUUGGGAUUGGAAUUCCUUGAAAAUCAUUAAGACUUAGGUCCAGGUAAGUUAAAUGUUUCAAGUCAAGUAAGGAAUCACUUAUCUCACCACCCAACGGUAAGAAGUCAUGUUGUCUGAGGUCAACCUUGACAACAUUUCCUGUUUGGUUGUUGCAAUCCACACCUCUCCACUUGCAGCAAACAGCACCAACCCAGGAAGAAAGCCUACCUGAAGGAUCUUUCAGACCAUGUUUAAAUUCAGGAAGCGCUUUCCGCUCUACCUCAAUGCAAGCCAUGUUGAGAUCACUGUCAUUAGAAUUGAUUGUAAGAGCUUCAACCAUGAGAAACUUCAAAAACAGAGAAAGCAAAAGAAUAAGGAGUGGAAUGGUGGUUUUCCUACUUGCCAUUGAUGAAUGCAAAGUUGCACAAUUCUGAAUUGAUACCAUAUAAAUAAAUAAGAUUAGAGUCUUGGUCUAAUUUGUUUAACUAUUUCAAGUCUUCAUGCCAUCUAUAAAUAAAUGCAACAAAGACCCUUCAGCCAUAUAUGGCCCAUGUACUCCAUCAUAUCUGCAAUUAAUUUUACAUGUCACUUCUGACCAUAAUUUUAUCCUUCUCUUUCUUCAUAACAUCUUACGGCUAUUGAAACAUGUAUUAUUAAAGAAUCUAGACGGCAAUAAAAGCAUAAUUUAUGCCCAAAAAUACCCACAAAGUAAUGGCAUAUUAUAUGAUUCAAGUGUCUAAAGCUCUAUGCUAUGUAAGUGGAGUAUUAUCUUUUAAAAAUAUUUCUUGAAUGAGCCACCAUCAUCACAAACUUGUUAAAAUAUGAUCACCUUAAAACUUGAAAGUGAUCCAAAUAAUGGAUGUUUUCACUGUUUUUUUUUUUCUCUCUUUCAAAAAUGUGAUUUUUUUUUUUUUUUUGAGAAAUCGUUUCAUUUUUUCUAUCAUGCUAAUCCUUAAAUUAUAUUAAUCAAUGAGCAUUUGGCACACUAAUUCUAUUUACAUUGGAUUCAGUUUCAAUCCUUCUCAAUGUUAAUACAUUUUUAAUUUUGAAAAAUAUAUGAUGCACGAUAAUCUAAACAAAGAAUAAUUUUUUCUCUAUUUUAUUGAUCUAAUAGAUUGAUUUAGAAAAUAUGUUAGGCCAAUACUAGUGUUUCAAAUUUACAAAUUUUUUUAAAGGAUUGGAUCAAGGUUCAAUCACAAUUGGAUCACACAUUUCUCUUGUCCAUGAGUAAAUUAAGCUCACAAUAUUAAUUACCAAGUUUUUGAAAUAUGAAAAUGUAGUCCAAAGAAAAAGAAAAAGAAUCUUCUUUUUAUUCUUUUUUUAUUUUUUAUUUAAAUGGAAAAAGCUUUAUUUAUUUAUUUGCUUUUACAUGGAGUAGACUAAAGAGUAAUGGCUUUGUUUUAGUCAAGAGUCAAGAUAUCACAAAAAUCCUUUAAGUCAUUGUCUAAAGAAAAACAAUCACCAAGAAAAUAAAUUUAAAUAAUAUUUUAAUGUAUGACGUACCUAUUUUAUCUAAAAAAACAUUUUUAGACUCUUGCUAGAGUUUUCUCAUAUGAACCAUUUACUAAGUUUAACAUGGAUUGCGUAGGAAGUAUAAUUAAUUGAAGAAAACUAUAUGAAACUUCCUACUCCAUGUUAAGUAUUAUAUAUGUUGAAAAUAAAAUAGAAAUUUAAGUAAUAUUCUAAUGUAUGAUGUAUAUAAUUUAUCUAAAAAAAUAUUCUGAAACUCCUACCAAAAUUUUCUCAUGUGGACUGUUUACUAAGUCUAAUAUGGAUCAUGUACGAAGAAUAAUUAAUUGAAGGAAACUACAUGAAACUUUCUACUCCAUGUUAAGUAUUAUAUAUGGUGAAAAUAAAAUAUAAAUUUAAAUAAUGUUUUAAUGUAUGAUGUAUAUAUUAAAAAAAAAUUAAAUAAAACAUUUUUUGACUUUUGCUAAAAUUUUCUCAUGCGGACUAUUUACUAAGUCUAAUAUGGAUCAUGUUGAAGAUAAGUACAUGAAACUUCCUACUCCAUGUUAAGCAUUAUAUAUGGUGAAAAUAAAAUAGAAUUUUAAAUAAUGUUUUAACAUAUGAUGUAUGCAUGUAUUAAAAAAAAACAUCUUUUGACUCUUGCCAAAAUUUUCUCUUGUGGACCGUUAACUAAGUCUAAUAUGGAUAGUGUAGGAAGAAUAAUUAAUUGAAGGAAGGUACAUGAAACUUUCUACUCCAUGUUAAGUAUUAUAUAUGGUGAAAAUAAAAUAGAAAUUUAAAUAAUAUUUUAAUGUAUGAUGCAUGUAUUAAAAAUAGAAAAUCAAAAACAUUUUUUGACUUUUGCCAAAAUUUUCUCAUGUCGUUUACUAAGUCUAAUAUGGAUCGUGUAGGAAGAAUAAUUAAUUGAAGGAAGGUACAUGAAACUUCCUAUUUUAAGUAUUAUAUAUGGUGAAAAUAAAAUAAAAUUUUAAAUAAUAUUUUAAUGUAUGAUGUAUGUAUUAAAAAAAAACAUUUUUUGACUUUUGCCAAAAUUUUCUCAUGUGGACCAUUUACAUGGUUUAAUAUGGAUCGUGUAAUAAGAAAAAUCAAUAUUUUCAAAAUCAGAUCGGCCAUUGAAGUAGAAAAGUUACCGAUUCAUGGUUCACUAGUCAAACCGACGGUCGAACCGAUGAUGUCAUAAAUAUAUAAUUUAUAAAUUAUUAAAAUUUAAAAUAAUUAUAAAAAUAAAAAUAAUAAUUUAUAUAUCAUUUUAAAAUUAAAAUUUUAUUUGAAAAUCAAAAAAUUAGUUUCAAAUUAGAAAUUCAAAUUAAAAUCAUAAUUUUAAUUUUAAUUUUGAAAUUUUGAAAUUUAUUUUUAAAUCAAAAAAUUAUUUUAAAAUCAUAAUUUAUUUAAAAUUGUGAUGUUUUGAUUAAUUUAAAUUAAAAUCAUAAGUUUUAAAAAUCAUAAAGUAAAAAAAUAAUAAAUAUAAAAGAAAAUAAAUUAUAAUUAGAUGAGGUAAAUAAAUAAAUAAAUCAAUCUAGAAAGGAAGGGAAGAAAUGGUGGCCCAAAAUGGGAAGAAUGAAGGAUUGGGAGGAGGUGGUUUUCAGAUGGGGGUGGGACUUCUAGUGGGGAAGGGUUUUCGCCGCAAGGGGAUAGGGGGUUUUGCCACUGAGGGAGCGACGUCUAACCGACCAGUGGCCGAUGACAGCAACUCGGUGUCGAUGAUAAUAGGAGGUAGUAGCUAGGGCAACCGUGCGAGAGGGGUUGUUGGGAAGAAAAAAAAAUGAUUGAACCGGAUGAUUCGGAGGGAAUCGUUUGGUUAGUCCAGUUUGUCAAUCAAACUGUCAGUUCAAUCGAUCCAAUUCUGAUUUGACUACCUUCCAACCUAAUAGACCAAACCGAAUAGAAAUUGUUACUGACUGGCGAUCGAACCGAUUAGACCAACCAGUCCGAAUCGAUUUUUAAAAACAUGAGAAUAAUUAAUUGAAGAAAGCUACAUGAAACUUCUUACUCCAUGUUAAGUAUUAUGGUGAAAAUAAAUAUAAAUUUAAAUAAUGUUUUAAGUAUGAUGCAUGUAUUUUAUCUUUAAAAAAAAAAAAAUAGUGUCUUGCAAGAAUUUUCUCUUGUGGAUCAUUUACUAAUUCUAACAUGGAUUGUGUACGAAGUAUAAUUACUUAAGGAAGCAAAAUGAAACUUCAUACUCCACGUUAAGUAUUAUGGCCAAAUAUAUAUAUAUAUAUAUAUCAUGAAAAUUUAUUUUAUUAUAUAUAUAAAGGGCUAGAAAAAUGCAUAUAUAGUGGGUGUCAUUUUUUUUUGUUUAAAAUAUGAAUACACCUGAAUUUGACUUAAUCUAAAUAAAAUUGAAUGUUAUUAAGUGUUUAAAUUAUGUGUUUUUACUAAUAUUUGAAGUAUUAAGCUUAUUUAUUUUUUACAUAUUAAAUAUAUAUAUAUAUAUAUAUAUAUAUAUAUAUAUAUAUAAUUACUAUAUUUUAUUAUUUUAGUUUUAAAAUUAAUAAUAUAAAAACAUUAAUUUAAUAUAUUUUUAAAUAUUCCAAACUAUCAUAAUUUAUCACCAUAAUAAAAAAUUUAUAAUAAUUAAUUAUAUAAUUAGUAGGCAAUUAACAAAUAGAUUUCUAGUUAUGUUUGGUUGUUAAGAAAAUAUUAAAAAAUUUCUAAGUUAAAACUUAUUUUUAUAUAACCUAUCUUUGGAGAAAGAAGGGGUGAAGGUUUUAAUGAAUUUGAAAACUAUAUAUUUAGAUUUUGAUACGUUUUCCUAAAUUCAAAAUUCUGAAAUUAAAAAAUUGACCUAAAAAAUAUUCAUAAAAAUAUUUUUAUUCUAGUGAAUAAUUGGUGAGUGUAAAUUAGGAGUGUAAGUUCAAAUGUAUAACCCACCAAACCAACUUCAAACCUGUCCAAUCUAGUUGGGUUUGUUCAUUUUGGCUUUUCAUAGCAAUUCAUGAGAAUAUUUUUAUUCUAAAUUAUCUUGAUAAACAAUAGAGAAAAUAAAUAAAAACAAAUUUAAGUCAUACUCAUAUUUUUUUAUGACAAAUUUACUAAUUCAUGGUAGAUUAAUUUAUUAUUCUAAUUACACAAUGUUUAAGUAGUUUAAUUUUUUAUUUUAAAAAACAAGAAAUAUCUAAAAAUUUUAAAAAUAAAUUUAGUUUAUUUUGAAGGAGGAAUUAGAUUUGAAUAUUAUAAUAAAUUUAAUAGUUGAAAAAAAUGAAAUUUUAUUUUCUCAAAAAAUUUCACUAUUCCUCUUAAAAUAAAAUUAUCUCUGAAAAGUAAUAACCUAAAAAACAAACCAUCAUAAAAAUAUAUUAAUUAUAUUACAUGGAAGUUAUGUUUUAAAGAAAUAAUAUCAAUAUAAAUUCCAAAUUUUGAAGUUAUUUCUUUAAUAAAUAACUUAAAAGUUUGAUAAUUAAAUUGAAAUUAUCUUUUGAAGAAAUUUCCCAUUUUACUUUUCACAAUUUCCUACAAAGUAAGAAAUUAUUUUUCAAUUAUCAUAUUUUAAAAAAUAUUAUAUUUUGUUCAAAAUCCCCAAGGAAUAGAUCCAUUGAAUAUUAUUUCACACGUGUUUAUUGUUCACCAAAUUUUCAAUUAUCAAAUUAAUUAAUGUAAUGAAAAUUAUUGAAAUAUUACUUCUUGUUUUUUUAAUCUAACAAGUACCUUAUGUGCAUAGAUUAGGGUAUUUUUAUAUACCCAGAAAAAGAACACCUUGUUGGUCCAGUUAAACAGUUCAAAUUGCUUGCCUUUUUUUUGUAGUGUCUAAAAUGAUGGUUGUUUGCAAUUCAGAUGUUGCUUUCGAUUUGUUCUCUGUUGAUGUACAAGACGACUGAAGCAAGUAUGAGACAACUGCAAUGAACUGAACCCAAAAGUAGGUCAUGAGUCAAGUUUUGCAUUUUUAUGUGUGGGGGCAGACCCUUUCUGUCUCUCUCUCUAAUCUCUAUCUCUCUCUUCAAUCCUAAAAUGGACAAAAAAGAAAGGUCCAAAACAUGCUUUCAAUUGAAAAGAAGAAAUCUCUCUCUAUGUCUCUCUAUCUCUCUCUUCAAUCCUAAAAUGGACAAGAAAGAAAGGUCCAAAACAUGACGGCCCUCAAUUGAAAAGAAGAAAAAACAAAGACUCAACUUUUAUAUUGUUUGAAUGCAAUCACACUCGUGGAUUUUCUAAUGUUUUGAUUCUAUUCUAAUCGAGCACUUACCAAUUUUGAUAAUUAAAGAAGACAAAUUUUCCAUUAUUAAAGUUUAGGAGUGAAAGUGUGGACAAUUACCCUGGUUUGAUUCGUUCAAUUUUAAGUAUAAAAUCAAAUCAAAUCAAAUCAGUCUUACAUGCUUUUAUGUAUGAAUGAAGAAUUGAACAAGUUAGUUACCAAAUCUUUAAAGUUUAGUCUUGCCGACAUGAGAGAAAAAACAAAAUUCCUUGUCUUGUCCACAUGUUGUGGACAACUUGUUUGAAUGAGGAAUCCAUAUGUCACCAAUUAAGCUCUAAGGUCACUGUCCCAAGGAAAGGUUCGAGAAAAGAAAAUGAUGAAAAAUUCAAAUGGUGGUUUAAUAUAUAAUAUAUAAUUUAUUAUUAUUAUUACUUUAUUUUAUUUUAAGAUGAGAGGUUCUUCAAGCAAGUGUAUUAGGCCAAUUUCUUCUUUUGUUACAUCAUUUAUUUAUAAAAAAAGAUAGAUAUUUAAAAUAAAAUACAUUCAUAUAAGAUAAUAAAUAUGAAAAUAAUAUAGGAAAAAAAAUACACUAAGAUAAUAAACAACCAUUGGAAGUAAAAUUUUAUUUUGCUUAUAUAUGGUAUAUCUUAUUUAAUAAUAAAUACUAUAAUAUAAUUAUUUAAUAAAUUUAGAAAUAUUAAUAUAUUUAUGUUUUAUUGUUAUAAUAUGGCAAAGAUAGAAACGCAUUUUGAUUAUUUGUAUUUUUUAAUUUUAUGAUGAUUAAAUUAUAAUAUUAUAAUUUGUUUUCUUCUACUUUCGUGAAAUCAAAUAUAGGAAAAGUACUCUUAGACAUUUCAAAGCGAUGAUUGUUGAUUUUAAACAAGAUAAAAAACAUUAAUAGUUUGUCAAAAAUUGUUAUUCGAUUUUCUAUUUGCAACAUGAAGAUCCAAAAAAUUCUUAGUUCCUAUAAUGUUUGAACAUAUCUUUACCAUUUUUUUCUUCUUGAUCUAACAACAAGCUUGACUGCACAAAAGUGAUGAGGGUGAUGUUCUUCCUAUGCUCUCCUCUCCCUUUUUAACUUUUAUAUCCCCCCUCAACAGUAUAGUUUUAAGGUAUAUCACUUUAAUCCUGAUGGACUAAAGGCCCAUAAUUUAUCUCAAUGGGUCAAAGUGAAGCCAUGGGCCUCUUCACAGUACAUUAAAUUGAUUAUGGCCCAAAACAAUACCCAUGCACAACCAAAUAUAGUUUACAAUAUACCUAGUUCACAGUACAUGAAAUCGUUUCUCCAACUACAUUGCUACCAUCACUGACGUCCUCAUCACUAACGAGGCCUAGACUCCGAUUCUCUCUUUUCUUCUCCGAAAUACUCUUGUGUAUUUCAAAUUCGGAGCCAAAAUCUGGUCAAAGAGAAACAACAACCCUAAAUUCAGCCCGAUCGACCAGCUAUUGAUGAGAGGUCUUUAAAGAUUGUAGUCUUCUUCGCUUCACAGUGAAGAAAUGCAUAGUCGGGGACCGAAUCACCGGCUAUCUGGUUCGGCUUUCAGAUCUCAAGUUUCGGUUCUCAUGCUAGCCAUGUUGACACCAUGGCAUGGAUUUACGUCGUCGGCCGGUGAGUUCUGGCACUGUUUCAUGUUGUGAAUUGAUUUUUGUUUCUUAGCUGUAAUAGUGCUUUAUGGUGUGGUUAAUUUCAUUUAUUUAGGUUUUUGUUUUGUGAUGCUUUGAUUUUGAUUAUAAUUGGUCUAUUUUUUUCAAAAAAAAAAAUUGUUUUUGUGGAAAUCUGUUUUCGGUAGGCUACGGCUGGAUUAUGAGAAUGGGGCUUAUUUGAUUAAAGAGCUGGAUAGGAGAACUAGUCAGGUGUUAUCUUUACUUUUAUGUAUUACCAUUUGUUAUUCAAUUGUAGCUUCAAAUUUUCUUCCCCACAGUUUGUUAAUGCAUUUUUUGGGACUAUUUUGUUAUCGAGAUUAAAUUAUAGAAUUAUAAUGAUACAAAGGGGGUCUUGACAUUGUAUGGAACCAGAAUCAGUCCAUCAUGGUUUAAAUUAAUUACAUGUUCUAUAGCAUUACAUUACAAUGCCAAAUAAAUUAGUGAUUUGCAUGAGCUCAUGCCUUUUUCUUUCUUUCUUUCUGUUUUUGUCUUUUUUUUUUCUUUUAUUGAAACUAUUUGAGAUGAUACCAGCCUAUUUUCUUUUUUUGAAAUUAAUCAUUCAGAGUAAUUGACUAGAUAAUGGGUUUUUCCAUUUUAAUGGUUUUUGUGUGCAAUCAGCCAAUGACACACUGAAAAUUAUAGCAUGCAGGUAAAUAACUUAUACCUAUCCUUCCUUUAUGUGGGGUUCUUUUUUUGGGGCUUUUGUUAUAAUAGACAAAAUAUAAUCUAAAGGUCAUGGUGAUGGUUCUUUUAUUUUAUAGGGAACAACACAAGAAGUUAGCAGCCCUUGAGAUGGAGCUAGCGGCAUCACAACAGGAAGAUUUUGCCUCAAAGAACUUGUUAGAAAAUAAGGGGACUCCUCCCAAGAAAAGGCUUUUAGCUGUUGUUGGAAUUAUUACAAAGUUUGGCCACAAGAACAAUAGAGAUGCAAUCUGUAAGGGCAUGGAUGCCAACUGGUAGAAUGCCCUUCUUUUUAUAAGUUUCGCUCUUUAUUCUUUGUAUUAUUUACAUAGAGAAUGACCCAGUUGGCACUUAACACAUUGACAUUUCUGUUAUAAGCAUAUAAGGGAUAAAAAUAGGAGGCUCGUAGGCUGAACUCUUAUUAACAUGAAAACUUUUAGUGAACUGCCAUUUCUCAUCUAUUCUUUUUUCAUUGUCUUGUUUAUUUUCUCAGUUUGCAAUGGUCAUUUUCAAUAGUUUGCAAACUCCAUCAACCAAUUUGAAAAGCCUUGGAGCUAACAAGUACAAAUUAUGAGAAACUAAAAUCUCGUUUCUCUAGGAUUUUUCUAAAGUUGCUCAAAUGAAUGGAAAGCAGAAAACUAUCAAGAAGCCCUACCACUGCCUUGCACCCUCUAUACCCCUAUUUACAAAAAAAUUGGAGUUUGUCUUUAAUGUAAUAAGGGAGACAAUAGUUUGCAUAAUAAUGGAACAUGAUGUAAUAUUGUGAUUCACUACUGCAAAAAAUAAUAUUAACAUAACUUAUGUGCUAAAUUACACUUACAUGCUUGGCACAAAAGUAUGUUAUUCUUCAUUUGAGAACAUUACUUAUGUUAUUCUUCAUUUGAGAACAUUACUUUAAACCUUAUAUGUUAGCAUCACUUUUGCCAUAACUAAUCUUUUUUUCUUUCUCCUUAUCCAAGACAAUGCAUAUCGAGUGAUUGAUACUUAAGUUAAUAGCCUUAGCACCCACAUGAGGUGAAGUUUGAAUCCAGAAUUUCCUAAUAGUCUUAAUACGCUUCCUCAAGCGUGUUCAAACUUAAGACGUCAAUGUUAAACCACCACUUUGCCCAAAACUUUUAAGUUACGCAGUAAUAGGCCAGCAAUGGGAUAUUAAGGCGACUGACAGGUAGGCUAAUAGCUUGAGCAAUUCUCUUAUAAUGUUUAAUGGUUUAAAUGUUGACGAUUAAAACACUUACAAAAGCAUGAUGACUUACCCAUCCUUUUCAUACAGAUACUCUGGAAGCAACUCUUGCUACUCAUUUGAAUAAGCCUCGAGUUUAUAUUGGGUGUAUGAAAUCAGGCGAAGUUUUCUCAAAAGUUGAGUAUAAUCAAAGUUUUUUUUCUCUAUUGAUGAGAAAACGAGUUGUUUAUGAUAUUCUACUUUCAUAUAUUGUAUUAUCUUUUCAUAUUGUCUGAAUUAUGUAGGAUCCACAAGUGGUAAGAACCAGAUUGGUAGAAAUUUGGUGAUGGAAAAUCAUGAGUAUUUCUGUGUUGAUUUCAUCUUGUCUCUUAUAUUAGGAUAAGUAAUUAUUACUUUCUAGUUAUGUUAACUAGUCAAGAAGUCUCUUAGCAUCUCUGAAUUCAUCUGAUAGGUGAUAGAAGUCCCAAUGAACAACUAGGGCAUUGUCCCAUAAGAGGCUUGCUUGAUAGAGAGAAGUUUUUUAGGCAUUCAAACAAUUUAUCAUUCCAUCAUAUUCUUGUCAUCUAUUACACUUAAUUUGCCUACCCUUGCACCCAUAUUUUAACCAUCUCAACUCUAAUUUGUGUCGAGGUAUCCUAGAGUCUGCAUAGGGAUGCCUUCUCGGGAAGUCAGGCUUACAUUGGUUGAAGAUACAUUUAGCAAAUUUAUAUGCUGGUGGAGUGGACAAGUUAUCAUAUGAGGGUUAGGUAGCAUUUACUGAGAAUCAUUUGGAAGAUAUCUUUGAGUCCGCAGAUAAACCUCUGGAAGGAAGACGUUGGUGAUUGUCUGUCGAGGAUCCUUUUCAAUGCUUGGCAGCGUGUAUUAAUCUAUCAAAUGCAUUAAGAAGCUCCCCUCCAGAGACUACCAUUUCACACAUGCCUGUCCACUAGGUACUUCAUUCUUAGCAUGGUCACAUUCAAACUGAGAAAUGUUUACCAAGUGAAAUCAAAUUAAUCCCACCUCCUCCCUAGUCUACCCAAUCCCACAAUAAAAAAGAAAUCUCAAAACUAGCUUUUAUUGGAAUUGUGUUCUAUGCAUAGUCAUAUCAUUUGUUGCCCUAUGUAUUUUGUAUAAACUCCUCCAAGCAUAUAGCUCCUCUGCAUUUACACAUGGAAAAUGACAAUCAUAUGAUUGUACAUAUCCUUCAGAGUACCCCAUUUGUUACCCCAUUAUUAGGAGCAAAAAUAAUGGAUCGACCACUUCUUUCAUAGCCCUGUCUUAUGUUUGUGCUAUCCUGCUAUAGUAUGCUUGAGAGGAUAACAAACAUUUCCCUGACUUUACUUUUGUUUUCAUAUUAAAUGCUUAGAUUCAGGUCAUUUGUUUAUCCAAACUUAAUCUAUGAUUGUAUUGUUCUAUGUUUUUCAAGGAUGGCUCUUGCAAUGGCUUACAACACCAUGCUGCCCUUGGAAGGGACAAGUUAGUGGAAUUUUCUGUUUUUGGUUGAUUGUUGUGGAAUUCUGAUUAUGUGAUAUGGAAGCAUGGUUUUUGAUUAGUUAGACAGUUUUUCACUCUUUUUCUGCUUUGAGGCUAAAUGUGUCUCAGCUUUGAUCUUCUCUCUUUUUGAUAGAAAAAAGGAACUUUGUUAAGGAAAGAUGGUAAAAGGAUGAGGAGUUGGAAAUUGAAACCCAAGAAAGAAACCAAACUUUGUUUGAGUUUAGUGCAGUUUAUUUAAUUUGAUUUUUCAAGUAAUUUCAAAGUUUGGUUGUUUCAAGAAAGGGGAUUAUCAUCGGUAUUUGGCAAGUUCAAAGGCUAGGGCAGCAAAUCAGUCUCUAAAGAGUGAAUUUUAGUUAGACCUUAGUAUUGGAGGAGAUAAAUUAUUAUUUAUUUAUUUAUUUAUUGAAGUUUCCUUGUUCUUUGGCAAUAGAACUUUGUAUUGGGGAUUAUUAUUUGAUUAUGCAGUUUGGAUACAUAUACAUAUUUGGAUUAUGCAAUAUUGGAAAUUAUAAUUUUGUUGCUUCAACUGCCUAUCAAGAAAAAUAAUUUUGUUGCUUCAACUAAAGUUUUAUAUAUGUAAUAGAAAAUAUAUACUGGAAAAAGUGGUAGGACCUCUUCAAUUUUGAAAUGAGAAUUUUAAUUAAAAUAUUUGAAAAAAAAAUAUUCAAGACUUCAGCUCUGGCCAAAUAUAAGUUGUGUCCACUUAAUAACCUAUGGCAGCGGACAAGAAAAAGUGGCAUCCAUAUGAAGCCCUAUAAUUGCGGCUGACAAAAGGUCAUGUCUAUAAUACUAUAUAGUAUUAAAUUCUGUAGAUGUCACACCUUCAUAGCAGCAACUAUCAGCUCUCCCAACCACAUAUAGAGCUUUUAGUUGAGGAAAAAACAUGAGCGCGGGGAUAGCUUCACAACUUCUUGUGUUUUUUACUGGUGGCUGCAACUAUAGGAUUUAUCUGCAUUCCUAUGGCCUUCGCAGCUAUGAACUUAACUUCUUGUAGCGUGUAACACUCUUGCCUCGUGUACGAUUGCAUGAACUUGCAACACAUGUACUGCACAACUCUUUGUUAAUGGUUAUAAAAAAUAUUUUUCUAUUUUUGAGAAUUGAAAAUAAGAAAAUCUUGUUUGACAAUAAGAAAAUAGUAAACAAUUUUUUAUUUUUAAAAACAGAAAAGUUUUUGUUCUUAAAAAAAAAAAAAAAGAUUUUUAUAAGAACAUAUUUUAGUUGUUUUUAAUUGUUUUCUAAGAUUAUUUUUUAAAAAAAUAAUAAGAUAAAUAUGAAGAAUAAUUAAAAAUAAAAUGCUAUCUACAAAACUUUUUUUUAAAAAAAAAUAUUUGAAAGCAAAAAAUAGAUUAAAAAUAUUUCAAAAUUCUCAAACAAGCUUUUAUCAUAUAAAUAUUAGAGAAUUGUUUUUUAAAACUGUUUUCAAAAACUAUUUUUUUUUUUUAGAAUAGUUUUCAAAAUAAUUUCUAAACUAACUUAAAGUACGUUUGACAAUGAUUUUAGGAAACGUUUUUAAUUUUUUUAUAACUUAAAAGAUGAAAAUUUUUUAGUAUUAAUUAUAAAAAUUAGAAGCCUUUCUAAAAUCACUACUAAAUAAACUCUAAUUCUCUCUACUGGAGGCUUGUAGGGGCUUUUAUAAUUUGUCUACCAAUCAUGUUAGACAUGUGGUAACCAUGUUAUGAGAUUUUGGGAUAGCAUCAUCUAGUUUGCACUUGUAUGUAGUUAAUUUUUGUUUUUAAAAAUAAAAAAUGAAACUAACUUCGAUAUAAAAUAUAAUUUUUUUUUAAACUUACGUUACUUCAAAUUUGAAAAUUUAUAGUGAUUUUUAAAGAUAUAAGGUGAGUUUAUACUUUUGAUAUAAAAAUUUCUACUAAAAAAUAUUACUAUUUUUUGUUGUAAAAAAAAUGUAUAAAAAAAAGUCAAUAUAUAAAUAAUAAAAGCUGAAAGAACAUUUUCAAUGCAUAGAUUAUCUUAAGGGUUCAAAUGUGGGCUAAGUCUAAAACUUAAUAUUAAAUCUUCUCUCAUUCAAAUAAUAGUAUUUAUAAAUAAUAGAAUAUCCUAAAUAAAUAUAGUUAUGGACAAAUAUUUCAAACAGAUUUCUCAAAUAUUAAUAUCAAAAGAAAAUUUCAUUAACCAUGACGAGCUCCCUGUUUCAAUCUAAAACAUGUAUAUAAACAUAAUUAACUUUAAUUUAAACAAGAUUUAGAUUUAUAUUAUGGACAAUAUAGUAAACCUAAAAGAUGAUCAUAAGUUUCUUAUUUCAUGACUUCAAUUAAUAGAAAAAAUAUUUACAAGCUCAAUUUUGUUGGAAUUUUAUUCAAUUCAUUCUAGUUUGAGACUUUGUAUAUUUUCUGUAACUUACCCUCCAUUAAAGAUACAAAAUUAUUUAGAGUUAACUAGAGAUUGGAUAGCACAAGUAUAGAGAGUUAUGAAAAGAAUAAUAACUUUUAAUUAAAAAGAUUCAGGAGAUCGAGUGCUCAAGCACUUGAAUAUAGCUUUCAUGGCUUAGAGCACUCAAGUAUUGCUUGGAAGUACCCAAUAACAAGCAAUCAAGUGCACUUACCUCGUGCUUGAGUACUCAAAAGUGGGGUUUCCAAAAAAUAAGUUUGCAUACAACACUCCCUAAGAAAAACAAUGAUUGCAUACAUAUAUAUGAUCCAUGGUUUAAGUAAAACAUUUCUUAUAUUUAUAAUAAGUUUAUUUUAGAGUGUUGUUAUUAUAUUAUACCACUGUUGUUAGGCCAUAUUUUGCUAAAUCAAAUGAAGAGAAAACACAUUAUUUGAUAAAUAUUUUACAAUUAGAGAUAAAGUUUGAAAUCUCAAUAAAUACAAAUAUAUCGGUACUUAGAUUUUAUGGAUAUAUAAAAAAUAUUGAAUAAAUAUCGGUGGAUAUUUUGACAAAAAUAUAGAUCUUGUUUUAAAAUUCAUGAAAAUACUUAAAAAAACUUUAAAAAAAAUGAUAAAAUAAAGAAUAAUACACAUAUUAAAGUUAUUUUGUAUGCUUAAAUUCCUUUAAUAUAUUCGCAUUUAUUUAUUUUUAAAUUUUAAAAAUACUUUUAUUGAAAGAUGUUUUAUCAUAUUUUAAAUAAAAAUUAAAUUGAUUUAUAUAAAAUAUUCAAAACCAUUACCCAAUAAAGACGCCUUUUGUGGGAGAAGUAUUCACCGUCAUCCAUGCAAAUCAAACCCACCUUUGAUCUUUAUUCACAAUUUCAUAUAUUAUAUAUAUGUCUACUAAACUUAUGUAUAUAUAUAUAUGUAUAUAUGGGUUUAUACAUGUGGAUGUGUGAAUGAAAAGUUGGAAAAUAGUCUCUAUUGUUCUUUAUUGAAGAACGAUAGCUAGGGUUUCUAUUCGUCUCUCAUUCUCUGUAUUGUUUUGUUUCUCUUUCUUAGGGACUUACCUUUGUUUGUGAAUCGGAACCUAUGCUCAAUUAGCUUAAGAAUUACCCAGUAGUUUGUUUGAAUCGGGGGGAGUUUGGGUGGGAGAGUCUAAGGUUUGUGAUUUAAGGGGUUUUGGUAUUGUAGGAGCUGAUUGGUGUCUGGGUUGGGAGGAAUCUAGGGUUUGUGAUAUGGGGUUUUGGCGUGGUUGAGGUGGGAAGGGAAAAAUUGAAUCUUGGGGAUUGUUUUUGUUGGUGGGGUUUUGAAGAUGGUGGAGAAUCGUGGAUCAGGUGUGAUCUGAUCGCCGCUUUUCCGAUGGCAAACAACCAUCCGAUUGGAGGGGUGGGGGCUUUUGUAUGGAAACUUGGAGCCCCAAGCAGGCGGAGGCGUCCUCAACGGCCCCUUUUUCUGGACCCACCACCUGGUCGAGCAAGCGAUCUCGUAUCUCCUCUUCUUCUUCUUCAACGAUCCCAAUUUCAUCGAACCCCAACGCCCAUGCUACACUGAAAAAUUAAUUUUGAGGGGAGCGGAGCUACACUUUGACCGAAGCCAGCGUUGACCAACAUAAAUAUCGGGAAAUUUCCCGAAAAAUCGGCAAAAACCGAUAUUUCGGCGAUAAUUUCAGAAAAAGAGCGAAAUUCCUUCCAAUCGAUUAUCCGUCCUCAAUAUCGUAUCGAGCUUCACCGAUAACCGAAAUAUAGGGGAAAUUUCGUCGAUAAAAAAGACAUUUCAAUCACUGACUAGAGGUGAUUAACACUGAUGUUAGUAAUUAGGUUUGCCAUAUUUUUCAAUAAUGUACAAUUAGCUCAAUCACUUGAAGCUUAUACCAAAAAUAUAUUUGAAUCAAUAAUGGACAAAAAUUUCUGACUGGUACUUAGUGAUAAUCAACUACCAAAUUAUCAUAAACAUAGAAGUUGAAAGGAUAAUUUUAAGGCAAAGAUGACUCUAAAAUAUCAAAAGUGGGCUAAGUAUCCAACUUAAUAUUACAACUUUUCUUACUUAAAUGACAAUUCACAAAUAACAAACCUACCUAAAGAAAAAUAAUUGCUUGCCAACAUUUCAAAGAUAAGUUCUCAAACACUCGUACCAAAUAAAUCUUCAUUACCACUAAGAAUUCAUCAUUGUAUUCAAUCUGCAACAAGUAAAUACACAUAGUUAGCUUCAAUUUAAGCAACAUUUAGAUUUUCAUCAUGGAAUAUAAAUAGCAUGUUCAUUAUUAUUAUUAUUAUAUAAUUAAUUAAUUAACAACAUAAUAUUAACAAACUUGGUUAUAGAGACUAUUUAAAUUCUUAUAGUUUUCAUACUUAUGGUAUUAACCAUACUCAAAUGAGUAUAUUUGUCAAUAAAUUUAGAGUUUCAACUAACAACCUAUAACAAUCUAUAACCUUAGCUGCUUGUUUGUAUAUUUUUUGGAAUUCAACUUUGGAAAAAAUUUCAUGUAUCUUAAUCUUUCCUAUGAAAAUCGCAUUCUGUAACUUCAAAGAGUUGAACCCAAUUAUAAACUUCCUCAAUCCUCUUUCUAAUGACUCAACUAAGAAAUUGUAGUAAGGAAAGAGAAACAACUUAUAUUCAUAUGCAUGGUUGAAGGGUCUAAAAAUAUGCCCCUUACUAUAACAUGCUUUGAACAUUUAAAACAAUAUACUUUUAGUAAAAUCUAAGUCCAACAAGACUACAAUUCAAUUUCUUUUGUAAAUUUAAAUCAUUAUUUCCAAUUCAAGAAUUUAAGAAAUCAUAUAAUAAAAUAUAAGUAUAAAAAGAUUAAUAGCUAACAAAUAUGUACCUAAACGGAGAUGACCUUACAUUACAUUGUAAUGAAAUUCAUCUUACCUUCUUUUUGUAUGAUGUUUGUUAUUUUGAAACCUUAUCACCCUCUGCAAAAGAGCUGAAUUCAUUGUGAUGAUAAUCAUAACACACCAAAAAUACAAUGAAAUUAAAAAACAAACAAGGAAGAAAAAAAGAAGGAAAAAGAAUGGGAAGUGAUGUAAGAUAUUUCACCUUUUUAGCCAUGAACUCCAUUUGCUUCCAUCUUCCUUUUCAGACGAGCCACAUUCACUGCAGUGAAGACAUAUAGCCUAUCUCUGGUUUCAUCAAUGAACCGGAAAUAUGCCUGCCUCCAAGACUUCUUUAGAACCAAACUGCCACAUAUAGCCCAAAAUCCCACCGGAAAGCCCAAUCCCAUGCUUAUGAAGAACCAUGACAUGUCCCAUUCAACUUCAUCUUCCUCCUCAUCUUUGUGAUCUUGAUCAUUUAGAGUGGAGCAAUUGGUUGACAAUGGAGGCCCACAAAGUCCCAGGUUCGCCUCAUAAAUGGAUGGAUCGUUGAAUGUCGAGAACUGGUUGGUUGUUGGAAUUGGUCCUGAUAGGCGGUUAUGCGAUAGGUUCAAAUGGUUCAAUGAGGUUAUAGAAGACAUGCUCGGAGGAAUUGGGCCUGACAGGCAGUUGCAUGAGAGGUCAAGAGUUUCUAGCCCUUGCAUGGCUCCAAUCUUCUCAGGUAUCUUUCCAGUCAACUGGUUUCGGGAUAAAUUCAAGGUACCCAGGGUCGAGAGAGUUGUGAUCUCUUUUGGGAUCUCUCCCCAAAUGUUAUUGCUAGAAAGAUCUAUCAAAUUCACAAUUGGCAAUAUGCUUUCAAAUUCCAUACUUUGUCCCUUUACAACUAGCUCCAUGCGCUCCGAAUAGGAGUAAUGAAUACUGGGGUCGUCAAAAUUUCUGUCUAAUAAGGUCACAAAACUUAAAGCAGUUAAAUUGCCUAAGCAUUGUGGGAUGGAUCCUGAUAAAUUGUUCACUGCAAGAUCCAAAAUGUGGAGACGAGAAAGCCAACACAAUUGCUCAGGAAUAUCUCCUGUGAACAUGUUGCCUCGUAGACGCAGCUGCUUCAGUGAUGACAUUCUUUCUCCAAUCCAUUUGGGUAUCUCACCCGAAAACCUGUUAUUUCCAAGAUCAAGGGCGUACAACCAUGUGCAGUUUCGUAAGCUUGGAAAGGGUUCCCCAGAAAGAUUGUUGUCACCCAAUAUCAAGUCAGUAAGUGAAGAUUUUGAAGAUAUCCAACUCGGAAUCCCACCAGACAGUUUGUUCUUGGAUAGAUCUAUGGUCCAAAGCCUGUGCAAAUCAUUCCAAUUCUUUGGAAUCUUUCCAGAUAAAUGAUUGUUUGAGAGAUCAAUUACUUCCAAAUCCUUUAGUUUACUAAUUGAUGAAGGAAUGCUGCCAUUUAACAAGUUACUAGAAACAUCAAGGGCUUCCAAACUCGAUGAUUCCCCGAUGUUCAAGGGAAUUGGACCAGAAAAUAAAUUGUUUCCCAGAUACAACCAGCUCACAUUAAGUCGAAGUGGGAGUGGGCCCCCCAAGCGGUUGAAACUUAAAUCCACCAAUGCGCCUUGGCGAAAGGAUAAUGAGUUGGGAAGCGUUCCAUACAAUUGGUUUCUAGAAAGUUCUAACAGCAAAAAAUCUUGUUUCCAAAGCCAUUCGGGUAUUGCAUCUGAAAUCCCCACAUUUAUUAGAAUCAAUUUGUCAAGUCUCUUUUGAGUUCUCAACCAGUUGGGGAACUUGAGAGAUACAUAGCAGUUGCAAACCCCGAUAGAUUCGAGACUGAAGGGAGGAAUCCAUUCAGGUCUCAAAUGAAAACGGAGAGACUAGUUUUUGGGUGAUAGGAGUAAUGAGAAUGCUGUCAAUUUAGUAAGAUUACUAAAAUGAAUUUCAGAUAUUACCCCUUCCCAAGCAUUCCAAUUAAGAUACAACACAAUCAGCUCUCUAAGUUGUCCGAUACUUUUUGGAAUAGUCCCAUUCAUUAGAUUGUUUGACAAGACAAGUCUCUUCAUCCGCAGCAAGUUUCCAAUCCAUGUUGGAAUUGGACCUGAGAUGGAGUUUUCACUCAGAUCAAGACGCUCUAAGUUGGUAAGGUGUUGAAUUGAAUUGGGGAAGGGACCAACAAAAUUAUUAUAGCUCAAGUCCAGGGAUUUUAAAUUCUUAAAGAGCCCUAAUGAAUCUGGCAACUGAC
rnacentral:lncRNA from 1 species